GGUUCCCACCGACGUCCCUCGCAAAUGGCUCAUGCCUUCCCGCCAAAUCUCCCUUAAAGACUUCAAAACCCUUCUCCGACGUCGUUCCCGCGCCGCCCUCUCCCGCCUCCCCCAAUUGUCUCCGACCCCUAACCCUAACCCUGACCCUAAUUUCAGAGGUGCUGCUCAUGACAAUAAUAAUGAUAAUAAUAAUGACAGCGACAAUGAAAUGGUUAAUAAUAACGAUAAAAAUGCUUGCGCUGAGAUUAUUAUAGCUCAAACGAAGGAGGCGCCCAAUGAUAAAGAGGAGGAGGAAGAUGAGAUCAGGGUUGAAGAAGAAGGAUUAGUAGGUGAUCAAAUCGGAUCUGGCGCAUCUGAAACGCUAGUAUUAUCUGAUGAGGUUGCCCUGGAGAAAAAUGACCUGAAUGCUGCUGCUGCUGCUGUGGAACGGGGGCAGCAGCAGCAGCAGCAGCAUGAGGUCACAGAACAAGAGGACGAGAAGAAGAAUGAGCAGCAGCAGGAGGAGGUACCACUGCUGCUCAACCCUACCGCACCUCAGGUAAUUGGGGUUCCUUUUUAUCUAUUUGUGAGCUAGUCGAUCUCGGUUGCAUCUCAUGCUUUUUCAUGCGUUCAGUUAAUUUUGCCUACUCCGCUAUGUUUCAGCAACUUUAACUUAUCGAAGAUAUGAAAAUAUACUUGCAAGUUAUUCCUUUUUUUUUCUUUUUGGAUUAUUUUCUUGUCGAUAUGAUAUGUGUAUGGGCUUCUUUUUCUGUGCUGUGAAAGCAAUAAUGUCCCGUGAAUUAUUCUGAGCAUGUUGUUGUGACGAAAGAAUGCACUUUUGUUCGCUUUCAUAUGACUUGAUUUCUUGAUUCAUGGAUGUUGGUGACCACGGAAAAAAUUUGGUGUUUGAACCCACAUCUGGGUUCACUUCUGUAAAGAGAGAAAAGGAUUGUCUAUUGGCAUCUUGGUCGAGACAAUUGCUUUGGCAAACAGUUAUGCGUCCAAAAUCAUUUCUUUUUAAUGAGUGUUCUGAUUUACAAAAACGGAUUUUUUCACUUAGGGCUCCAAUUGAUUGAGGCUUUUAGUGAGACUAUCAUUUUGAGUUCUACAAUCCUCAUUCACCUUCUCUUUUUGUUGUUCUUCAAUGCUUCAAUAUCUGUUUUUCCUCGUUCUCUAAGUGUCUUAAAUAGCUGUAUUAGAUGCUUACAUCUCCUUAUUCCAAUUCUCAAACAUUGCCGUGUAGGAUUCUAUCUCUAUACUAAUUAAUAACUGAGAACAAAUGUAAUCCAUAGGCACAGAAUACAUGACCAGGAGAUUUUACUUGCAAACUCUAAUAGAUGCAUUACCAUUUUGAUGGGAAAAUCUGCUUCUCUUUGUACUUUUUAAAAUCAGAGGUUUGAAUCAGCUGGUGUAAGAUUGGGAUUGCCUGCAUUCCGUACUUCAAUUUCUCAAGAUUUGCACAUCUUUUUCUGGGAUUACGAGUUCAAGUCUGAUUUAGAAUUUUGAUCAAUGGUGAGAAACCACAAUGGAUAUUGAAGUUUUCUCCAUCUCAUGUACCUGGUUUCAAAUGAUUGUUUAACCUUCCCAUUGCACAUUUAUUAACGAUAUCUGCUUAGUCUGCCUUAGAAUCUCUUGUCUAGAAAAUUUUCAACAAUUUCAAGUAAUUAUGGGAACUUCAGAUUCAAGAUUUUUAAUCUGGUUGUUGAAUCCUGUGCAAGUAGCAGAUUAUUGUACCAUUGCUUGUUAGGGCUAAGUAUGAAUAUUAAUCAUUUGCUCAGAAGGAAAGAAAAUUGGCUAGAUAGUGUAUUUCUUGAAUGUAUUCCGGAGUCUAGCUCAUAAGCUCAAUAAAUGCCUAGUUAGUUAAGGCCCAUAUAUAUGCAUAUAUACACACAUGCACAAACACACACUAUCUUGGCUCUGUAGCUGUGGAGGGGGAAAAAUGUAAUUGACAGAGCUUUAUGGGUGCUGGGAUUUAGUGUUUUUCAAGCAGAUGGACCCUGCUGGUCAAAGGCUGUGCAUGCCAAGAUUUUUGAGUAACUGUUGCAUAUAUGUGCCUCUUAUAGGACCCAGUUAUAAAUGAGCCUUUUAAAGGUCAACUGUGUGACAUGAAGGUGGCCGACAGUUUAUUAGACGUCCUGAUGUGGAUUACACUUCUCUAGUGAUCUUAUUUUUCUCUUAUUUGUGCUUGCCAUUCAUGAUUAACUUUGGCUGAACAUUUUCUUUUUCUCAUUUUUCACAGACGACCAGCAAAGAGGAUGAAGAGAGUGAUAAAUACAAAAGAAAGAAGGAGGUUGAGGAGAAACUGAAGAUUUUGAAAGAAAAAAAGCAUGGUCUGGUGCAGGUGCUAAAACAGGUAAUGCUAGGUUAUUUUCUUCACUUGUAUGAUAUUCUAGAUGGAUUAUCAAACUCUUCAAUUUUAAACUUCUUUUUGAGUAUGACUUUAUAUUUAUCGGAUAUGCUGUUAUCCAUUGUGUUUAAUAGAUCCAAAAUGCAGAAGAAGAACUUAAGAGGCGAAGCAGUGGACAGGGCAUGGCGGUUUGCCCAUCUGUUCCACUUCAAGUAGACAUUCCAACUGAUACCGGGUCAAUGACUAGGCUUAACACUCCUAGAGUUGGCUCAGAUGGAACCCUUGGCGGUGAGGUGGACGGAGGGGAAAAUGAUGGCAUGUUGAACCAUAAUCCCGAUGCUCGCCAUUUGCUUCGUAUGAGCAGCAGCUCCCCUUCCCCUUCUUCAGAUUCUCAACCCAAGAAGCCUGCUUAUAAUGUGGUAAGUUGUCACUACUGUUUCAGAAAGCUUCUGUGAAAUUUUCAAGCCUCUCAUUAUCAGAUUUUAUAUCCAUCAAAGGUUAUUUUAUUGGAGUUCAGUUUCUUCACAUUUAAAAUGUUUACAACAAUUUGGAUCAGGUUCCGAACCCUGCAAGAGCCAGUUUAGGGGUCUCCAGUCCUUCACGCUUUGCGCCAACCGGUCAGCAGGGACUGACUUCAAACUUGCCAACCGUUUCGGUGUCAGGGACCAAUUAUGUUGCCUCCUCUCCCUCUCCUGCUGCAUCAGGCGGAACGUCAGUUUUUAGAGAGAGCAGGGUCCCAAGUCCGUGGAAUUAGAAGCAAUAUUUUGCUAAACUGGAGAGGUAUCGACAGCAUGAAGACAUUAUUUAGAAUAUGCCGUCUUUAAUGUUCUUAGAGCGUGAGUAAGUUACUACGCCUUUGUCAGUGGCAUUUCUGGUAUCCGAGUAGUUUAAUUGAAGGUAUUGCAAUGACCCAGUUUUGGUUCAGAGAGAGGUUGAAAUGAAUGUUUGCACUAUUGUAUAGUUAAGGACUGCGUAUCCAUGCGUGUGCAUCAGAUAAUAAAUAAAAAGUUAACAGCUCUUUAAUAAAGGGUCAUGUAAUGUAAUCUGUCUUUGUGCUACGAAGCAUUCAGCUUGAGUUGUCUGCUAAUUCCCUUUAGACUUUUUCUCUAAUCUGAAACCCAGAUGUGCCUAUGAGCUUUUAUUUAGGGUGCCUGUAAUGCAUUGAUGGUUUCUGUUAGAUCCCCAUGCAGUCGUGCUACAAACUGCUUGAUUGGUUCUUUAAUGAUAACAGUGGAUUGUUGUGGGGGGAGUUGUUAUAUCCACUAAUUUUGAAAGUUGACAUGAUGGUUAGAAGUUGAACAUGGUGAUUGGCUUCAUCAUUUGGCCGGUGGCAUUUCUCUAUCACUCCCCCGUACGGACCUUUGAAUUUCCACUCUAGCAACUAUCGCAGUUUGAAUAUCCGGCGUAGAAUUUUGGGCAUAUCUGUCGUCUUCACCUUUAGUGUCUCGACUCUUGGGGUAGUCUUGACUACUACAGCCUGGCUUUGAAUGAUGCAUCACAAAGGGUUCUUAUGUUCAUAAGCUUUUAAGUUCAUAGAUAUGCGUCCCCCAGAACAAUAGUUGCGAAUUACACCACAUGCUUGCCACAAACAACAGCGGACAAAUAGCAUAGGGGAAAGAGGUGCCACCAGCUGUAGGGUGUUGUGCCAAAACCAAUCAGGUAGACUAAGACCAGACUGUCCGCCUCAUUAUUGAACAAGCAUCAGUUUCAGGAUCAUUUGGAGCGUAUUCAAAGAUCUUCCAAACGUGCAUUGUGGGUUGGGGAAAGACGAAUGAGACGACAGCAACAACCAAACAAUCCCCCAACCCUUCAUCUUUUUCAAAGCUAUUUGUUAUGCUGUUGCCGAAAUUAUUGACUUUUGUUUGUGUGCAUAUCUAUAUUUAGCCUUAUUUGAUGUCUUGUUUAUUCUAAGAAGAAUUCCCUUUUAAGGCAGAAAAAUGGGUUUUCUUGCUGCUAACAAGCGUAAUUUAUCUGAACGACUACAGCUUUCUACUACUUUGGACCUUUGGUGGAUUCAACAAAAGAAGAUAAGAUGUGGAGGAGGAGGCGGAGAAAGUUGCCGGUGGUUCUUCGGUUUUGCUCUGGUAUCAGCAGUGUAGUUAGUAUUGGUGGUGAGUUUGACUAUCUUGUAUUGGAGUUUGGAGUGUGACAUUUUUUUAAAAAAAAAAAAAAAAAGAAGAAGAAGAAGAAGAAGAAAAGAUUUUUUCAAAGCAUGUCAAUCAAAAUUGUGGAAAUUUCAGGAUUGAAUGGAAGUGACUUGAUUGAUGAGUUAGUAGGUAGGGCGAUGGUACGUUUGCAAAAAGGGCUAUAAUAUUAAGAGCAAAUUAUCUGGCUGGCCAUUAAACUUUUGCCAUCGUUGAGUUUUGGUCACUCAACUAUUAAAAGUCUGAUUUUGGCCACUCAAAUAUAUAAAGUUAAGAUAUGAGGCCAUUCUGUUAGAUUUAGCCGUUAAAUUCGUCGAUAUAUCCGUUCGCGCGAUUUCCAAGACAAAAGGUAGGGUUAAUUUAGGAAUUCAAUAUAGCAUUCAAUGCUUCUCUCAAAAAUUAUCGUUCUUCUUCCUGCCCCUCUUCAAAUCUUCGUCAGACCCUUUUCAUCCACCGCAGGCAUCACUCCUGCAACGCCACCACCGGUAUAAAGCUUGAAAUUAGUUUCCUGUCUGGAAAAUGCUUGUUGAAAAUUAGGAUAAUUCAGGAAGAAUAAAAUGAAGGAUUUGGCCAGAAUUGUGAAGGCUCAGACUUCUUGCUAUCUUCCCAAGCCAGUUAGUGGAUCGAGAGAGCUCCGCCCAAAGAGUGCCUACAGCCCGUGCUAGCCCAAGAUCCCUCCAACAUCUUGUGUUUUCGGUAUCUGCAUGCCACCACCACCACCUCCUACUUUGAAUUGCUUAUUUGGAGGAGAAGGGGAAGUUUCAUCUGCGCCGUCUCCUUGGCGGCCGCUUGAUCCUUCCUCUUUAAACAAAUCUUCCCUAUAUCUUUUCCUUAAAUAACUCUCUGUGGCAUCUUGCCCACCGCCGCCACCGCUAUCUCCGCCACCGUCUCCGCUGGGAAUCGCUUCCGUCAUUUGAUUUGCUGCUAACAAAUGCUGCUGCUGUUGCUGAAAACCCAACAUGUGGGAAAACCCUUCCUCAUAGGGGUGGUGAGCUAAGGCUAGCGCGCUGUGGAAAGAAUGAGGAGCUGAUUUUGAAGGAGGAGCAGAGAGAGUGGAGCCGUUGCUCCUGACGGAUAUGUUGAGGGUUGAAAUGUUAGCCGGGAUGGUUCCCGUGCCAGUGGCGGCGAUUAUGGCUGGCUCGGCUUGCUGUAGAAGCCACUCAAUUGUCUCGCCGUCGGACUUGUGACCUAGCUCUCGAGUCAACUGGAAAAUCCUAGCUGCACAGGCAGCCGGCAUUCGGAUACGCCUGCCUCGGCCAUCAACUUUGGUAUGGCGGUCCUUUGUGGAUCUCUUGGGUGGCUGCUGCUUAGGGUGGAUUGGUUUCAAUAGCCCUAUUGACUAGGAGAGUCAGCAUUCCGGCAGCUUUGACUCUGUUGCAGGAAGGACUACUUGGAGUUCCAUACCAUGACUUCCAUGGCAAUCUCCCAAUUGAUGUGGGUCUCACCCUACCAAAUCUGAAACUAAUACCUGUUACGGAAAACAAUUUCUCUGGAAUCUUUCCCACUUCAAUCACCAAUGCUUCUGGGCUUGAGGAAGGAACUUGAGGAACUUGCCCUAAAGAAGAAGAUGCUAUUUUUAAUUUCCUAAAUUAACCCUGCAUUUUGUUUUGAAAAUCGUGCAGACAGACAGAUCGGUGAAUUUAACGGCCAAAUCUAACAGAAUGGCUACGAGUUUUAACUUUAUGCAUUUAAGUGGCCAAAACCAGACUUUUAAUAGUUGAGUGACCAAAACUCAACGAUGGCAAAAGUUUAAUGGCCAGCCAGAUAAUUUGCUCUAAUAUUAAUAAUGAAAGUGAUGAGUGAGCUCUUCAUCUCUCUUUCUUCUUCUUUUUCUUUCUAACAUAAAAAGGUAUCUUAGCCUUUUUUUCAAACCCAAUUCAAGAUUUUAACUUAGUUUUCAAAAUUUAACGUGUUCAGAUGCAUUUUGAUAAACCAAAAUAAAAUAUAUGAGAUGGGGUGACAUUUUGAAUCUCUUAGGCAAAACUUAUUUCAAAAAAGAAAAAAAGCGAUCGUACUUUUCACUCGUUACUUAACAUGAUAAUAUACACUAAAAUGUAUCACCAUUUAACGGACUCGCACUUCAGAGUAUUAAAAAUUUAGUACUCCCUCCGUCCCAUUUUGAUAGUCUCAUUUCUUUCUUCACAUAGUUUAAAAAAAAAGUAGUUAAUUUUGUUUGAAAAGUAAAUUUAGAUUGCUAUUUUUCUAAAAUACCCUCACAUUAAAUAUGGUACAACUUUAUGGGAACUUGAAUUGAUGGUAAAAAAAGAAUCAACUCUCAUUAAAUGGGGUAGGUUUAUAGUAAUAAGGAUAUUUUAGGAAAAUUAAAAUAUAACUACAUUCUUAACAAUGAAAAAAUGGAUUACAUUUUGAGACAGACGAAAAAGGAAAACGGGACUAUCAAAGUGGGACGGAUGAAGUACUUAACAAUUCAACAAUUUAAUAAAUCCAAACUUCAUAUUCCGUAUUACGAUUUUCAAACUUCAAUUUUAUCGAACACGCUCCUUUUUUUUUUGUUUUUUUAGUAGUGUACAUAUUAUUAUUACCGAAACAGUAAAAGUAGGGAAUGUAGGUGUAAUUUUUAAAAUUAAAGGAAAACUUGGUGCUGUAGUCAGAAACCUUGAGUUACCACUAAAGAAAAGAUGAUUACUUUCCGCAGUCAAGGGGAACCCAUUCCCUCGUCCUCCGCCCUCGGCGCACAAUACAACAAAAGUAGAUCACAUCUCCAGCAGCCUCACCACAAAGCUCCCAUCCGUUGUUACUCUCCCCGCCGCUAAUAGCACACCACUCCCCACAAAACACAAAAACGCACCAUAUUCUCCAACUCAAAAACUGUUCGCUAUCCCCUUCCAUUCCCUCUCUUUUGUAGAUAGAAUAGAAGAAGAAAACUACUACAUCUAUCCAUUCAUCAUCCCAUCCUACCGCUCUACCCAUUCUUCAUAUACUGACCAGUGGCCUCUAUGUUCUUCCAGUAGCCUCAUCAUCAUAUUUUUAGUAGUCUUUAAUAGUGGUAUUGCACUGUCCUCCUACUAGGACUUAGGGGGGAGUUUUAGGACCCCAACAAUUCCAGCCAAAAAGCCCCCAAAAACAACAACAACUAAACGCCACUUCGCAAACUCAAACCCAAAGGUGGUGCAACUUAUCAUCAUCAGCAGCAGCUCUAAGUUCUAGCUAACUAAGGGAACCAAAAGCCAAAAGUAGUAUCCUCCAUGGAUCCCACUCCCCUCAAAAAGCACCCGACAAAAUCCACCACCGCCGCCGCCUCAAAAAUGCCUCCUCCGGAUCCCAUUCUUGCUGCCCCCCCUUCCUCCACCGCCACCACCAUCCAAAACAUAUCCAGCCACUUCGCCAAGUUGUAUGCGAAUCACAAGUUUCUUGCUGCUUCCUUAAAAGCCUCCUCACAUCCACACGCUCAUUCUCAUCAAGAAGAAGAAAAGGGUCUCAAAGAUGAUUCCUCUGCUUUAGACAACUCCUGCGUAGCUUUGACCAAGUCAAGUAGCCAGCACGGAAGAAUUCAUCGUGGAGCUGCACCGGCAGAUUUGGCCUCGGCAAAUGAAGAAAGCUACCGCACGAAAACCAAGGUUAAAGAAAAGGACGACAGGAAGUAUUCUCUGGUUAAUGUCAAGAAGAAAAAGCCCCUGCCUGAUGCUCCUCCAGCUCAGAAGGCUUUAUUAGACGGGCAUAAAUCUAAUCUUAGAAUCAAGAAAUCAUCGUCAGGAGCAAGAGGAGGAGCAGCCCAGAAAAAGGAGGAGGAGUUCUAUGACGGGAGGAGAGGCGUGAAGAAAGCGUAUGGCUUGAUGUCGAGGAGUCUUGAAUUGGAGAAACCUAAUCAAGCCACGCCGUCGUGUGAAAUGAAUAGACCAUGUAUUUCGCUUGCGGUGAAUGGCAGAAGGACGUCAUUUUGCUGCUCGCGAGCUGAGUUGGCUGACUUCUUUUGUUGCGCCGGCGUCAAGGUUGUGGCUGUUGACAUGCCGCCCUUUAUGCAGAUUCACGCUGUCGAUUGUGCUAGAAAAGCUCGUGAUAGCUUGGAAAAAUUCACUUCCAAGACUCUUGCUUUUACCCUCAAAAAGGUACUCCUGCCUGCUAUAGCAUCUGUCGAAAGAGCAAUCAGUGAUCAUUGUGGGCUUUUUGGUUUAGGUUCUGUGAUGCGAGGCUUUCCUUUUUUUUUUUGUUUUUUUUUCCGUUUUGGGGGAUCAAUUCGCUUGCUGAUCAGCAGGCACGCUGGUUCUUGAAUUGGUUAGUCUCAGUUCUGAUUUUCUUGCUUGCAGGAAUUUGAUGGGGUUUAUGGACCAGCCUGGCACUGCAUCGUAGGGACCAGUUUUGGUUCCUUCGUGACACACUCAGUAGGUGGCUUCAUGUACUUCUCAAUGGAUCAGAAACUAUACAUCCUCUUGUUCAAAACAACUGUACAGAGGGCUGAUUGAAUGAUUUGGAGGUUGAAAACUAUUCUUACUAUUAUAGGGGAAAUUAGGCACUCACAAAGGCAGGCCUUUUUCUCCCCCUUCCAACUUUGUACAAUGCCAGCAGCCUUUUUCUCCCAUGGAUAUUUCUCUCGUACUAGUUACCUUGUCGGUAGGCUCUUUUUUGAAGUAGUUACAGCACAAAAAAGAAAUACUUUCGACUCCACUAAACUUGUGGGGGGGUUUUUGUUUAGAUGUUAGUACAUUGCCUAGUAGUAUCUCAAGAAAACUUGUUAAGAUAGCCCAACAAUCAACAUAUAUAUAUAUAUAUAUAUAUACCUACCUCCUCUACUAUGCUUCUAUGUCGGUUUCGGUGAAACUGUUGAAGGUAGUGCUGAUUUUUGUGGAUAGCAUAUGGUGAUAUAAGUAAGUUCGAAGUGUAGGAUGAUGAUAUAUGAGGCUGCAUUUCUUGUUCUUGGUUCCAUGCCGGGUUGGCAACUUAGCAUCCCACCAUCAAAAAGAAUGAAUGAAGGGCUUGGAACAAACAAUUCUUGUAAGGUCAGCUAGGGUCCUCCCCUAUUCCCCUGCCUGCCCUGGUCUUUGGAGAUCAAUGAGUGGUGCUUUUCAUUUCUUAGUCUAAACAAUCAUUGCUUUAAGCAAAAAAUUUGACAUUAUUUUAGAGUUGAGAUAAAACGUACCAGUAGUACCUUCUGUUUUGCCGCAAACCAAACCACACCCCACCUUACCUUAAACAGCCCCAGUCCCACGAACCAAAAAAAAUCUCUCAUUGCUGAUCAUUUCUUUUCCAUAGAUUUAUUUUUGGAAAGGGAGUUGUUAUGUAUCCUUCCUGGGUUAAUCUCUUGCUAGUUGUUACCUCAUUUCAUCUAUGGUUCCCUGUUGGAAUGGCCCAACCACUAUUCUGAAUCCAUCCAAAGUAUCAUAUGAAGUUUUUUUUUUUUUUGGCAUUUUGGAACUUUGAUAAUAGAAUUGCUUAUCACUCAAUGUAAGCACUCCUUGAUUUGUCUUCAAAAUUUUUUUUAGUUCACUUGAUUUUCUAAAUUGACCAGACAUGUUAUUUUUCUUUCUUUUACAUGCAACACACACACAUAUAUCAAAGAAAAAUCGUUACGUUUUCUGUGAAUAUAUUUUUUAACCUCACAUAUAUCAAAUCGUUACAAUAAUUUUUGUUUUUACAAAAAAUCCAGAAAAAUGCAAUCCAAACAAAGCCUUAGGUUGCAUGGCGAUCUACUUUCGGGCAAAUAUUUCGAGUUGAGGCUUGGUUUGAUAAGGUUAAAAAUAAGAGAUUAGCAAAAAAAAAAAUCCCAAACCCCUACUCAUUUGGGAUUGUUUGGUGGUGUGAAAAAGUUUCCAUCUAAUUUCUAAUUUGAUGAGACUUUUAAUUGAGGUUUAUGUGGCAGGGUAUGCGUAGAGUCCGAAACCAGUAGGCACUUGGGAUCUUUAGCCCAAAAGCACAGCCAAAGAGCAUAGCAUCUGCUCUUUGGUUGGAAGCUAUUUAAAGUACCAACCACAGUAUAGAUGCCAAUUGGCAAGCAGAAGAAGCAUUUUAUUAUAUAAUCAUCUGUGAAUCUAAGCAAGCAGCCACUUUUAAGAUCUUUUUCCGAUAAGAGGAAUAUGUGUGAAAGAAUUGCCUGAUUUUUAAGAAAGUGCUUGCCAGGGAAUCCACUCUCUCUUUUGAGCUAUAUAUAUAUAUAUAUAUGUAUAUAUAGAAUUUUUGCUGUGACAAAAAGUAACUGGAGUAGCUAGCGCAUGCAUGCGUUAAGCUUUUACUACUUUGGAAGGCGAUGCUAUUGCUAUACGAUCACACUGUCAUCUGCAGCUUAACCACAAAAACAGUUCCAUCAGACCUCCAGAGUCCACACACACACACACACAAGGGUUGUUGUUGGUGGUGGUGCAUAUGUGUCGUCUUUCUUAAGGAAAAAAAAAGAGGUCGUGGACCAUAUUGCCAGCAAACAAGAGGAGGAUGCUCAAUAUUACCAUCUAUGGCAUGGUUCAAUUUGAAAUUUGCAGUGACUGAACAUGCUCCUGCUUCACUGCACAUCGAAUAGAAUCAUGUUGAAAUCAGGCAAUGCUAGGCAGCGCUGAUAAAAAAGAGCCCAUGAUGAAGGUCCACUUCAUGCACUAAUUUUAGCGAGUGUUAGAGAAUAAUCCAGUUGUAGGCAUUGAAAUUUCGUCUCCAGACUCUAGAAAAGCAUAAGCUGAAUGACAUGAAAAUUGCAUUGAACCAUUUUUUUGACAUCAACGCAACCAUUAUGAAUCUGCUAGCAAACGCCCUCAGUUGCACUAUCAAGAUGACCGGUUUACUAACAUCAAAAAAAUGGUAACAUGUCUCCUUCUUUAGGAAAAUCCAGUUAUAGAGUUCUUAUGAAUCGUUGGCUCGACUUCGAUCACCGUCAUAAAAUAUAAGUUGCUUGUAGAGUUUUCACGGAUAAUCCAUCAAUACAGCCAUUGCAUUAACAGCGAAUAUCAGUCAGUGCCGAAUGGCGAUGACACUACUCAACUAAAGCUGAUGGCCACCAUCAAGCUUUUAAUACUGCCUUCUAUCAAUUAUCAUAUUAAAAAUUCAGAUAGGUGUGUAAUGCGCCUGUUUGCUUCAAUUUUCUCUCCUCCUUACUAUUCAUGGACCUCUCUUCCCCUAGCAUAAAAUAGAUUAAAAUAUAUUACAGUUAUCGUCUCCCCGAAAAAAAAAAAAAAAAAUAGGAUGACACUACUCUCUCUCUCUCUCAAGUCCAAAGUCUCAAGUGUGUGCCCGUUAGUCGGUAGUUGAUCCACAAUCUCACCGGUCUCUCUCAAGUCUCACUUUCCCUUCUUCGGUCUGUCUUCAGUUUUGUAAAUUAGUAGCUUACCACUCCAUCUCCGUACACUACAGUCUCUACUCCUGCCUUUUGGGGGGUCAAAAUUACUCCUCACUCGCCCUUUCAUAGUUUUUUCAUUGAAUCAUUUUUAUUUAAUAUCACCAGACAACAGCCCCCGGGGGCCCCCAUCAUCUCCAUCUCUCUGACCUCCUCCUCCUCAAUUUCCACUCACUUCAGUCCGACUGCUACUACAUUUCCCCAUUUCACUUUCCAUCUUACUCCUGCGUCCUCCUCAACUACUGCUGCUGCUACUAGCACUACCAUUCAUGUUGCCCAUAUUUCUUUGACAUGUAUAUGUGCAAAAUUCUGCUGCUGCUGCUUUGUUAAGUUGAAGUUUUCAAUGAAUUAGAUCAGUAAAUGUUUGGUUAGGCCCCCUGGGGGGUGAAUGGAUCCGCCAAUCGUCAGCCACUCGUCUUUUUCACCUGCCCAUGCUUCCUCCUCCUACACUCUCACUGACCUUUGGCCUUUCCCCAUCGGACCUCCUGCCGUUUUGGGUCUCCCAAUGCCCCCCGCCUUGCCACCCCCACAUGGCACUCCUCCUCCUGUUGCUGCGCUUUCCCUUGAGGAAUCCACCGUCACCGACCUAAGUGCUUGCCGCACCAAUGCCACCAACAAGCGCAAGCAUGUCCUUUCUCAACAUCACCUUCUUGCUUCCGCUUCUUGUGCCGUUCAUUCCGUUAGUAUAUAAAUCCCUUUUUUCCCCCGGUUGAUGGAUAGAUUUCUCUGUUAUCUUGCUUUGCUCCACUUCAAUUCUACCUGCAACAAUUCUUCUUUUUUUCCCAUUUCUCAAGUUCAUUUUUUGAUGCUUGCUCUCAAUUUUGGUCAAUGGACACAUUUUUUUGCAUGUUGGAUUCUUAUACAAAAUGCUAGUAAAUCUUUUAGUAAAAAGAUUUCCACUUUUACUGUUGUUUCUUGAUGGGCAUUCCUAGAUUUCUACUUGCAAAAGAAAUACUUUUACUACGGAGAUAUUGAUCCCAUAACAUUUCCAAUCUUUUUUUUAAAAAGAAAUUGUAAUUUUUGUUUCAUCUCUAACUCUUUUAAGUGAUUGAGAUUUUGUUAUCUCCCCAUAACUAAGCCUAGAAGCCAGAUUUCUCUUCCACUGGUUGAGUGAUACUGAUUUUACUCGACAGAAUAAUGCAAAUGUAAAGCGGAUGAAGGCAUCAGAAGGAGGAAUCGGAGAACAAAUUGAUGAAUCCAAAGCAGAACCGCAGACCAGCUCAUACACUACUAACAAGCCUGCUGAUCAUGACGAUACUAACCCUCAGCCACCUAAAGACUAUAUCCAUGUCAGAGCCAGAAGGGGUCAAGCUACUGAUAGCCACAGUCUUGCCGAGAGAGUAAUUCUCGCCUUGCUUACCUUUCUUUUGUUGGCCAUUCAUUUCGAGUAUUAGUUCUGAUGAAUUAGCUCUGUUUUUCAUCAGGCUAGGAGAGAAAAGAUCAGUGAGCGGAUGAAAAUUCUUCAAGAUUUGGUUCCUGGCUGUAACAAGGUCCGCACCCGCACUCUUCUUGCGUAUCACACUAGACCAAAAAUUGUUGUGGAAUUUGUGCUUUAUUACUUCAGGAGAGUGUUGUCUUUUCUCAUUUUCACCAGCUUUUAGCUUUCAAAAAAUAUUUUGCAGCAUUUUCUCGAUGGAUUUUUAGCUUUUCUGCACUUUGGAAGUUGAAAUUUUGAUGUCAGUUGGACUAGCUAUCUGGAAUUUUGUUUUACCUAAGCUCUACAGUGCAAGAGGAAAAGAGAAGAGGCCCUUAGUUCACACUAAUCCUUCCAUGUUUUAGGGGUUCCACUUGAACUUUUUUGCUCUUUAAAAUAAUUCUGUCCAGUUAAUGCACUAUUAUGUAUUGAUCAGGUAAUUGGGAAAGCUCUAGUACUUGAUGAAAUUAUUAACUACAUCCAGUCACUUCAGCGACAAGUUGAGGUAGUUACUGAAGUCUUCCGUGUUUAAUUCACAUCCAAAAUUUUGAAUCUCAUUCUGUCCUUAAUAUAUUGCAUGUCAAAGUUUUUAUCCAUGAAGCUCGAAGCAGUUAAUUCAAGGAUGAACUCAGCCAUAGAAGGAUUUCCUUCCAAGGAAGUAAGUUACAGAGCUUGAAAUGCUAGCUAGUUUAACGCCUUUAAUCCUUUCUUGAUCAGUCAAUCUGUAUUGUCAGUUCUUUUCUGACUGUCAUUUUGGUGCUGCUGCUUUGUUUUUUUACUAGUUAUAAGUAUGAACAGAGAAACUGUUGAAAUCUGUUUCAUCGAGUGUUUGGGAGGACGUCCUUGGUAGUAAAUUACAUUAAAAAUGAAAUAUGUUGCCGUUAUAGGAUCAUGAAAUGGUACACUUUGUGGAGUUUUGACCUGAUGACUAGCUACUGACUGAAAACGAAAUAAAAUAUAGAUUCAUAUUUUGGAUCAAAAGCAGAGGUGACAAGUUAGUUAUGCUCCACGCUCCACCAAACAGUUCAGCAUCCUGUUGUAGUUUGACAGAAAGAUGCAUAUUCCUUUUGUUCCUUAUCUGUGUCUUUUAACAAAAAAUUAAAUUCAGUAUAAGUUCUUGUUUGUUUAUUCUUGUCCCUUUUUAUUCCAUAAUAGCAGUUUGCUUUUUCUUAUCUGCGAUCCCUUUUUCGUUUUUCGAUGAAGAGCUGCAUGCCAUUUUGCCUGUGGCAAUUUCUUAACUCUUUAUGGAGUGCAAGUACGCAUGGAAAAACUUGAAAGAUUUGAGGAAGCAUUUGACUCCAGAUUCACAUAUUCUAUGUCCUUUUGGGAAUCUGACGAGUUGGUGAACAUGUAAGAAAAAGAAAAGGAAACAGUUAAUUGCCUUUCACAGUGUGAGCGAUGUCUUACUGAAAUUCAAAUGACAAGGUAUAGUCCUUGUGUUAAUAUUACUCCUCUCGGAGCUCCUUUUCAGAAGAUGGAAAUGGCCCCAUGAUUGACACCGCGGUCACCAUGCCAGUGGUGAACUAGUAGUAGUUUUUAUAUCAGCAUAGUUAACUCUUUUCUUCCUGGAAUUCAUAUUUAACAAUCUUUCGCUACGACAUAUAGAUCUUAUGAAUGACUAAACAUGAUAUACUGGUGGUCCAACAUACCACGUGAAUUACAAGUGAUCAAGCUACAUAAAUAUACUAAAUUUCACAGAGUAAAGAUGUUGUAACAGUGGUAUUUCCUGAUCAAUUACUGUAGCUUCUUAGCUAAUUCUGUAACAUUUGGUUAUAAUUUGAAGGUGGAUAUUCACCUGUAGAUAAAGAAAAGUUCAUCUGUAUUUGGAUUUUGACUUAAAUUUGCAGUUUUAUCUUCUUAUGUUCUCGUAUUGGUGCCUAAAACUAUGUUUGACUGCUUAACUUUAAAACAAAUGAGUCGUGCCUUUUCUGCCAGGUCCUCCUCCUCCUCAUUUUUCAUCCCCUAUCAAGUAUAUGUGCCUGCAGCUUCCAUAUUAUCUCUCCUCUUGUUCCUUGUUUUGUGUAGUUAUCCUUGGUUUUUCUUUCAAUUCUGCUCUGUCCAAAGCAAGUACAUGCAUCAGAACUGCUCGUCAUUUCACAUGAGUGUAGAUGCAGUGACGUAUUUGCAUAACUAGUGCAAGAAUGGUGAUAUGGCUCUGUUGGAAGGAAUUUGCAGCAGUCAUUGUUUACAGCCUCUGGCUGAUUUUAUACAGUUACAGCUACCUCUUUUUUGUAUUGAGAUUAAGCACUGUUGCUAGCUUCAGUUUUGCUUCUGCCAGCUGAACAUGUGUUACAUCUCUCAUUUCCCCUUGUCUUGUGUAAAUAUAUGUGUUUUUAAGAUCUAUCAGUUGUAACCUUCGUUCUGGUUUAUGUGACUUACCCUAAAUAUGAUCCACGCGCAUUGUUGAUUAGUGAGUGAUUAUUAUUCAUGCAUUUAAAAGUUCAUGAUGUCCAGCAAUACCCAGAACUUUUUUUGAGUUAUUUCUUUGAUUCGGUUAUCCCGCUUUCCAGCUUGCAGCUCCACAAUUUGAUGCUACUGCAAUGAUCUUCGGCCAACAAGCACCAAGGGAAUAUGCUCCGGAUGAAUGGCUUCAUAUACAGGUCGGUAGCAGCUUAGAAAGAGCAACGUGACAAAUACAGCUGCUCUUCAGUGAAUAGGAAAGUUGAGCAGGCAUUUUAUUCCUCCAGCUCAUUCUCAUCGUCUUUGAUCAAAUCAAGGAGACUUUCAGUUAUUUAAUUUUACAUCUAAUGUAACCCUUUCGCAGAUUGAAGGACAUUCUUGAACUUGCUGUGAGUAUGCCCAUAUGUCCAAUUAGAAAACUGGAUCUCUGUCUGAUCUGACUAGUUCCUGUAUUGACGUCUAGGACAAAAUUGUAGCAAUAGUACGUGGUUUAAUUUAUGUGUUAUCCUUUGAAGAUGCAAUGGACUCUUACUGCAAUUCUUUCAUUAGUCGACGAAAGUUCAGCAUCUGAAGUGGCACAAUCCUAGAUCCCAAAUCCCCCUGAUGGAAGAAACAUUUCCUGGUACUCUGCCCCCUGGGAAUCACAAACAUGAAACGCCUGCCCUGAGGUCUAACACUUCUGAGUAGAAUACAUUUCCAGUGGUCACAAGACCUACAAGGACUUUCCCCUCAAUGACUACUACUCCAGGAGCAGAGUCAACUCGAUUCAUGGAGAUUCCCAGGGUGUUUAGCCCCGGAAACGCAAAAACAUUUCCUUGUGCGACGCUGACUCCAAAGGCAUUAGUAGUAUUUCCCUCUUUGCUGAGUCCAUCAACGAAGAAAUCCUCUGAAGUCACAUCAGAGACAGGCUUGCAAGAGAAACCAUUCACAGAGGUGGGGUCUUGGAUCCUGUAGUGGGUCGGGAUCAGCAGAUUGGGAAUAAGGCCACAAGAAAACUGAGAGAAACAGCAUUUGGUAGAACACCAGCUUAGCAGCCAUAGUCAGUCGAAUACAAUAGUGUUUGGAUAGAGUAUUAUUUGGAAUAAAUACUAAAUGUGUUUAUGAUACAAGCGAAAUAGGUAAACUUGAGCUGUCCAAACACAGUUGCCACUCUGAUGGUUAACCUUGCUGGAAUUAUUAGUUGAAAUACUUUGUCGCGGUGGUGAACAGGUUAAGAAGUAGUACCGUAUAAUUCUUCAAAUGACAUUUUUGGGGGGAUCAACUUUUCAAUUUUCAUUUCAUGAGGGAGAACAGGUGAAGAAAUCCCAAAAACAAGGAUUAACUGACGAGAGACAGAUGCAUGCAACAAGGACACUUUCAAAGAAUAUUAGUACUAGUAGACUAGCAUUAGCACUAGCACUAGCACUAGCAGAAUCUUAAUUUACCAGGUCUCCUAGUAUUGACCCCAAAAAACCACCGGCCCCCACCACCAAGCCUUUAAGGCUUUGGUGGGGGCGGGAGGCAAGGGUUCAAGGGACGAACCUUGCCUUCCACCAAAUUGUCACAUUGUGGUUCUUCAAAAAAUCCAGACGGGUGUGUGAUGUAUCUGUCUGGUCCGGUGGUGGUUUUGCUCCCAUCGAUUCUUCGUAGGUCCAGUUGGGCCUCCCCCUAGUUAGAUUAGAAUAGAGUAGGAGUAGUGAUGACGAUUGACCAAAAAAAAAAAAAGUAUUGACCCCAAUAAAAAAGAAGAAGAAGUUGAUGAUGUUGAAAAUUGUAAUCCAUUGUUCGUGAGUUAGAAAACUGUUAUAUAUAUAUAUAACAUAGGUGGACACUUGCACAUAGAGGAUACAUCAUGUUUGAAUUGAAAAAAGGUAUUACAUUAGGUUCUUGAACCUCAUGCUUAUGUAGACUGUGCUUCUUUCCAAAGACACAAACUUUUUCUUAUUUUUAUGCAGAGCAUAUGUGUUGCAAUGUUACACAAAGGUGUACUCCUAGUGGUCAAGGAGGGCCUUUUAGAGCUUCCUUUCGCUCGCCGCAAAACUUGAAUAGAAGGAAAAUAAAAAUGUUAGGAACAUGUACGACUCGGUUCGUUGACAGCCCUAUAGUGUUGAGGCCCGGAAACUCAUAAACAUCAGCAUGCAUGAGUGACAUUGAUCGACGCCGUAAACGUUGAAUGCUCCGAGACUUUGUUGGAACCCAUGAAAUUAAGAAGAAGUCCUGUGUGAAGAUGCAGUGGCGGGGUUCUUGCAGAGAAAACCGUUGAAUUGGUGGCAAAAGUUUAUGAUCCACCCACUCAAUGGUACAAAUAUACAGAUAGAUCAACAACAAACCUUACCAUACAUUAAUUGAAUUAAACUAAUUUUCACUAUGCUGGGAUGAUCAUGAAAUUUCUCCUUUAUUUUCGAAGCAGUACUUAUUUUUAGAAGAUCAUCUAUAAACUAAUCAUAUUAAGCAGGUAAAAGAUCACAUAUACCCUUGUACCAGGACGGUAUAGAAAGCGGGAUGAUCGGUUGUAAGGAGCUUGAUUUAGAAGUGAAGUAUAGCGGUGGAUGCAAUUGGCUGUAGUUGUGCUGACUACUGAACUUGGUCGAUCCACCGUAUAUUGGUAUGACCUUAAAGCUGACAAGAAGACGACGAUACAUUUAUCGAUGGAUAAGCACAAACAUGGUCCAAUACGAUUCCAGAUAUAAGUGAGUGAAAGUGAAAGAGCAAUUAUGCGUAAACUCAGCUGUAUACUUUUUUCCAAUUAUGAUAAUUUUGAGAUAGGUGAAAAAUAGAAUUAGUAACUUGUCUAGUAGAUACUAAACAUGAAAUAGUUGCUUUAUUUAUAUGGUAGAACUUUAUUGAUAGUGAUGUAUCAUAAAGCAUGAUUACUAGGAAUGUAAGUGAACCAAAUCUACUUGAAAGCAACUCGACGACGACGCUCAAUUCAGAAGAAACUCGACUCAUCUUGAUUUUAUCGAACUUGAGUUCAAGCUACUCAAGUAGCAAAUCAAGUCGAGUUCGAGUUCCAAGAUUACAAGUUCGAUUACUUUUGAGCCUAAUAGAGGAUUAUAAAAUGAAAUAUAUUGUAUAUAUUUUUUGAAUUUAUAAAAUUACUCAUGAUACGUGGCCCUUCUAAAAAACCCAAUGCCCUUAACCUUCUCCUAUCUGUCACCAUCUCAUCUUUUUCACACUUCUUUCUCCCUGAUGUUAAUUCAUCGAAACAAUGUCCUCUCCUUCUUCUUGGGACUCUUUCUCCCUUCUAUCUGGUGUUUGACCGUUUCUCUCUUCCCCUCUCCUUCAUGCUCUGUCUUCUUCUUUAAUCUAUUCCACAUUUUUCAUCUUUUCUAGACUCUAAAGCUAUCGCAAGGGAGAUAAAGGCAUACCCGUAAACGCAUCCACCAAUUUCAUCGGGUGGGAGACUCUGGAUUUAGACCUUACAAGACUCUAACCAAUAUUUCAUUCCUCUUACCAGCAUCGUGGAUAAUUGUCACCCAAUAAGAUUAUUGUAGCAGUACUACUGGUUCAUUUUUAGCUAGUCUUUUUAUUAGUAUAUGUUUAGUAACAAGAUCAUCUGGGGACCUCAUGAUGAGCUCGAUUGAUAGUUUCAUUCACGUGGAAUACUGCUUUAGCACAGCAGUUGAUCAGGAAUCAAAGGCAUAGACUCAAAUAGAGUUGGUGCAAUAAUCUGAUCAAUCCCAGGAUUCUGACUGUUAAAAGAAGUGAAGAAACGUACUGCAUUUUCUUUCCCGACUUUGAGUUGGAGGUGCAGCACUAAUCCUGGUGGGAUCACAAACUCUUCACCAGAAAGAUCACAACUUAAGUAAUUUCCACUACAAAACAUUCACCGUUGAUACCCAGCCAACUGAAAGUCUCCCCUCCAUGACGAGGGAUGACUCGGUUGACGGAGGAACUCGAUGCGAUUCAUUGACAUCCCUACGUUGAGACUGUCGAAUAUUUAGUUCGCUGCCCCAGUCUUGCAGCCUUCAAAGAAUUUUUUUUUUUUUUUUUUGGUUCUAAGGGGAACUACAAGCCUUAACAUAGGAAAGAAGUAAUAAUAAUAAUAAUAAUAAUAAAAAAAAGGGUAAAGAAACAAAAAAAAAAAAAAAAUCAUAGUAAACCUACUACACAGAAAAACUCCCUGUAAUUUCAAAACGCACAACAUGAUACCCGAUACUUUAAACUAAAUUAUAAAAGUGACGGAAUCCUUUAAAUUUGAUGGAAAUGGACGAAAUGACCCGAAUGUCCUGAUAUAAUUAAGCAAAAGACAGUUCAAAAAAAUCAUUUGUUUCAUUCUCUAGAUAGAGAGAAUUGAGGUUUAAGGGGUAGAACAGGUAUGUUUGUUAAAAAUUAAGUAUAAAAAAAUUUUUUUUUAGAUUCCAAUAAGUCAUUUCCGUUAAGUUUAACGAAUUCCGUCGUCUUUACAAUUUAGUUCAAAACAUGAGAUGUCAUGUUGUACGUUUUGAAACUACGGGGGCUUUUCAGUGUAUUAGGUUUACCCCAGGAGUUGCAGAUCCGCAACGCAGUAAUCCUGCACUGGACUUGGAUCAGAAGGCAAUAAUGACACGAGUGAGUGACAAAAUUACCAAAGCAGCUAAUAACAUUGUGGGAGACAACAGGCUGACUUCUUAGUUAAUUGCUAGUAAUAUUUAUACUAAAAGAAGUAGGCUUGCAAGAGAUCAAACAAGGGGAUGUAUUUAAAGGUGAUGUUGGCGGGUGAUCAUUCCAAUAUGAUCGGAAAAAAUGUUCAAGAAGGAGGCACAUCUGGUUCUGAGGUUGGUCAGUUUUUUGCCCAAAUAUUGAACCUCCUCCUUCAACUAAGGCUGUAUAAGUUCUGAGCUGGUAUACAAAUCCAGCCAUGCCAUGAUUUUGUUUUAAUUCAUUAAGAUCCAAAAGGGUUCAGGCUAAGCACUUGACUUUGCUGUUAAACAAUAAUGUAUUAGCUACUUAAUUAUCAUUGGGGGACAGUUCGUCGUCAUUUUGCAUCUUCAAGCACACAACAGUUUAUAUAUGUAUCUAUAUAUAUACCAAUGACAUAUGCCAUGACGCUGUCCACUAAGUACUUUCUGAUGGCUGCAUUUGUUAUUUCUUUUUUACUUUGAGGGAAAAUUCCGUCUAUAUAUGUCAUAAGAGAACUUCUCCCUCAAGAUAGAUUUGCUUUAAAAAAGGACAUGAAAUCAUUUUCAAGCUAUAUAUUAUUGAUCUGAUCAGAUCAGAUCAGCAAAGGAUUCACUAUCACAGCUUUCCACCGUACCGUUUGCCCUCCCGCAACUCCAACAUGUUCAGUUACUACUACAAGCCACACCAUUUUUUUUUUUAUCACCUCUGACGUCCUUUACCCUACUACUGAACUGAAGGGUCUAAAGAAGACUUAUCGCAAAUUGGUGACAACCUGCAAGAGCAUCAUCCAUCAUCUGCUAAUCGUUUGAGCAUGAUCAACAUCGAUUACAAUAACGAUUGCACCGGACCAGGAUUGAGCUCCCCUCUAAUGAAUAAUAUAAGCAAAAUGAGGAAUGAAGCCUUUGAGGCAAACAACCUUGUACCAAGGCACUUGCAAAUAAAAAUAAUCCCCCUUCAAUCAAAGCAUCAUAAGCACCUGUAUGUAUGCUAGGAGAUCUAUUAGCAGAAGACUUGUAUGUUUUUUUAUAAAUAAAGAGAUCAUGAAUGAAGAAUUUAAGACCAUUUCCAAUCCUUCAAUACAAGACUUUAUAAUGAUUCUUUCUUUUUUCUUUUUUUUUCUCAAUAGUAACUACUAGUGUUAUUUCUUAGUUCAUGCUCUAAAUUCUAACCCAAAAAAAAUUACAAAUGAUGGUAGCUAUGAUCUUCAAACCUAUUAGAAUGCAAGUGAUUUCUAUGCACUUGAGCAUGUUUGAAUUGACCGUGGACUCUUGAGAGAAAGAGCCAUAGUCAUUAUUUAACUGGCUAAUUUAGUGAUGAAACUGGCUAGUUUGCCAGAUAAAAUUGCUGGCUUCAUUUGGCAGCAAAAUUCGAGUUUUCUAUUGCUUUUGUUUUUUUCUCUAAAGGUUUGCAAGCUAAAGUAAAGUUUGAAGUUUUCUUCUGAUCUUGUCCCAUAUGCUGUCUAAUUUAUUGACUCUCCCCUUUCUAAUAAUUGAGCAUUUGCAAUUGCUUUUGUCAUGUUGGGUUUGGCUGUGUUGCAGCAAUAAUACCAGUAUGACGUAGUAAUUAAAAUAUUAUCUUCUUUUGUCUUGUUGUUGAGAACGGACUAGAAGAAGCUAGACAAAGCAAAUUUCUUGAAUAUUGGUGCAAUAAAAAUAAAAAUAAAAAGAUUGAGUAGAGGGGGUUUUCUUGUUAGUGGAUUUUUUUUUUUUUAAAUCUGAAAUAGCCUGCAGUGUCUUUUUUAUUUUUUUUAUUUUGGACAAGGUGGGCUGCCUUUGUUUUUUUCAGGUCCCUGCUACACCAGUUGGGAUCCUCUAUGCCACUAUUCGGUGCCAGCAGAGGCUAGUUUGUAAAUGAGGCGGCCAACUUUUAUUAGUAUUUUUUUAACAGGGCAUGGCGGCCUCCUUUUUUUUUUUUUUUCUUUUAAAUCCAUAGUGAUUACGGAGUAAAGCAGGAAAUGGCACUUGGGAUCCUCGGUGACAUGUUUUCUAUGCCAAUCCAAUGCCACCAAUAGUAUUGCGCCAAGUGUCAUGUUAUUAUUUACACUUGUGUUAAACUAAGCCAAAUUAAAUUAUUAGAAAAUUAAAGUGUAAACAAUAACAUGACACUUGGCACAAUACUAUUAGUGGCAUUGGAUUGGCAUAGAAAAUAUGUCACCGAGGAUCCCAAGUGAGGAAAUGGAGCUCCAAGUUACCACAUAGAAUCAAGUCUUUAGUUCGUUUAGAUAGCAUAGGUUACAAUAUAUCCGAGUUUCUAGGAUAAGGGAACAUUACUCCUUGUUUCCUUACUUAUAUCGGUUGUUUGAAGGUCAAGUUUAUGUUCCCUUCAAUUUCCUACUUUUUUUUAAAUUAAUAACAUAACUGGGCUGGCUGCCAACCCCCGUGUACGUGUUUGCAGUGUUGUUAGACCCGGAUCAAACCGGUCGGUUUGACCAGUCCGAUUGUGAAUUAGUCUUUUUUUUUAACAGAUUUGUAGUACAAAACUGUUAUGGUCAAAAAUCGGUUAAAUCAGUGAUCCAAUUUUAUUGGUUGAUCCGAUUCUCAAAAUUUUCUUUCUUUUUUUCCCCAAAUAUAAUCUGAAUUAGUUAAAUUGUAACACUUUCAUUUAUUAAUAGGAAUAAGAAAAUGCCACACAAUUAGUGUAAAUACUAAAAGCACUCGCUUUCUUGAAUGAUCUCUAAAUCAAGAUGUUUUCGUCCCUAUAAUCUUAUCAAUUUAGCAUCAGUGAUUUCAACUUGUAUUAAUUUGUUUUAAUUUUAGUUUUCCAAGUAGUUUUGGAGAAUUGACAUAUUUGGCCAUGAAUUUAGAUUUUUAUAUAAAAUUAUUAGAUGCAUAUUUGAUUGCAAGUCUAAUAUUUUUGAAACAUUUUCUAUAAUUGACGUAAUAUAACCGAGAAUUUAAUUUCAAUAUAAAAUAUAAAAUAAUUAUGACAUCAUGCCAAUAUCAGUGAAUUUUUUAGAACGAUCAGAUCGAUCCAACCAGUUGACUCUUAAUCUAGCAAUUUAGCCGAAUCGUUAUCCGAUUCGAGUUUAAUAACAAAUUUUAAAUUGGAGUGUUUGGAUAGCCAAAAUAUUUUAAAUAAUAUUUCGCUUGCAUCAUAAACACAUUUCUCAAUCCACUUUUUUAUAUUCUCAAUUAUCUUUUUAUUUCACAUACAUCACAUCACAAAAGUUCUACGGUAAUUAUUUCAAAUAAUACUCUAUCCAACCAAUUGCAUUUAAUAACGUUGCUGAUUGUGGAUGAUUUAAUAACAAUUUUUCGGCCAUCUUGUUGAAGAUUGUUAGCUUUUUUUAUCUAUAAAGUGGUUUUCCGUGUUGCAACUUAAUUGGUUUAUCUGCUCUGACCAUAAAAUUUUUAAGGAGGGGUAGCUUACAUAAAUAAAUGUUGUGUAAAAUUAUUCACAAAUAAUGCGGAGUCUCUUUUUCUGCUGUGAUUUGACGUGCGACGUUGCGAAGGAGCAGAAGUGUGGACCACAAAACAUCCAAUCAGUUAGGACACACAGCAGCCCAUGUUGAAAAUUCUACCUCCAAAUGCUAUCAUUGCCAGGGAGAGAAGAAUGCAAGUGAUGCAAGAAGUGGCACAAUCCUGGAAGAUAUUUUAUGAAUCUUAAUAAAUAAUUUUUUAACAAAUGUUUUUUUUUUUUUUUUUCGGUUAGAAGGGAGGGUAAUUCAUUCGGUCAUCAUUUGACAAAGUUUGCCGUUAGCUUGCUUGGUGAGAUUUCUUGUAAGCAAUCCCUUCUUCCUUUGGUUGGUUAGAUUAGCCAAAGAUGAUGUAGAAGCAAUUGGGUCCAAAUAUGUAGACCUUUCUUAUUUUAUGCAAUACAUACACCGUUACCGUUUGGCAAAGAAAAAAAAAUUAUAAUGUUGCUUGAGGUUCUCACCUCAUUAACUUGGUAUUUAACUGUUUGAAUAAGAAUAGUUAUUUGAAUAAUAGAUUAAAAUAUUACACAAGAGUUAGGAUCAACAACCGUUUGAAUUAGCUAUUUUUUGGGGUGUUUUUGAAAAAUUUUGCUGUAGCAAAAUUUUUAGAUUAUAUUUUGGGUUAUUUUCAGAAAAUAUUUUGGGAUAUUUAAGAGCAAAAGAGUUUCUAGAAUAUAUUUUAAGAUAUUUUUAAAAUUUUAAAAAAAUUUAAACUAAUUUUUAGAUUACCUUUUAGAGUAUUUUUUAAAAUUAUUUAUUGUAUUUGAAAAACUAGUUUUUGAAAAACAAAAGUCAAAAUUUUUGGUAUUUAUUUUAUUUUUACUAAUACUUCUAUUUUUUAGUUCACGUCAAUUUAUUAGCAAUAAAAUUGUAUCUCUGGUUGAAUUUUCUUUUGCCUAUUUGUGGUUUCUUUUAUUUGUGUUUUGUAUUCCUAUUGGUAUCGCGUUUGUCAUUUAUUUUUCCAAAGUUCUAAUAAUCACAUCUAAUGAAGAAAUUAGCAUUUUCUUAGUCGCUAUUUUAGAGUUAUACUAAGUAAUUGUAUACUAACAUUAUUGAAGUGAUACUAAUCCCCUAUACGAAUAAAAACUAAGAGUUGGAUUGCUAUAAAACGUUUUCACGAAGAGAAAUUAAACAAGAUUGCUUUGUCGAUACUUAGCAGUUAUACAAAAUGCUAAUUGCAUAACAAGAUUAAUUUUGUAUUAAUUGUAUAGCGUAUGCUAAUAUAAGGAAACUAAGAAUUAAAUUGAUAGAUUACAUGUUUUACAAAGAGAAAUUAAACGAGAUUCAUUAGUUGAUUCUUAAAAAUGGCAAUGAUAAACAUGUUGAUUUUAAAAUUAAGACCAUAUAAAUAUAUAUAUACAUAUAUAUAUAUAUAUAAGUUAAGGAAAUUUUUGCGAGACCUAAACCUUUUCAUUUUUUUUUUGGGGGGGCGGCUGCCCAUGCCCCCGUCCGCAAAAUCCCCAUCCCUAGGUAUGCCUAUUGCAGAGACAAAAUGAGUGGGCGCAUCUGCAUGGUUUUCCGAUCCUCCUUUUCAGUCAACUAACAGCUGCCGAGCACCGCGCAUGGAUGUGUCACUGGGUCCCCAACUCUAAGGGCUAGGGCUGAUCUCGAUGACACCAGAUUUGAAAUUAAAGUUGGCCCAGGAGCAGGGCAGUACACGAAUCGACUCGUUUGGUUAAUAUCGAAUUCGAUCUAAUUAAGUUGACCUCGAAUUUGAUUAUAUAUUUUUUUAUAUUUUAUUUUUAUAUAUCAAGCUUGAUUAUAUCGAGUUUGAUUAUUUAUUUUUAUUUUUAUUUUACAUAUAUAUAAUUCGAGUUCAAAAACAUUAAUUUCGUUGGACUUGCGAGCUCAAUUAUAUAUAAUUUUUUUAUUUUUAUUUUAAUAGUAAAAUUAUAAAUAUAUUUCUAAUAUUUUCUUAUUUGUUAAGAAGAAUUACUAUUUUACUUAUUAAAAUAAUUAUUUUUUUAUUUUUUAAAAAAUAAAAAUAUUAUUAUUUAUUAUUUUUUAAGUUCGAGGUCGAAUUUGACAUUUUGAACUCGUCGACCUCGAACUUAAAAUUAACUGAAGACUCGACUUGAUUAGAUCAAAAGUCGACUCGACUCGACUCGUUUACACCUCUACCUAGGAGUAUUGGUGCCAUGCAAUGCACGAGGGCUUCUUCUUCAGUUCUUCUAUAAAUACACCGCCAUACUCGUUCCUUGGGACAUCAAAGCGUACAAGCUAAUUCCUAGCAAGUAUACAUAACCUAAUUACCUUGGGCUACCUACCCUCUAGCUAGCAAAUGCAAAACAUGGCUUCCUACAAUGUUAUUCACCUCGUCAUUUGGCUGACAUUCUUGUCACUUGUGCAGCUACCAAUGCGUUCCCAUUGUGCUGAUCCUGGUCCAUUGCAGGAUUUCUGUGCUGCGGAUUUGAACUCCCCGGUGCUUGUCAAUGGGUUUCCGUGCAAAAACCCAGCGAAUGUAACUUCCAACGACUUCUUCUUUGAUGGGCUGCAAAAACUGGGAACAGUGUUCGAUGCCCUCAAUGUGAACCUCACCGAAGUAGACGUCUUCGCAUUUCCAGCGCUGAACACCUUGGGGAUGUCCAUGAACCGAGUUCAAUUUCAUCCCGGAGGAGAAAACCCGCCUCAUAUCCACCCUCGUGCUACCGAGUUGUCCCUGGUCACGGAGGGGAAACUGUUUGUGGGAUGGGUAUCAACUGCAUAUACCCUGAACUGGAAAAUUCUGACGGCAGGACAAGUGUUCGUGAUUCCUCCAGGCUUAGUGCACUUUCAGCUUAAUGUUGGAAAGGGAAACGCACUAUUUUAUGCCUUCUUUAACAGUCAGAAUCCAGGGAUUUCGAAAAUAGCCCCCGCUCUCUUUGCUUCCACGCCUUUGAUUCCAGAUCCAGUGCUCACAACAGCAUUCAAUGUGAAUAAAACUAUCAUCGACCUCAUCAAGUCCAGGGCUUCUGUGCUGAUUCCAUAAGCUCCAAAUAAUUAAUCCCCGUCGCUUCUUAUCAUCUACCAAACAAGAAUGAUACUCUGAUAUCAUUCACCCUAAAGUCUGGUCUUUUCUUUGCAAUGUAUAAACCAUCUGCAGAUGGAUAAAAUAAAACAUCCGAGGAGUCAGAUGUUCCUAGUCAUGAAAUAAUCCUCGUCUCACCACAUGAAAAAUGUGGAUAUAUUUGUUGUGAAGUUUGUACCUUUUUUCUUUUUUCUUGAAGUUGAAGAUGGAUGGAAUGAGUGUGCUUUACAUCAAAAGGGCAUGUGUUACUCUUAAUCUUCUUUGCAUGAGACCUAACAAGUCACUGCUAUAUAAACUAUGUAAAGGAUGCUAAUAUAUAUUAAGGGUUAAUUACAUUUACCUCCCCUGAGGUUUGAUACAUUUACCUCCCCUGAGGUUUGAUCAUAUUGCCAAUCAAUCCCUGUAAUUUGUCCAAAUAACAGUCUCACCCUUUGAAUGAUCAAACAUUUAACAAAAACCCCCCUUAAUGUCGAAAAUGCCCUUAUUGAGGCCAUAUUGCAUUAAAAAAAAGAACAUAUUUUUAUUUAUUAAACCUUUCAUCAUAUAAAGUAUUAAAUUAAUCCAUUACAUGUCUUAUUUUGUACAUAUAUAUAUUUAUAUAAAUAAUUUUUUAAAAAAUUCAUUGAACCGAGGUUGAACCGAUCCGACCGGUUGAACCUCGACCUUUUCACUUCACCGGUUCAAUGAACGGUCCGAUUUUUAAAACAUUGAGCAAGAGUGGACAUAGUCAUAGUAUCGACUUGGCACAGCUCUCAAAAAUACGUGUACGUGCGGGCGAAUGUGAUGAAUGACCUGCACCUGCCAGCCAUAAUACAUAGUUCUACCCUACGGGUUAAUGCUAUGCUAUAUAGUACUAUAUGCAUGGCUCCUCCUGGUUUUUCCAAUUACUGGAGCUGGCUAUAUAUGGGUCAAAACUAUUUGAUAAUUAAGUAGAAAGUAAAUCAGAAAGGGAUGAAAACUAUUUCAGAUUGUGACUCAGUGAUGGAACAACAUAUUUAAGAUUUUGGAGUCACGGGGCAAACAGUUUAAAGAUUAAGACUGUGAAUCCGUGAUAAUUAAUAAUGAGGUUUUUGAUUGUGACAGAGCAACAGAAGUGGAAUUGAAACCAAUACUCUGAUUAAGACCAUACAAAAGUAAAAUUUUCAUUUAAUUUCAAGGUGUGACCAUAUCCUUUUUUACCACUACGUACCAGGAUUAAUUAGUUGUCACAGUACUCAUUAGUUUGCCUUCCGCUUCUACCUUUCCCUUCUAAGGAAGGAAACACAUUCUUGUUGAAGUUGAUCAGCCCUCACUAUUAAUUGCAUGAUCAGGAGGCACUGAUCAAGACACAGGUGAACGAAGUUUACAAAUUUUGUGGUGUGCUAUAUAUAUAUAUAUAUAUAUAUAUAUCAAACAAGAAGGGAAAAGGUAAUUGACGAGUAGAUGCUGAUAUAUAGUUUAUGGGGGUCGAUAUAGAAGUUUUAUUCUUGGAGGGGAUGAAUGAAAUAUCUGAUUUGUGUCAUUGACUAUGGAAGCUAUGAAUGACAAUGGGACAUUAAUUAGCAGCCCCCUCAGUCUAUAUAGUACGUAUUAAUUAUCCGGGACUAUCACUAUUGGCGAAGAACUUGUCCUUUUCACAAAUUGUUGUGGUAUAUAUAUAUGAUCAAUUUUCUUUUGCUAUGCUGCCGAUUCGUGGUUCUUCUCAAUUCUUCAUGUCUUUGUCAGUCCUCUGCCAUACCUCACUCUAAGAAGAAUAUAAAGAAAGAAAAGAAAAAGGAGUACUACAAAUGUCGCGACUGACGAUCAGCAGCCUUCUAAUCUUCAGAAAAAAGACAAAAGUUUCCUUCUCGUUCUUACUUCUUGCUCUCUCUAUGUCAAUAACUAUGGAGUUAACCUCCACCAGAUGGUACUGACUGUAGCUUCUUUCUCUUUGUUUUUUUUAACCAGUUUGACGAGUAUAAUUUAUGUACAUGCUCUCAUCUUAUUCCUACACCUCGGAUACCAUUUUCUACACUUCUUCACAAGAUUAUGUAUGUGCAUAUAUAUAUAUAUAUAUAUAUAUAUUUGGUGCUGACGGAAUUGCACACACUGCAAGAGAAAGCUUAUUCUAUCAUUUUUUUUUUUUUAAACGUCACUAUUUUGUAUAUGGCUAAUACUUGAUAUUACAAGAGAGAAGCUUAUAGUAAUACAUGUAUUUUCAUUUAUUGGGAAGGGAUAUGAUUAUUUUAAAUUUAACUAAUCAUUACCUUCGUUAAUAAAUGAAGAUACGUGUGGAGGAAGUGAUGAUGGUCAUCUUGGACAUGAAUAGUAGGAUUAUUAUCUAACUUGUAUAUAAGAUAAGAAAAAGCCAAUUUACUGUAGCAACCCGUCUUGGACUUGGAGGCCUGGGAACGAAAGCACAUUCACCUGAGUGAGAAUCACUUCACUUUGAGAGAAUUGAAGAUUGCUCCCCUUAAUUUCCUUGAGACCAUCGCUGAAGAAGUCGUCUGAAGUUGUUACAUGAGCAGGGUUUUUGCAGGGAAAGCCAUUUACGUGCAAAGGAGAUUUCAGAUCAGCAAUAAUGCAGAAAUCCUGCAAUGGACCAGGCUCAGCACAAUGGGAAGGCAAUGGCAUGGUAGCUGGCUGGCUAGCAGAACUGAUGACAAAACUGCACAGGACAAAAUCAGAUGAAUAUUAACAUCGCAGGAAGAAGCCAUGCAUAUGUGCUCAAAUUUGCUAAGGAAGCCACCGAAUGAUAUAUAGCUUCGUAGUUUGCCAGACAAAUUAGACUUAAAGUUGUGUGCUUAUCGAGCAGUCUGAUGUUUCGCUUGCCUGUGCAUGGGGAAGGCACGACUAGUUCCUUGUUGACGGCAGUAUUAGUGAUUAAUUUGCUGCCAACCUACUCCGUAUGAUACAAAAUGACAAUGCUUAAAAUGAAGGAAGCUUUUAGAAAGCUAUGUAGGGAAGGAAGUUAGAAAAGGUAUAAAAUGAAGAUAUAUUUCAGAGAUUAUUAGUUCAAAUUUCCUAACAGUACUGUGGCAAAUCGUACACCUAAUAUCCCUUAUUUUGAAUAGGUCUAUGACAUUCAGUACAAUUUUGAGUUAUAUCAUCGUAGAAGGUAUACACCACAUCCUGUGCCGCCACCAUAAAUCUUCCUUCCUCUUGGUGUAAAAAUUAUUUAAAGGGAAACCACCACCAGCAACACCCCCCCCCCUCCCCCCAACAGUACUGUGGCAAAUCGUACACCUAAUAUCCCUUAUUUUGAAUAGGUCUAUGACAUUCAGUACAAUUUUGAGUUAUAUCAUCGUAGAAGGUAUACACCACAUCCUGUGCCGCCACCAUAAAUCUUCCUUCCUCUUGGUGUAAAAAUUAUUUAAAGGGAAACCACCACCAGCAACACAGCCCCCCCCCUCCCCCCAACAAAUAUUCAGGGGCCUAAACAUGCUAGAGUACAUGUGCAUAAUAAACUUGAGACCUAUCUAAUUCUAUAAUCAUUUCUUAUCACAUGCACAAUCACAAACAGGAUAUAUAUACGUGUUGACCUAACUUUUGAUGUCCCAUAAUUCCCUCAAGAACAGUUGAUCAGAGAAAACAGGAUAACUUUCACAUGAUUACCUCAUUAUCAGGCUCUGGAUGAUAUGUGAUUUCUUCUGAGAAUCCAAUGUAGGAUCACGGGACACUCUUCUUAUUGCAGUUUCCAGCUCCUUUUGAUUUAAUUCCAGUGGAUGCUCAUCAUGGCACGCCUGAAUGUUUUGUCCAGCUUUAUCAGCUUGAUCAUCAACAAUUUGCUGAUCAGUUUUCUUAUCAAGUUCUUCACCACAGUUGACUAGAUCUUCAUAUUUAUCAUUGUUUUGACCGCCUUUGAAAUCUUUUGAAUAUGGACAUAUAUACCCAGAAUGCUCAGCAUUGUUAUCAGAAACUUCUUUUCCUGAAAGUUUGCUUUCUCUGCAUGUUUGUUCCCCAGAUACACUGAGACAACUUCCAGAGGGUUAGCAGCCAAGGAAGGAAAAGAGGAUUCUUCUUCAUCCUUAGCAACACAAUAAUCUUUCAUAUCUUCCCACCAUUCUCCUAACCAUUGUUCAAAAUUGGUAUUUUUUGUAGCCCUACGCCACAGAGAAAUCAGGGCAUGUUGUUCAUCUUGGGUUAAAGCUGACAUCAACCAGGGUAUCAUUUCUUGUAGAGUUUCAGCUCUAGUUCUGCCAAGCAUACACCCUAACAUCUUUUCUUGUUCCUCAGUGGAAAAGUAUUCUCCAAAUAAAGGCCAAAGUUGAAUUUCUUCACGAUGAAUAUGCCCCGAGAUUAUUUUCUGCAUAGACAGGCAAGUCUCAUGGAGCUUCAAACACAUCUGUCGAUAUUGUAGACUUCCCUCACCCGGUUUGUCUAGAUCAUCAUGCAGGGUGGCAAUGUCAUUUAGCAGAGAUGAAACUUUGGCAAAGUUUUCCUCCUCCAAUUUAUGGUCAAUGGUGUAAGACUGGGUAAUGUUUUUGAGUUUCCCCUUUGAUUCUAGAGCCGGAAAGACAACCUCAUCCUCUGAAGCACUGUGAAUGUCAUACAGAAACUUUAGAAGUUCAAAAUGUCUACGUAAAUCAGGGAUAAACUGAAAGCUUUUGGCCAUGUUAGCUGAAAGAAAGACAAUGUAGUCCAGAUCUCUUAUGAGAGCUUUGUGAAAGCACACAAAAUGAUCCAUUGGUCUUGAUUCUAGAGCCAAAACUUUUUUGGCAAUGCCAUUCUCAGCAGGAUGUCUCACAACGAAAGAAUAUUGCUCCACAUUUGAGGGGAGAAUUUAUGAAGAGUCAUUCCACCAGAUUCAAGCUUCUCAUUGGUUUUGGAAUGAGAAGAUGAGGGGUUCCAGACCAUCUUGUUAUCUUUUACAGCAGGGCUCGGCUCAGAUUCUAUGGUGUUAAAUAUAGUGCAGGCUUGCAUAUCAAACUUUAAAUUAGAAAACCCAACAUCCUCCCCAAUUCGAUCAGAUGUGAAAUAGAUUCCUCUGAUAAAAUUUUCUUGCAGAUCUUUUGCAAACCUUUCCAUGGAUAUUUUACCUAAAUAACCCAUGCGAACCCAACUAUGCAACAGAAUUAAAAUUGGCUUGUUGCCUAAAGGGCAUGCAUCUGUCAUGGCAUCCAGCAUGGUCUUGAACUGCUCAUCCAAUAAAGUAGCAGAAAACCAAAGAACAGCGCAUUUUAACAACCCAAGAGGCAUAGUUUUGAGACCUGCAUAUAACAGCCACAGCAGCAUAUUAUGGCUGCACUUCUUGCCAAUAGAAGAAUAUACCUGUAUGUGACUAAAAACAAGGUUAAAUUCAUAAAGGAGGAAACAUAUUUCUUACAAAUAAAAGCAGGCAGAAGUUUAUUGGUUGUCCAAAAAGAUAUGGUUUAGUACAGUCUGUUAUCUGAUGCCCUAAUCUGCCAGUGCUAGAAAUAAGUGGAGAAGAUGAAUAUUAUUUUCCAAGAUUUUUUUUCCUGCAUCUUCAGGGUUUUACAUUAGAGGAACUGACACAACAUCAUACCUCUGUUUCUAUAUGUGUCAGGUUUUGGCUAAUUCCUCUCACAAGCAACUCCACUUCCCUGCAAAGGCCCUUCAGGAAAUUGCUUGGUUGUGCUCCAUCUUGAAGCACUCCGUACAGCAAGAAUUGAAGUCUUUCGACUUGACCUUUCUCCACAAGUCGUGUGCAAGAUAAUGGUAGGACAUUCUUGGAAAGGUCAUUUACCAGGGGAAAAAAUAUUUGAUUCAAUGCGUUGCUGCAGAUUAAACUCUAGUAUUAGAAAAAUAUCUGGUCAUUGAAGAUUAAAAGGUAUUUCUGAACAUGCGUCAAACCUUCAGCAAACAAUUUUAGUUUUGUCACAAUGCAAAAGAAUAUUUUCAUCUCAUUGUUUUUCAUGAAAAGUUUCAGCAACUAAAAAGGCCUCUGAGGUAAAUGGGGCAUUUCAGCAUAACUUCAAUUCAGAAAGAAUAUAUACUGCAUGUGACAGUUACUACAGCUUCUCACGCUGCUGAGUAGAAUAUUUGAAGCAAAGGACUGACAUACUUUUGGAACAGCCAACAACAUCCAAACUUAAGCUUAUCUUCUUGGUCUAAUUGAUUUAAAGAAGAUAUAACAAUAACUUGGAGACCACUCCUGAUUGAGCAGAAUUGCUUAUUGGGAACUAUCAAUUAAUAUGGAGGUUACCUGUAGGAGAUAAGGACAUCUAAAAGGAAUUGUAGCUGAACUACUAUGGAAGACAAGUUUGACAUGUUGUUCGAGCUUCUUAUUUGGUAUAACUCAUCCAGAACUUUCCUGAAAUCUCUUGCAAGAGCAGUAUUCCAAAUGUAAAUGCCAUCAAGUGGGUUUGGUCCUAUAGAUGUGUAAAAGGAACAGAGCUUUGAUUUUUCUUCUUCACCAAAAUCAAAUGUAUUUGGAUGUAUCUUGAGUAUCUCCAUGGAGCUAACGUGUCCACUGUAAAAUUGAGCUCCUUGUCCAUAGACAUUGCAGGCUUCAGGAGGAGAAGGUUUCUUAUUAUUAAGCCAAGAGAUGACCACCUUUAAGAUGGAAAUCAAUACAUCAAGUUGGGAUUAUAGACUAUGAUCUUGAAGCUAAAUGUUAUUGUCUACCUCUUCAAGCACUUCCUCCUUGGAUACAACAAUCUUCAUGCAAUCCAGAAGGUCUAGUUGCUCAUCUGGAGGAAGAGAACAAGCCAUCCACGGCAGAAAAUCUUCCAAUAAAGCAAUAGGAACACUGCAGAUAUACUGCCAAACAAGCUUAGCCUGUUCUUCAGAAGGGAAUUGUCCUAUCAGCAAAGGAAAAACCUGCAACCAUUAUGCGGCUAAUUCAGUGUAGUUAAACUGCAGCUGCAAGAAACCAAGGAACUGAGAUAUUUGACUGUAAUAAGACUAAUUUACUGAUAAGUUGAUUAGUCAAAAACUUUCUGGGGGCUAAAAGAACCUUCAAAUUAAAACUAUUAUUAAACUGCAUCUAGUAGAGUAAAACAAGCGAAAUAACACUCUGCAGAGGCCAUCUAUUCCUGCAACCCACAACUCAAACACUCUACCUUAGCUUUCAUUUCAUUUGUCUGAAUAUAUAAGAAUAUUAAGCUGGAUGUAGUUUAGCAUAGAUAAAGACAGCAGAUCAUGUUAAGAUUUCUUUAUGUUGGUUAAAAUCAAGCAUCGGCUCAGCUAAAAAGGGGUGAAGAUGGUGUUUAAGUCUCAUCAGUCACCCAGAUAUUGCAUAAUUCUCACAUAUCACUUCCUCCUGGUUUUCUUUAAAAUUAUGCACAUACAAGUCAGUGCAUUCAAAAAUUGUUUAAAUACCUUUCAGAGACAACAUCAUCAUAACUCCAAUGCAAUAUAAAAUAAUCUUCAUCUCACCAAUUAUGUACUCCUUUAAUUUUCAUUUAUACUAAAGAACAUGUUUUAAUUACUGUUUAAUUUUGAUGGUCUUUCCUAUUUUAUGGCUUACUUGAUAAAGUUGUGUGCUCUCAUAUAUGUUUUCAGAUACAGCUAGGUUGCAUCAUGUCGAGUAUCCCACAAAGUUCUGCAUGAAGUGGACCAUUAGCAAGUUGUAAUGGGGUUUAUCUUAGCCAAAGAUAGCCUAAAUUUUCUAUUUUAUCUCUGCUAUGGAUCUCAAGGAGCAUGGGGAGAGAGUAGUGAAACAUAUGUUCUUCUUUUUUUCUUGUUUCAAGUCCUAACUGAGUUUGGAGCUCUCUUUGAUGGGAGACAACAAAGAGAAUGUCUCGUUAUCCUUCUUAAAUCUAGCCAUGCUGAAGAAAUUUCGUAUGACCUUGCCAAUCUUUUGGUUAGAAUGGUAUCGAUUGCGAGUCAUUUUGCGUGACUAUGCUUAUGGUUUAAUAAUUUCCAGAAAUUCAAAAUGUAGGAGUAUCAUAGUGGAAGGAAAGGAAAAGAAAAAGGAAAGAGCAAGGAGAAACAGAAUCCAGUUGAUCAAAGCAUAAAAAUCAGAGAAGUAACAACAUGUAAAUUGGAAGUAUACAAAGGAGAAGUAGUAAAUACCAAUUUUUCUUCCUUCAGCAUAUGCUCGCAGAUAGCGGACUUUAUAGAGCUGAUGCAGAAGAUGAGUUUUUGAAACAGAUGGGUAAAAUCUUCACACUCUUUUCUUAAAAGAUCCAAGCACUGGACUGUGGAGCAGAAGUCAUCAUUGAUGCACUUAUGUUCUAAUGCAGAUGUAGUCACCACGUUCUUUACUUUGCUAUUUAGAGCUGGAAAUACAAUCUGCCAAAAAUUUCAGAUAAAAAUUUCCACAGUAAUUGAUGAACUCAACGUUUAACAAAUUUAUUUCUUGCAUGAUAAGGAAAAAGAAUAGAAACAGAUCAAGUUGAUCAGGAGAAUCUCACCAGCUUAGUGCUAAUAAAGUAAAAGAAAGGGAAAUGUACUCAUUAUUUGAUGCUUGCUGUAUCUAGCUCAAUAUAUUUCCAGUCAAAAUUGUGUUCAGCUUCUCAGUAAGACAAUACAUUUCAGGACAGAUCUAAAAUGUUUUGGUAAAUUUUCUUCCAAUAUUUCACAAGUGAGCAAAACACUGAAAUAGUCUAAAUCCUCUGGGGAAACUUUGUGUGCCUCAGUAAGUUUGGUACAUAGGUUAGGAAUGAGGACUAAAUGCGUAAUAGAGGACGCCCUGAUGCUAUCCUUUGACGUUAUAUUGAAGAUGGUUUCAAAUCUUCCAUGUUGUUACGAUUUCCUUGUACCGGCUACGCCAAUCAUUCUAUUACCAGGUUAAGGAAUUGAAGUUCGUUCGGCGAGUAUUGUCAUAUAGAAGCCAGUUUCGAGGACUCUCGAGGGAAGCCUUAAGCAAACCCUGCGUCUUAAUUGCCAAUGAUGUGAGAAUUUCUGCCUAAUGACCUGAUGGCAUUUCUGAUAAAAUAACAGGGAAGGAGCUGAAGCAACUUAAUUGGCAUUUUUGAUAGUACAUCAAAUUGCCCCCCCUGGGAUCCUAAACAUUGAUUCUCCAUCACCAAAAACUAAAGUUUUAAUCUUUACAGCUACUACCAAAAUCAAGCAUAGUCACCACAUUUUCACCUCAAUCCUGUCUAAAGAACCAAAACCCUGUGCUACAAUCACAUCCGACAUUCUUAUGAAGUAAUGAUACAACAACAAAAAGGGAAAACAACACACGCCAUUUGUUCAAUGACAACAAAUCCCACAAUAUAAUUUUGCUCAAUAAAAAGAAACGAGAAAAGAAAUUAAUAGAAACACCUCCUCAGUCCUCACCUCAUCUUCCGCUGCAGCGUGUACUUAUAAACAAGCUUAAAGAAGUCAAACCUCCGGCCAAGAUCAUCCACAAACUGGCGAUCAGGGGACCCAAUGUCAGCCACCUCCAGGGCGGAGCGGUGGAGCUGCUCAAGCUCCCUGACAAAAGCCUUGUGAGAAAGAACAAAGAAAAGAAUAGGUGCAUCAACCAGUUUCGCACCAUCCAGGCAAGGUAAUAAGGCCUCUGUUACUGUUAUUGCAUCCUCCUCCCCAUCCUCCUUUUCGGGUUCUUCGCCGGCCAUUGACUAAAACAGUUCCACCUCCACAGCCACCACCUAUCAUUAAUGGUGAAAGGGGCCAAAGGGGAAGCUCAAUCAUCAAAGUUCGAGUUACUUAUACUAUUUGAUUGAUUGAUUGAUGCCACUGUCUUUCUUUGCCUGUUGGUUCGAGGGAGGCCUGUUUCUUGCCACUUCGAUGUUCAAACUUCAAACCGUGCUCGGCCUUUUUUAAUGCUCUGUUCAAACAACUACUAAUCUAAUAGUAGUAAUGGAGUAGGGGUGGAAUUUGCACUUAUCUAAUAAAUAUUACUGUAUUAUGACAAACUUAUUUAACUAGUGUGAAUGGUCCACAUAAUUAGCAUAAUCUGUGAAAAAAAAAAUUGAAUAUUAUUCAACUGGCAUCAUAAAUAUAAUUUUUCAAUCAUUUUUUUUAAUGAAAGAAUUGUGAAAAAUGCCCCUAGGCAUUUGUGGUGUUCUGCAAGUUACUCCCUCCGUCCCACUUUAAUAGUCCUGUAUUUCUUUUUCAUCUGUUCCAAACUGUAAUCUACUUUCCAAUUGAAGAAUGUAGUUGUAUUUUAAUUUUUUUAAAAUACCCUUAUUCAAUGUAAGCAGUUGUUACUAUAAACUUACCCCAUUUAACGAGAGUUGAUUCUUUUUUUACUAUCAAUUCAAGUUCCCAUAAAGUUAUACCAUAUUUAAUGUGAGGGUAUUUUAGAAAAAUAACAAUUUAAAUUUACUUUUUCAAUAAAAUUAACUACUUUUUUUUAAAUUGUGUGUAAAAAGAAACAGGACUAUUGAUAGUGGGACGGGGAGAAUAUUUCCUAACAUUUUCUUUUUGACAAUUCAUCCCAUUAACUCGUAGUAGUAGUAAUAAUGGUGACAGUUAACGGGUAAAGGACAAUAGUAUCACUGGUAAAAAAAAUGAAAUGACCACAUACCAUUUCCCAGCCGCUCUAAACUUGUCGGCAUUCUGUUUGGCAGUAUUUUGCUGUGGGGUGACAUAGGAUUAGCGUGGGAGGGAUUAAAGAAAGAUGGGCACGCCUGCACCAAUGGAUUCUUGCCACAUCAAUGUCCACUGCACUUAGUUUUGCGGUGAAAGUUCCCCACUGUUUUAAUCUAAGCCGUGCACACACGCUCCAGUCAUUUCCGUUUUCCACCUUCGUUUGGGGAAACAUAAAUUAUGCGGAGGAGAUUAUCAGAAUAGGAUCAAUAUGACAAUUUUAACAUUUCACUCAACUGUUUCUUCAAAAUUAUAUGGACAAGCAAUAGUAAAUAUUUGAUAAUUAAUGUUAAUAUUUUGUUCAUUAUCAAGAUGUGAACUUUCUUUUUUAAAACAAGGACGGAAAAAGAACAAAAAGAAAGGGAGGUGAUAAAAGAGCUAAACAUAAGUUUUUAUGCUAACUUGAUAAACACAGGUAAUAUAAUUUAGAUUGAUGCCAUUUCACUAAUUUUUCUGUAAAUUGUUUGGUUUAUUAUUUGAACAAACACAAGAGACCUGAGAUUUUAAAUGAGUGAUUAAUUAGAAAAGUUUAAAAUCAAUAGCAUUUCGUUAAUUUUAGGAUUUUUGUUAUUACAGAGGAGGUAAUCAUUAAUUUCUUCUAUUUUUAUUUACAAGACAAGACUAAUUGUUUCAGAUAAUGCGUGUCUGAAUAAGAAUAUCCUUGUGAACAAAAAUAAAAUUGACAAUUUGGGCAAAGCAAAAGCAACAAGGGAAAAUAGGAAUAUAAAUGAUAAGAUUUUUGUAAGUAAUGUUGAAAAUAUGUAUUUGAGUUAUAUAUGGAUUCUUUGACAAAAUUUGUACUAGCGAACAGCAUUAUACAUAAUGACGUCCAAAAUUAAUAAAAUGCAAGUUUCACAGUAUGAAUAAAAUAUAUAAUAUUCAAGUCUAUCAAUGAGAAAAUUGUUCUUGGCUAGUUAAUUAGAUAAUGUCUGUCAAAAGCAUUGAUUCAGCUAGUAUACUUUUUAAUCAAUUUGCAAAUCUUCUUAAUUAACUAAAUAACAUUAGAUCAAUUCCCCUCAAAAUUGAAAGAAUUUUCAUUGGAUUCUGAGCGUUGCACCAAUUGAAAAAAUUGCCUUUUAUUUAAAUGGUGUAAUCCUUUUAUCUUGAAUCUUGUACUACAUCUCAAGCAAAGCUAGUAUUUUGACGGUGACCUUGAGAAAUAUAUAACUCGAUUUGAUUGUAACCCUCAAAAUGUGAGCAAUGGAUCAUAUGACAGGAAUUAUGAAGGAAUUAUCAAAAAAAAAAAAAAAAAAGAAUGAUGGAGAGUUAGAGGGGCGUGGGUGGAGCGUCCAAGUAACAUGCUCCUCUGGCAAGUGGAACUUGAAGUAAGAAUUAGAGCAGAAAUUCAGAUAGUUAAAGCUCUCCUGACCGUAUGUGCAGAAAUUCAGAACUCCUGACUUGGGACUUGAGAGUUAGGUUUAACUACUUAUUUCUAAAUUUCUGAAAAAAAAAAAAAAAAAAAAAAAAAGCUCUCCUGACCGUAUGUGCACCUCACAACAGGCACGCGCAAUCGUCGCAUAUGCGCGUUCUGGCACGUGUCCCAUAUACUUUAACUUUCACCUUCCAAUUUUGCUUCUUAUAAUUAUUAUGACCUUCUUCUCAAUUAAUACAACUUUAAAGCAAAUACUUGGACUUUGACCGUCUACUAAUUUAUUAGUAGUUCGUUAAAGCAGCUGACUCUUAUUUCUGGUUAAUAAGAAGCAAGAACAAAGUCAACGUAAUAAUUAAGUCAAAUUAAAUACAAGAAAGGGGAAGUACAAACAACUUGGAGUAUCUUUUAGUUAAUAUUGCUUAAUAUUAGACUUUUACAUAUCUUUAUAAAAAUUUACAUGAGAGAAAUCUCAUGGUUCACAUUAGUCUAGUUAAAAAAUACUACAAUUUUGACUGCAAUCAUUCGUUAUGCUAUUAACAAUCAAACACUGUGUAAAAUCAUCCGUUUCUAGAUUUAUUCAUCAUCUAAUCGAGGUACGUUAAUUCGAUAAUUGCUGAAUAUCAACACUGGAUUAAGUUUUGAAUAACGUCUGAAUGCAACGAAAUGAUAAAUACAAAAGGACCGCCUUUAAAUGAAAACCUAAAUGUAAAUUACAUUCACUAAACACCUCUCAUCGAACAUCUAUUGAAAAAACUCGUGAAGUAAAGUUGAACGUCGAUCGCAAUUAAACUACUCGAUACUUUAAAAUAGGUGCUCACAAUGUGUCACGAACUUGUCGUAUUACGUUAGGGGUUCUGUGAUUACGCCCCAUGGUCAUUGUCAUCGUGAUAUUCAUAUCAGAUUUGCCAAUUUAAAUAUUUAUAAGCCGUACAAAAUCUAAAACCGUGAUGAUCUCUCGAGUUUUAUUAUGAUAACCAUGCUUUGUAGUUUAUUCAGCUCCACGCAUGCUGAUGGAAUAAUAAUUAGUGAUCACUGGCAGAAACAAAUUAAGGGGUGGGGCAGCGACAGGCAGCUGCCCCGGAGACUCCAGAAAUAUAUUCCCUUAAAAAUUACUAAUAGUUAUCUUUUAUAGCGUUGUAAAAAUUAAAUUUUGCUCCUCCCAAAAUUGUCGAGAUCAUUUAUGUUAGCUUAAAAGUUAAAAGUUUUCACUUAUAUACCUGUAAAUAUUAGACUCUACACUGAAAUAUUCCGCAAAAAUGUAAGGUUGCCCGGCCCCUUAAUAUAUUUUUUUUCCCCUGAUCAUUAGUUUUGCUCCCUCAAACUCCAACCUCUGGUUCUGCCAGCAUUGCUGUGAACGAUCCAAAUCAUCAUAUAUACUUGGAUAGAGGAUUAUUUGUCAAAAUUUAUUUGCUUACAUGUGAGAACCCUAACUUCCCUCAAUUUUCUUGGCCUUUGGCUUACUUUCUUUGCCCCAUUUUAGUGAAAAUUUGUCAACCCCUUUUGGUUUAAAGUAUGAAAGGUCGUGGAUAUGUGCAAUCAUGUAUGAGAUAUGUAUGGAUGUGUAUGUGGUAGAAAUACGUUUGAGCACGACAAUCGAAUUCGGAAGAAAAAAAAAAAAAAAAAAUUUUGGAAAGCUGAAGUGGCCAAAUCCGGCCGGAAAUCCGGCCAGUUUCUGGCCGGAUAGCUGGCCGGAUUGCCCUGCGUUUUUGAAAAAAAAAAUGUUUCCUCUCGGCCUCAUAUCCGGCCAGGAAUCCGGCCAGAAUCCGGCCGGAUUCUGAUGUGACACAGCCGGUCAGCAGCUUUGACCGGCUGUUUCUUCCUUCUUAUCCCCUUGGUUCACCAAAAUAUCUUCAUUUCCUCUUCUUGUCCAGCCGUGAGCUUUGAGAGCAAAGAGAGAAAAACUCUUCAAUCUCCAUCUUUGAUUUUUGCUUCAAUCUUGAAACUUCACCAAUGGAUUUUUAAUUCCCUCCAUACAAGUGAUCUUCUUGGAAGGUUAAAGCUUUUGGGUGGAGUGUUUUGGCAAGGGAAGCUUUGAAUUGCUAGUCUUCUUGAGUUGUGAGGUAAGAUGCUUAAGAAAGUUCUCUUUUACAUUGAUAAUGGUUAAGUUGUGAAUUAUAAGGGUUGGAAAUGUCAUUUUGUGAGUGAUAUUGUGAUUUGGGUUGAUUUAUGGUGACAUUUUAUUUUUUUAUUAUGAUUUUUCUAUUUGAAUUUGAUGUUGUCUAUGUGGCCAUGUAAGAUGAAGGGGAAUGAUAUAGAAUGAGGCUAGUUAAUGUAAAUGAUGGUUUAAUGCAAGGAAUUCUUGUUUGAAAGGAAAUUUGGAAAAGUUAGGGUGUCACACCCUUCAAUUCUGGCCGGCCCUGUUUAGCAUAGUUAGAGGCCGAAUUGGCCUUUGCUUAAAACAUGAAAGUUGUAGGUAUUGAUGUGUUAGAGGUGUCUGUAAAAUUUCAGGUCAAUCGGAGUAAUGUAGAGUGAGAAAAGUCGAAUUUACCCCUGCUGCUCUGGUUUCAUCCUAACUUGGGAAUUGUUGCAGUAAUUAGCUAUUUUGGCUAGGAAAACUUCUGAACUGGUUGUAGAGGUCUUCUAAUGAAAUGUAGCCUGAUGUCCUAGCUAUCAUUUGGCUUUGGAAUCAAUGGAUUUGGACCUAAGUAGACCGAAUUAUAGUUCGUUAACCAGAACGUGGUUUGUCCACCUGUAUUUUGCAGUUCUGAACUAGUGUCUUGUAUUUUUGACCUAGUUUCACUACAAACUGGAUUAAGUGACCUUCUACAUUGUUGUAGCCCUGCCUCUUAGUUUCGAAACGGUGGGUCUUACACCCUAAACCAAUAAUCGUAGUGCCUUUAGUGCUAUUUCCGCAAAAUGUUGUCACGCAUUGUUUUAUCUGAAAGUGUUUCUAGCUCGCUUUUCGUAUUUAUUGUUGUAUUUAUAUGAAUUUAAGCCUAGUGAUCGGCUUUUGGACAUGAGGUUAUUCUAUAUGACAUGUUGGGACUGAGUUGAGAAAAUAAUGAAGCCAUUAAUGGCUGGAAAAUAGGUAAACACAAGGGACAUGCCGUCCGUUUGUUUUCUUGGAAAUUGAAUGAGUUAAAGUGGUUUUUGGAAAUGUAUUUUGUAUCAAGUUGGGUGUAUUUCCUAGAGAAUUUCAUUGGGUCUUUCAAAUAGGGAUUCGAGGGCUAAGUUCUAGUUAAACUUGUAUAUUUCUGCAAGGCAACUAAUGUGACCCUUUUACCGUUCGAAAACAUGUUACCUCUUCGAUUUGAACCACCAAAUGUUUACUUACCCCGUAUUCAAAAUAAAGAGGUAUGAAUUAGGGGUUUUAUCGGCCAAGUUAGGGUUUUCUCGGCCACAAGUGAACUACUUUCAAGUAAGGUUUUAAGAGUCCUCUUUUCCAUAUGAUUCUCAUCAAAACCCUUAUUAUAUAACUGCUACUUGAAUAUAUAGUGGCUUGUAGCUGCACGAAUGAUUCUUUAUAAUUCCAAGAGAAUAUUUCCUUAGCCUAUCUAUUGGGAUUUUAAUUUGUUAUAGUUAAGUGUUUCUUUUAGAGACUUUAUAACCCUCUCGGUUUGGGUCGCAUUAGGGUUAUUCUUGUCUACGGAUCCAAGUGCGCUCUUUACAUUUUGAAGGUCUUUUAUACGUCUACUCGCGAAUAGUCGGGUAUUUCUUAAUUGCAUCUAAAUCAUGUUAGAUGGAUUGUAAUGCGAUCUUUGUGAAAUUUUAGGUUUCAUUGGUGAUUGAGAAUUGGGCGUUGUUUUGCGGUUAUAGGUGAGUGUUCCUUAUUUGUUAUAUUUCCUGAUUAUCUGGCUUGUUUGAAUGAUUGAUAACAUGUUAAACGCUUUCAAUGAUUGCUAAAACGAUUUUCGAGGCGAGUGUGUACUUUACCGCACUUAGCCUAAAUGAUUGUGAAAUUUUAAUGAUUGAGCGAUUGAAAUGUUAAUUGUGCAUGAAUGUAGGCCUUCGGGCUGAACUGGCCAUAGCCCCUUGUUACCGGUCGUCUCGAGCCAGUCGGACUCGGUCGAGCGAUUAGGAACUUGGGUGAACGAUCCGGUAUACUCGAGUAUUACCCUGUAGGUUGGUGGAGCCUGGCCAAAAGCCAGGGACGGGGAGAAUGAAUGAAUGAAUGAAUGAACGAGGGGUUUUAUUUAUACAAAAAUGCAUUUUCAAAUGAUUGAAGGUUGGAGAAUGGAAGGAGAAUGAAUGAAUGAUUGGCUCCUUGUGAGCCCGUAUCCUUUUAAUGAAUGUGUUUAUCGCUUUAUUGUACUUGUAUCGUGAAUUGUGGUUUACAUGCAUUUGUUUCUCUUGUUGCCUAUGUGUACGGAACCUCACUGAGCUUUCCAGCUCAUCCCUUUAGUUUUGUUUUCCUUAGCAGGGGAAGACGUGCGAGGACGGAAGCUACGAAUAGAUUAGCCGUUUUAGUACUUUUGAUUCUUUUGUUUGGUUCUCGCCCCAAUGUUUGGUGGGCUGGUUGUAUGGAGAAUGGGGAACCUUUGUACAAAAGUUGUUUUGCUUUUGGAAUAAAUAUGUAUAUAAGUUUACGUUAAGUUUGAAAUUUUUGUUAUUUCGAUUGUUUUGUGGAUUUUCUUGCCUUCUCUUAUAGCAACUGACUGAGUCCCGGCGAGAGCUGGGCAGACGGUCCGCCGAUACCCUGGGGUACGCCCUAGGGAGAAGUGGGACCGUCACAUUACAUCAUCAUUACAAUUUUCAACACACCUUUUUAUCUUCUCAAUUACUUUUUUAUCUCACAUACAUCACAUCACAAAAAGUGUUACAGUAAAAAUAUCUCAAAUAAUUUACAAUGCAAAUAGAUUCAUGGGCUGCAUCCUGUUAUGCUUCCCUGUGGGAUCUUUAAUUAGUUGAGCUUAAUUACUUUAUCAUAUAUCCAGGGUGGCAAUGUAUUUUCAGCAAUGUCACUAGUCUAUAUAUAUUUUAAGAUUCAUGGCAGUUCGAUUUCGUCCAACAUGGGUUUUCUGCUCAAAUAUUGAAGCAGAUGCUUCAGAUUCAGGUGUAAAUGAGGCACAGCUAUUCAUAUAUACAAUCAAUCUUCGCCGGGGGGGGGUAAUAGAAGUAUGUAAGAUUUCCUAAAAACUUUUUAUUUUUAAUUUCAAUUUUUGUCAAGUGAAUUUUUAUUUCUUUCAGAAGCAGUUGUAGAUAUGCAUGUAAAUUUUUAGCCACGAAUCUUGAUACUUAAUAGAGAGAUUAACUACAGCAAGUCAUUCAUGUUAAUUUUGCCAAUGUGUUGAGCACCUCAGAAUAUUGUUCUAUUUUUGGAUUGUUGUAUUUUUUAAAAACAAGUUUUUCAAAUAUAAUAUUACAGUAAUAUACAAAUAAAAACAAUUCAGAAAACAUUUCAUCCAUACAAUAUAUCAAAAAUAACUCACAAAUAUACACAAAAAAUAAAAAAUAAAUAAAUUCUACAACAUUUUAUUUCUAUCACCACCACCCCUCCCUCUUCCCUCUUCCUCCUCCUCCCCUCCCGCUCUCUUCUUCCUCCUCCCUCUUCCCCUUCUUCCUCCUCCCAUCCCCUACACCCAAGCCCUUCCAUUCCCUUCCCUUCUCGAUGUGGUCACGCCGUGACCACAUCAAAGGGGCAAGAGGAGGGUUGGGAGAAAGAGAGAAGGAGAGUUGGAGGGGAAGAGGAUGGGUGGAGGAAGAAUGAAGGGGAAGAGGGAAGGGGAGUUGGAGAAAGGAGGAGGGAGAAGGUGGUGACGGCGGUGGGUGGGGGUGGUGUUGGUAGUGAUUGUAGUUGUGGUAGUAUUAUUUUUUAGAAAGGAUCCUACAAAUAUUUUAGUUUUAAAAGGUAUCUCAAAAUAUAUUUUAAAAACAUCACAAAAAGCAUCUACAAUAAAAGUUUUUUCAUAUACAUUGCUAUGAUAAAAUAUUUCAAAAAUAUUCCAAAAAAUAACUAAUCCAAAUGGAGCAAAUUCUAGCCCAAAGGAACCCUUAAAACCUGUAACGUCCUAGCAAAUUGUUAUUGCGGCCAGAAGGAAGCCUUAAAACCUGUUACGUUCCUAUUGCAUGAAUCUAUCUCCCAUGCAUCAUAUCCCCAGCCAGAGGAGGUUCAACCACGUCCGAAGAAGAAUAGAUUAAGACUAGUUUGGGGCUAGAAUACUUGCAUAAAAAUUUCCAUCCUCUUCGAAAGUGAAAAUGACAUAUAAAUUUGCAUUCUUGGCUCUAAUGUCAGUCUAUCAAAUGUUUUACUUUUAUCAUUGUGAGUUCCUGAUAAUUCAAUUAAAACAAAAAAAAUCGCACCACUUAUAUGUGUUACCAUACCAAUGUUUGCAUGGAGAAGCCAAAAAUUAAAAGGCCCUGAUCAGACCACCCCAGCUUGGCUGAUGAUUUUGGAGGGGUUUGUAUGAAUAUCUUCUUGUUUGUCAAAAAGUAUUUGAUUGCAUCAAAAAAAUGUUUCUAAUUGCCUUUUUUUUUAAUUUUGCAUAUAUCACAUUAUGAAAAAAAUUCAAUAUCAUUCAAAAUAAUCUUCUAUGCAAACAUAAUCCAAUUUGACACAACCCACCUGCGGGAAUUUCCAACCAUAGAGGCAGUGCAACUAUCUGGUAAACAUGCCCGAUAUGUUGUGUCCAUGGAUGCUUUAGAGUUAAAUGUGAUAGUAUAAGUUUUUGGAUUAAAUUAGAAUUAAUUUUUGCUACACUGAUAGCGUAUACAGUAGUCCAUAAUAGGACUCCCUUAUUUGUUAAUCACAUUUUUUUUUUGUUUUACUUGCGAAGAAGAAUAAAAACAGUUUUAUUCUUCAUUUCAAUCACAACUUUAAAAAAUGGAUGGUUAAUAAUUCAAUGAAAUAUACGAGUAUUGUGUAUAAUCCGCAUGGUCAAAAUGUCAAAGAGAGUACUAUUAACUUCUUUCCUUGAAAAUUUUGUGCAUUAAGAUGAAACUAUUAUCAAUAAGUAAACAAUUAUUUCAUAAUGCUUCGUUCAUUUUUAAUAACAUAGAACCUCUGACUCUCUGAGGUUCUAAGAAUUAGAAAAUCUAUAAGUUCAAUUCUCCCUUCUUCUUCUUCUUUACUUCUUAAAUUUUACACCUCCCUUGUUAAAAAAAAAAAAAAGGUCACGUCGAAUCUAUUGACCUCAUGUAAUAAAGUAAUGAUCCCAAAUUUUAUUGGGAGUCACUUUUUGCCUAAAAACAUAAUGCUCACUACAUGCUAAAGAAAAGCAUAAUUACUUAUAUUCCACGUUCAUUUUAGAAGUUAGAAAUUGAAAAGAGGGUAAGAUACACAUAAAUGUCCUUUUUUUCCUUUUAGAUUAAAAAAAAAAGUUGUCUCCGGUUGUUAGCACUUGAUAGAGCAUGACAGACUCCAUAUGUUUGGAUAGUAAAUUUUUUCAAAAAAAAAAAAUUCGCUUGUAUUAUAAAUACAUUUUUCAAUUCAUUUUUUUAUCCAAUCACUUUUUUAUCUCACAUACAUUACAUCACAAAAAGUGUUAUAGUAAUUAUUUGGAAUAAUACUCUAUCCAAACAAAGCUAGUUACACCAAAGCAAUGACUACGAGGAAAGGGAUUGAGGACGAAAAUGUUGAUGGCCUUUUACUUUGAAUUAGGCAUGGCCACGGUUCCAGAACCGUCGGUUCUAGUUCUUCAAAGAGGUAGAACCAGAACUGCAUAGUUCUGAUUUUGGUUCCUUAUGGUUCUGAUUCUGGUUUCCGGUUUUGUAUGAUUGUAUACAAUUUUAUUUAAUUCCUUAUCCUUACCAAAUUUAAUACGGAUAUAACAAUAUAUUUAAAAUUUCAAAUAAAAUGUAAAAAAAUAUAUACAAAAUAAAGAUCAUAUAUUAAUUUUAUUAUUAUUCUACAAAGUAAGAAGUAAUAAAUAGAUAAUAUAAAUUUUAUGAAAAGUACAUUACAUUGUCAAAUUAAAAAAUACAUUACACUAUCAAAUGGUUGCCAUGUGUUGACUUUCUUGAGUUGGACAAUCAUCAAUGUUGAGGAUUCCAUUUGAAGAAAUAUUGCAAAAAAUAUUUUUUUGCUUGCUUGAUUUUGAAGAUGAAUUACUACCAUCAAAACUUGUCAUUUGAUAGCAAAUAAGCCAAAAAAAAAAUUUUGUAAGUAAUAAUUUAAUACUUACAAAUUAUAAUGAUAGAUAUUAGAUGAAUAGAAAGAAUUAAAUAAUUAAUAAAAUAUAUAGAAAGUCCAUAAAAUUUAAAUUUUCUUAAAACCUAUUAAACACAACUAAUUUUUUUUUGAAUUAUCUCACUACUUAUAUUAAUUAUUUUUAACGGUUCUGGAACCGACGAUUCUAGUUCUGGUUCUAUCUUUUAGAGAACCAGAACCGGAACCUUUAUCCAAGGUUCUACCACGGUUCUAGUUCCAUAGUUUUGGUUCCGGUUUCAAACGGUCCGAUUCCGACGAUUCCAAAUGGAACCAUGGUCAUGCCUACUUUGAAAAUAACAAUGACCAAGUUUAAACAAAAAAAGAAGGCAUGGGACACAAUUUGUAGAGGGAGGCCCGCCCAACUCUUGCUUUGGAGGUCAUAAACCUCUUAAAUUGCAUCAUUGCCUGCCAGCUAAAAAACGAAGGAAAAGUUUCACUUUCGCUACCUCCGAUGAAGGAAGGACCCCAGAUGGAGUCUGGUUGACUGAAUUGAUGAUGAAGGUUAGGUUAAUCAUCUGGCGUGUAACGGUCAAUGACUGAAUGUUAGAUCACUGUACUACGAAUAAUAAAUAUCAAUCGGCUUUUCACCCUACCAGUCCCAAAAGCACCAACAAAACUUGUCAAAAAAAUUUUAAGAAAGCGAAAAAAAAAAGAAAACAACAAGGAACUAAAUAGGUGAUGUGGCAUCACCACUGGUCAUAAAACUUUACUGUAAUUUUCUGUAAAAAUUAUAGAAAAAAUUUUUGGAACGUGUAAAUUUUUAGGUAUUUUAAAGUGUAUAGUUUAACAAUUUUAAAAUUUUUUUUGAGAUUAUUAUAGAUAAAAUUAUUUAUAAAAUUUAUAAAACACAAACUUGACAAAAAAUUUAUUUGCUAAACAAGCCCAAAGAUUGACCGGAUGGUGCAAAGUUGUGACUUUACAACUAACGGGGAAUCUCAAGAUCUUCAGUAAACUAAUUAAAAAGAGAAAGGAUAUAUAGAAGUUGACCUUUGACAAAAAAAUAAAAUAAAAUAAAAAGAGAAAGGAAAAACCGAUGCAGACAACCUACUUGAGAUCUCAAUAUCUUCAUUCGAUCCAAUAUACAAUUAAUUAAAGACAAAGAAAGGGUAGAUAGUAGGGUAUCCGUGGUCAAUGAAGAUCGUCACAUAUUGUGACAAAUUUUAUGAGAGGUAAGAUUCGAACUCUUGACCUUCCGCACCACCAAGUCUAAGAAGGCUUGGGAUGAGCGAGAGAAUCAAAAUAUUCGAUAUAUAUAUAUAUAUAUAUAUAUAUAUUUAUUUAUAUUUUCCGGUAUCUCUCAAUCUUAUUCCAAGCUCCUAAUAUUUCCAGUUAUAGUAACUAGUUUUUAGUCUCCAAUGUUUAGUACCUAUAUAGAAUUGGUUCUUAAAAUUUUGGCAAAAAUAAGUCUGGUCCUAAUGUUUAGCACCUUUUGGUUUUUAGUCCCUAAAAUUUUGGCAAGAACAAAUCUAGUCCAAAAUAUACACAAUUUAAAGCAAAUCUAGAACAUUUGAAGAAUUUUCUUAAUUAUAGAUAGAAUUUAAUCACGUACAAUCAUUUGUCCAUAAAGUCAAUUAUAAAAGUAAAGAAGCAAAAUAGCCGCUAUUUUUAAAAAAAAAAAGAGAUGAAGGACUAAUAACUCAAAUGCUAAUUGAUUAACCAGCUCAAAAAAAAAUGAAUUUUGUUAUGUUACAAAAUGGAAACCAAUUAGAGCGCCUAAUUCAUCAUUCCAAACUUGUUUUCACUCUCCCUCCGUCUCCAAGCAGAAGACCCUAACACCCAAUUUUCGGGUAUAAUUUAACCAAAAAAGUUUUUUAGUUUCUUAGUUAAUUAAUUACUCAAGUGGAGUUAUUCUUAUUUUUCUAAGUUAGUCACUUCUUUAAAAAAAAAUAAAAUAAAUUAACGAACACGUGACUGCACGUGACCAAUUUCGUCGGUAACUAAGAAAACUCGUCAAAUGUCAUAAAUCGGUUCCAAAUUGAAAAAAUGAGGACUAAAUUUGUUUUUACAGAAAUUUUAAAGACUAAAAUGCUUAAGAUGCCAAACAUUGGUGGCCAGAUUUAUUUUUUAUCAAAAUUUCAGGGAUUAGAAUGCUGUAGAGAUUAAACAUUGGGUGGGGACCAACGCUGCAUUUCUCCGCCAGAAACUAAUGCAAUCAUUCCUCAUAACCUUUCUACUACCGGAGUAAAGAGUAUAGACCUGCACAAAAAUUCCAAGAGUCCAGGACCACAUAUUUAAACUUUUAGACUGCCCUUUCAAAAUUUUCAGAAUUCAGAAGCAGAAGCCCGAAUUGAAUGGAGAAUAGCCACCGCCAUCAGCACCGCGGCAGCGGCAGCAAAUGGAUAGCGGCGUGGCGAGCAUAUGGAUACAGUGCAGCUGCGGAGCAUCGUACGCCUUCGGAAUCUACUCACCAAUCCUGAAAUCAAGCCAAGGCUACGAUCAGGCCACGUUGGACACCGUGUCAGUGUUCAAGGACAUCGGGGCCAACGUCGGGAUCAUCUCCGGAUUCCUUUACUCCGCCGUGGUACCCGACCGGAGAGGGAGAGGGCAAGGGCGGAGCUGGUUACGGCAGCCCUGGGUGGUGAUCCUGGCGGGCGUAAUCCAAUGCUUUUUGGGCUACAUCAUGAUGUGGGCUUCGGUGACCGGAAUCAUUGACCGGCCGGGGGUGGGAUUGAUGUGUUUGUUCAUGUUCUUAGCAGCUCACGCUCAGACUUUCUUCAACACCGCUAACGUCGUGACCGCUGUUCAUAAUUUCCAGGAUUACAGUGGGACCAUUGUUGGUAUCAUGAAGGUAAAUGUCUUUCUUACGUCUUCAAUUAUUGUUAAUUUAUUACUACUACUACUACUACAUUUUACCUCUGCAUGGUUAAUUCUACUACUAGUAUUUAUGUUUGCCUAAUAUUCCGUCUACAUUAAAAUGGAGGUUUUUACUUCUUAUUAGAGGUUUGUGACCCAAAUGCACCAGUAUGAUUUUUUUUUUUUUUUUUUUUUGGGGUACAAGGCAAUGUUUUGAAACUCGUACAGUUGAUUGAACCGGUAAUGUGUUCGGAUCGAGGUUUAACCAGUCGGAUCGAUUCAAUCCUGGUUCAAUAAAUUUUUUUAAAAAAUAAUAAUGUAUAUAAAUAUAUAUGUAUAAAAUAAGACAUGCAAUGGACUAAUUUAAGACUUUAUGGGGUGAAAAGUUUAAUAUUUUCAAAGAAUUUGGAUUUUCACAAGUAAAAAUUUUAAAUUAUAAGUUGCAACAAAUAAAUUUCAUCUCAGCAUAAAUUGUGUCUACCAAAUAAUCUUAAAUUCAACCCAAAAUUGUCACAAUAUUCUAAAAUUAUACAAAAUUCACGUCCAUGGGAAUUAGAUAUUAUGAGUUUAAAUUUUUAAUUCACGUUUUUAGAAUUUAGAGAUUGCAAUUAUAUAUAUAUAUAUAUAUAUAUAUAUAUAUAUAUAUAGAAGUUUGGAAUCUGGAGGAAGUCAGGAUAAUAGAAAACAGAGAUGUAAACUUGAUGAAAGGCAAAAAAUGAGAAAAAAGUGAGUGGACGUGGCAUUUAAUAAUUAGUCUUUAGAAUUAAGAAAAAUCUAUUCUUUUUUUUCAAUUUAAUAGACAAAAACAAAAAAAUGCCGGUUCAAUGGUUCAAUCCAAUUUACAUGGUUUUUACCAGUUUUAUCCCUUGCCUUUUUUUUUUUUUUCCUAGUUAUUUUUUGCUGGAUAGUUACGCGCGAAACUGAAAUUUGGUCUCAACAAAGUUUUGUUUAUAGGACAAACUAUUGGAAAUGUUUAUUAAGUUCUGGAAUUUUGUCAAGACGAAUCAAUUUGCGGCAUGCCUAAUCAAAAUCGGUCCAUAUCCACGUGUAUAUAUAUAUAUAUUAUAUAUAUAUAUAUAUUUAAUGCCAUUGCUAUUGUGACAAAAUGCUAAGUUAAGUUUUACAGCUCCUUUUUUUUUGUGUCUAAACCCAAUUUUUUAAAAAGUUUUUCUUAAAACUACAAUAGGCUUGGAAGACCAUGGCAUCUAUUAUGCCCUAGUGAUCCUCAACCAACGUGUAAAAUAUAUGUAGCAUUGACAGAAAUUUGAGGAACUAACGUGUAGAAUAAAGGCAGUACUCGAAGGAAAUUUGAGGAACUAAUAUAUGUACAUAUUACUUCUCAGCUAACUACCAAAACGUUAAAAAGAAGUAUAAAAGUUACUCUCCUAUUCUUCCAAAACGUUAAAAAGAAACAAAAGUUAAUGUUCUCCUAUUCGUCUUUUUUGGGGGUUUUUGGGUUAAUUGUUGUCAAGUUGUACAUGCAUGAUCGGAGCUACACAGAGGGUGUAUUGAAGAGUCAUCAUACUCUUGCAUUCUUGUCUGGGCAGGGAUUUUAGGUUUGAGCGGAGCAGUUGUAAUUCAAGUGUACGACACUUUGUUUGAAGGCAAUCCUAGCACUUUCUUGUUAAUCCUCGCACUGCUUCCUAGUCUCAUUUCCAUCUUGCUUAUGUGGUUGGUCAAGAUUGAUGCAGCGCGCACCAAAGAUGAGAAGAAAAAUAUUUGAAUGGUUUCUCUGUAGUUUCCCUGGUCGUUGCUGCCUACCUUAUGAUCCUAAUAAUCUUGGAAAGUGCCAUCACUUUGCACUAUGGUCUCGAAUCAUUACCUUUCUUGUCCUCCUUUCUCUGCUGUCUUCGCCCCUGGGCGUUGCAUGUAAAGCUCAGAGUGAUAGCUCGUUGAACCUCGCGUACUACACAUCGUCCGUUGGACUCCUUUGAUGGAUGAGGCUGAGCCAAUUAAGCAGGAGACAACGUCGUCUCGAGCUGCAAAUCCGUGGAUAUUCAUCCUGAUGAUGAUGAAGUUCAAAGCAAAUCCGGCUCUGAGGAUAUGCUCGACCUUGGAGCGGAGUUAAACCUCUUCCAAGCAAUGAGAACUGUCAACUUCUGGUUGCUGUUCGUUGCUAUGAUAUGUGGGAUGGGUUCAGGGCUGGCCACAAUAAACAACAUCAGCCAAAUAGGGCAAUCUCUUGGCUACUCUACUGUUGAGAGGAGUACUCUGGUUUCGUUGUGGAGCAUCUGGAACUUUUUAGGCCGCUUUGGAGCUGGAUAUGCAUCGGAUAUAUUCCUCCACAGAAGAGGCUGGGCAAGGCCUUUGCUCAUGGCUCUUACGCUAGCAGCCAUGACUGCUGGCCAUGUGGUUAUUGCUUCCGGAUUUUCUGGGAACUUGUUUAUCGGUUCAGUGUUAGUCGGCGUAUGCUAUGGCUCUCAAUGGUCCUUGAUGCCUACCAUUACCUCCGAGAUAUUUGGAGUACGACAUUUGGGUACCAUAUUCAACACGAUUGCUGUGGCCAGUCCUAUUGGAUCUUACGUCCUCUCCGUUAGAGUCAUUGGCUACAUUUAUGACAGACAUGCUACAGGCGAAGAAAAUACAUGCUACGGCAAGUACUGCUUCAUGUCAUCUUUCUUCAUCUUGGCAUCUGUUACUGUCCUCGGAUUCCUCGUUGCACUGGCACUAUUUUUCAGGACGAGAAGGUUUUAUUCCCAGCUUCUGGUUCGAUGGUUGAGGCACACUGCAAUAGAGUUAGAUUCUUCUGUCUCGGGUAUUGGACAAGAAUCCCUGGUCUUCGUUGAAUUCUACUCAGGGAUUGGAGUGAAUAAUAUACGGAGUUGAGCAGGGCUUAGCAGCAGCCCAGUUUUGACUAAGGCUGUUUCAAUGAAUGUUUCCUGUACACAACCUUUAAGAGUUUCAAGAAUGGCUUACAGCAGCAAUUCGCCUGGCACUUCAACGCUUACAAUCAGGUUUCUGUGGCAAAUAUGUGAAUCCUCACGCCUCAGUGUUUUCAUAGAAUCAUGUAUAUUUUCUCCCCUUUUUCACAUUGAAUGGUUUUUUGUGGGUGAUAUUUUUUUUUCUAUAUAUAAUUAAUGUAUUAUACUCCAAUUGUACUACACAUAUUUGUUGCAUUAAAGCAUUUUAUCCAGAAAUGUCUCACAAAGCUUACCUGCUGUGCUUUUCAAUCUAUUAACAAAAUGACCCACAAUCCAGAAAUGGCUUUGAAGGUAAAAUUGGGGGAAAAAAAACAAGUGCCAACAACUAGUCCUCCCAACGCACUCCCCUACAUCACUUUUCAGUCAACUCAUGUGCAACUCUGACGGUAUUAGUACAUUCCUCCUCCUUCCUUUUUUUUCCUUGGGCCUCCGUUCAUUUAUUAAAACUCUCGAGUUUCAGCAACAAUACAUUCUCCAGUAAUCUCCACUCCAAAUAAAGAAGCUCGCAUGGAUUUGGAUCGAAAAAUUUAAGCUUCUCAAAACGGGCAAGGGAAAAUUAACCCAAAAAAAAAAAAAGUAUGGAGCUUGAUUACAAUCCGAGUUACAAAACCAUAAUCAAGAAGAAUAAAUGGGUUUCCACGGCGGCCAGCAUCUGGAUUCAAUCCACCAGUGGCUCAGCCUACACCUUCGCCAUCUACUCUCAAGUCUUGAAAACUAGUCAGGCUAUAAUCAGUCGACCCUCGACACUAUUUCUGUUUUCAAGGAUUUUGGUGCCAACGUCGGGGUGCUCUCCGGCCUCCUAUACUCCGCCGUCACCAACCCCCGCCGCAGCAGCAGAAUUGGGGGCCCUGGGUGGUUUUGGCAGCUGGGGCGGCCCUUGUGUUUGUGGGCUACUUCUUCAUGUGGAUGAGUGUUGUGGGGAAUCUGCCGAGGCCGCCGGUGCUGCUCAUGGGCUUGUACAUGUUGUUAGCUUCUAAUGCAACGACGUGUUUUAAUACGGCUAAUGUGGUUACUGCUGUUCAUAAUUUUCCUGAUUAUAAAGGGACUGUUGUUGGCAUCAUGAAGGUAACAAUUUUCUUCUUUCACCUUCAUUGUUACCAGCUUUAUUUUUUCUUGGUAUUGGUUUGGGGUAAUUCAUGGAGCUUAUCAUUCAAAAUGUUUGGUUACCUCUGCAGUAGUAUGCAAUUUUGUGUUUGUUACUGGAAUUGGAUUUUUACAAUGAUGGAGUAAGUGAUCAUGAUGCUUUUGUGCCCAAGCUACUGAUGGAUACCUGCCUAAGCUCAUCGAAUGGAUUAGGGGCCUUGCUGCUGCUUGUUUCUUAUUAAAAAAAAAAAAGAGCUUUAUGAAUGCAGUUUGCUGAUAAGUUAACGUUCAAUGUGCUAAUGAAUAUUGUUGUACACAGAGGUUGAGAAAAAAGGAUGAUUUUUUCUGAACAAUCUUUUCUGGCCAUCUCUGGUUUGUGUAAGUAGUCAGCCCUAGUUCCAUAGACGGAUGGAAAAAAAAUGGUAGAAGGUCUUUGACUUUGAGCUUCGAGGAGAUACAGAGCUUCAAGCCUAUACCCCAUUACAUCAGGAAUCUAGAAAUGCAGAUUUUACUCAUAUCUGAGAGUGAUUUUAGAUGCAAAUUUAUGUCUGUAUAGGGCAUAUAAAUCUUAUACUGUUUUAGUUUGUGGAACACUGGCGUAGUUUCCCAUUGCUUAUAUCUGGCCUUGGAGAUUUUACCAAUACAACUCUCGGUGAAAUGGUUUGUAUCCAAGCUUGUGAUUCCUAAAAUUUGAUGGAGAGUAAGCACAAAAUGAACGGACAAAUAGCCAGAGUUACUAAUCUAGCUUGAGUCUGUGUGUUAAGGACCGCAUUUCUAGUUUGAGUUUGUAUUUUAAGCAAACAAAAGAAUAAUUCCCAUGGUAGAUUUAGCUGAUAUGGUGGCAACUACAAGACUAUACAGUGUUUAGAUAAGAAUCGAAGGUAUCUGUCGAUAAUGAAACAUACCAAUGUAUUAAAAGCUAUUUGCAUCAUUCUGUUGAAUGAGACCAGACUGCUUGGGGUGGAGGGAUUUAGCAUUAAGCCCUGAAUGCAUGCUUAUAUCGAAUUGGAAAAUCAGUUGCAAAAUUUCAAUUCUGAAGGUACUCAUCCACUGAGGAGUGGGUAGCUUUUGGCUAAAAUCUCUAGAUUUGAGGACUUCAAGUGUCUAUAUUUUAUGCCCCAAAUCACGGGCAAAUGCACCAUUAUGCUUGGUUAAUAUUAUGAUUUUUUCCCCUUUUCCCCAUUUUUUCCCACUUUUUCUGCAUUUUACGGAUAGUUUGGAUUUAUAAUUUUAGGCAUGGUUAAUGUUUAGUUGAGUGCGGUACUUCUUUUCUCAAAGGGGUAGUUGGUAUUAUGACACUAAAUUAAGAAGUAUUAAAAAAAAAGGGUCGGGACUUGGGGCCUUCCACGGGUGUAGGCAGUCCGUAGGGUAAUGGUGGUAUAACUUUCAGACUCUAUCUAUGCCUUAUCAUCAAUUUUGAUCUAAUCAAAAUUUAGUGAAGUGUCAAGAUGGGGAUAUGUUUGAAAAAAGAAAAAGAAAUUCCUAAAGUAGGCCCUCAUCUCUAAGUUGUUUGUUACUGAUAAUGAGCCAAAUGAAGGGAUGAAUUUGCUCCAUCGUUAACCCAAUAUUUUCUGUAAAAAAAAUGGAAUUGAUAUAUUAAAAUUUCUGUAUACUCUUCAAAAGUAAGAGUUCAUUUUGAAAUGAGCCAUUGAUUUUAUUUAUUUAUCUUUUGGUUUACUUCUUGUCGAUGGAACAUCUUAAGGAGUUGCAUUUCACCUAAACACAAUUAGAAAUUCCCUCAUACAAAUCAUCAUUUUUUGCUGAUGGAAACUUGGUUUAGAAACAAAAAUGAAUGAGAUUAAAGUUCCCAAUUCUGAUGCUGCUUAUAAUGCUUUUGGCUAUUGCAUUUUGAUUGGGAAAUUUUACAAAUGUUAAUUUGGUUGUAUAUUUCAAAACAAAAUAUGAAAAUUUUCUAAUUAUUUUCACUUUUUGAGGUAAAACGAAUUAAUCAAUAAUGAUUAGUGCUUUCUUAUUGUAUUUAGAUACAUACAAGGUUGUCUCCUUUAUGUGAAAACGUCAACUUCAAAUAUUUAUUUCCUUGCUUGCACUUGUUGAUGUCCACCCACCGAUUUCAUGUGAAGCAUAUUUAUUUCGGAGGUCAAAUUCACAAACAAGAUGUAACUCUAAGCCCAUUAUCAUGAAUUGAAAUUUUUAAAGGUGCUUGGGAUAAAUUUGCAAGAUAAAUUUGAUUGAAUAAGGCAUCCUUGUUCAUGAAAAGGAUUUUAAUAUUUCAGCAAUAUCUGAAAAUAUUAGGACUAUUUAGGCAAUUCGAAUGCUAUAUUUCUGAUUUGGAACAAGUGUUUAGCUACGUUUACAAUGUACAUGAGCUGACAUCCUGUAUAGAUACAUCUAUUUGGACAGACUUUCUGGUUUUAUUGGUAAUUGAAUUGGAUUCUGUUGAAAGCAAUGAUUAUGUGGGUGGAAUCUACUAUUGUGAUAUGUCUGCUUUGCUUAUAUUUUGUUGUCUCCUUUUUCUAGUUAUUUUUUGUUGACAACUACCUAAUAGCUGAAACUACAUCUGAAAAAUGUUUUGUUUAUUGACCAAACUAUUAGAAAUGUUUAUUAGGGUCUUGAAUUUUGUCGUUCCCAAUUUGCAUAAUAUCUCAAUUUUUAGUUUGAGUAAAUUUUUUUUUAAUCCAACAGGAUUUUCUUGUCGAUUAUUUACCAGAGAUAGAAAUUAAUAAGGUGGAUUGCAGACCUAUUCAACUUCUUCUCUUUGGUAUUAGUAAAGCUAAUGAAAGUCAUUUAGGGCAGAAACCAAAAGUGGCUGUUAAUCGAUAUCGACACUUGAUCUUUAACAGAGUACCAUAACUAUAUCUUUAUAGUUAUCAUUAUUAUUUUUUAAUGAAACAAGCCACUGCAAUAUAAAAUGUUAAAAUUAUUUGAAAAUUUGCUUCUGCAAGUGUCCAUUAACUUAAGCCAUGUGUGGACAUUAUUUUUGGUUUACUUUAACAUCUGCAAUUAACAAGAAGGCCAGAAACAUAUACUUUGUGAAAGUUUGGUGGUCUAUCUGAUGGAAAGAAGUUGACUCGCCAAUGGUCUCUAAACCUUGAUUUACUUUUUCGCGUCCCUUUCCUUCUCUCUCUCUCUCUUCCUUUUUUCCUUUUUGUUUGUUUGCUAUAUUUUUUCCAACUUGCAAGACAAUACUCUGCUCUCAUAUUUUCUUUGUAGGGCUUUCUUGGCUUGAGCGGUGCAAUAUUGAUUCAGGUGUACCAUACAAUUCUCAACGAGAAGCCAACCACAUUUAUUUUGAUGUUGGCACUCUUGCCCUCCAUAACUGCCCUUCUGCUAAUGUGGUUUGUAAGAAUCACUCCAACUAAUGAAGUAGGCGAAAAGAAAUACCUUAAUGUUUUCUCGUUGGCUGCUGUAGUUCUUGCUGGUUAUCUAAUGGCAGUAAUAGUCCUAGAGAAUGUCCUUACAUUUCGUUCAGCAGUACGAAUUUCUACUUUUGUCAUACUUAUUUUGUUGCUAGUGCCACCUAUAUACAUAGCAAUUAAAGCCGAAAAGGAGAAGGCAAGGAGGAUUAUAAGAUCCUUGCUUGAGCAGAACCAAUUGGUUUAUGAUGGAAACCAGUUGGGCAACAAUUUCGUGCAGACCAGACAAGAUCCUGAGGGCCAUCAAGAGAUUUCGUGCGAUGCUGAUGAAGAGAUGAAUAUAAAUAAUGAAAGGACUGUUCCAGAACGGGGAGAAAAUCUGAAUCUUUUGCAAUCUAUCUGCACCAUCGAUUUUUGGUUGCUUUUUUUUGUUUCAGCAUGUGGUAUGGGCUCAGGACUAGCUACUGUUAAUAAUGUCAGCCAAAUAGGAGAAUCUUUUGGCUACUCCACUAUAGCAACAAGUACAUUAACUUCUUUGUGGAGCAUCUGGAAUUUCAUUGGGCGGUUGGAUCUGGGUUUGUGUCUGAUUACUUUUUGCAUGCACAAGGUUGGUCAAGGCCACUGUUCAUAACCAUCACUCUGGCAACUAUGAGCAUUGGUCAUGCUGUGAUUGCUUCUGGUUUGCCUGGUGCCCUAUAUGCGGGUUUGGUUCUUGUUGGUAUCGGCUAUGGCUCACAGUGGUCACUGAUGCCUACAAUUGUUUCAGAGAUAUUUGGUCCAGCACAUAUGGGAGCAAUAUUUAACACUGUCAGUAUUGCAAAUCCUGUUGGAACUUAUAUUCUCUCAGUUAGAGUAGUUGGUUACAUCUAUGACAAAGAAGCGACAGGGAGUGACAACACUUGCAUUGGAACUCACUGCUUCAUGUUAUCGUUCCUUAUUAUGGCAUCAACUACUGUUCUGGCGUCUCUUGUUGGUUUAAUAUUAUUCUUUCGGACAAGAAACUUCUAUAGACAAGUUAUACUGAGAAGACUUUAUAUUCCCAUCAGGAAUCUGGAGUAAGAAUUGAUGUUCUUUGGCAUGUCAAGUUGAUGUCUCAAAUGAUCCAUCACUUGGAUUUGGUGUCAUUGUUGCUGUCCACUGAUAAAAGGUACUGUGCCAGAUCUCCUUGGUUCAUCUAUAGACUAGAAGAAAUUCACGUUCUCUGAGUUCGAGAAAAAUUUAGCAUCAUCCUUGAAAUAUUGGUGAUUAUAAAUUCAUAGACCUGACCCAAAAUUUUCACCAAGCAAUUAAGGGCAUUCCUGGGCACCUGUCUUUGAUGAGGUUGAAGUGCUCAUUCGUCGACAGAGCUCGGUUGCAGCAGCUACGCUGGGGGCUGUUCUGCGUGCAUGAUCAGUUGAUGAUGUGAAUUUGUUCAAGGCGUACGUAUGUGCAUCAAUGAGGUAAACUGCUUCAAGAACCUGGUUCCAUCUUCCAGCAAAAUUUGAAAGUCCCAAGUAGAAGCGGAUCAUCUUUGCUAGCACCAUCAUAAAUGAAAUUGUGGGAUGGAUCAGAUGCAUUCAUUCUCUUUGAACUGAAUUCCGUCUUCGGUCCGAGACGAGAGGCAUCUAGACGAUGUUGGGGCAAUCCAAUGAUGAAUGAGUUGAUUUGGUAGUGCUUGAACAUUGCUUGCUGCAAAGUUUGCACGGGUUUCACAGGGAGAGCAGUGUAUUCGAUUGGAUGAGAUAAGCCUCUGCAUGGAAUGUUGCUAGGCUUAGACCAUCAUUGCAUGAUGAGCUUGAAAAUUGACUGACUGUAUUAUCAUAUUUGCUAAGCUUAAACCAUCAUUUUUAUUUUCUUUCUGUAUGUUUAACGGACCUCCCAAUUAUACUUAAAAAAAAUGAAAAAAAUGAAAAAAAAAAAAUUGCCUAUCCGUUUAAUGACAUGUGUUGUGUUGGGCCACUAAUCAUGAAUAAGAGAGACCAUUCGUUGAUCAAAAGACCAACAGCCUGACCUAACCGGCCCAAGACACAUACCCGUCCGUCCACGGUCAAACCCACUGCUUUUCUUUUUCCUAAAUUUUUUUGAAACACUGUCCAAGCCCACUUUAAGUCGGCAUUCUACAGAACAUGGACUGGACCUCUCUAUCUGGGCAGGCAAAGUGAAUUAUUAGUACUGAAUUAAUGUUCCGAUCAGAAUCGCAGAAGCAGAAUUUAAGAGAGAGAGAGAGAGAGAGAAAGUGGCAGCGAAGAGGAAGAAGAAGAAGAAGAAGGCUUUGCAACUUUCAUGCUCUGAAGCGACGUCGUCUGGGCAGUGUAUACAUAUACCAGUAGCAAGGAAACUCGCAGAAUAAAUAUACAGAGAGAGAGAGAGAGAGAGAAGGGGGCGCCGGCGCGUAACAAUGAAGACGACAAAAGGAGGCAAGGUUAUGAACCCUACCGAUGCUUACCGGAAAGAGCUUCGCAAGAAGGAGUUAAAACGGGUAUGCUAUACUAUUUAUCUCAUUCUCUGUAUUUGGUUUCAUGUAAUUCGUUUGUGUAAUUUUGAUAUAGUUUCCUGUGUAUUAAAUGUUGUCCGCUCUUGUCUUGUAUGCAUCAAAUUUAGAUUUUUGUGCUUACUUAGGGUUUUGGUGAUUUAUGCUGAAUUUUUAUUUUGAAUGAGGAUAUGAAUUGGCAAACAAAGAGUAAAAAAAAAUAUAAUAAAAGCUACCUUUUUAAUUAUUAUUAUUUUUUUAUUCUUAAUUUUUUUUGGGAAGUUGUGGUUAAUUUGAGUUUAGGAGGUGAUAGUGCAUUUGGUUUGGUAUGAAAAUUGAAUUAUGACUAGAGAAGAAAAGCUGUAAAUGGCCGUGUUGUUUAGAAAAAUGUGAUAAAAGUGGGACUCUAGUAUUGUACGGCUGCUUAAUCACUGUUGUAUAGGAUUAUAGAAUGACAGCAACUUACUAUUUUCAUCUUUGUAGACGUUUAUGGGGCAUAAAUCAAGCUAAAAUAUUCCUUAGAUAUUUGGGAGAGGUGUAGAAGGUGUGAGGAGGGAGGGUAUGUUUUGUAGUUGAUCAUCCUGGAAACAGUACAUAUUAUUUAGUGGCCAGGCAGGGCGGACUGCUGCUUGUGGAGAGUAUCGACAAGCCGGCCUUUUAGACUAUCACUAGCAUCUAAUUGUUGUGCACUGCUAAAGGGUGAUGUGAAGACCAACAGUAGAUAUGAUGUCCCAGAAUCUUGAUAGAAAGGAUAGCAAAGGAGUAAUCAGAGUUCAGGGAUAGAAGACAAGUUGGGUUCAAUUUUCUAGAGGUGCAUUUCAUUAGGCAGUUUGAUAGGUUCACGAACUACAUGAGCGAGAGGUAAUUAGUUUGAAGUGCAAGAUUUAGUGGUCAAAACAACUAAGCAGCAGGAUGCAGUGGAUUGUUUUGCCGCUAGAAGCUAACUGUAAUGUUCUGGCAUAGUGUUCCUUCAACUUUUUCUAAAGUUCAGUUUUAUGCGGUACAAUGUUGCAUUCUAGUUUUAUUCAAGACCUCAUAGGAUUCGCUAUAGAUUAUGAACACCUGUUAAUUGCAUGCAUAAUAAUGGCCAUCUAUGUGCUGGCGCACAAAUUCUUCUCUGUAACUUGUCUUUUAAAUAUUUUAUCUUCUGAAACUCAUGUGCUAAUUUUGAUGCCUAUGUAGAACAAAAAAGAAAGGAAAAAGGUGCGGGAGGUGGGGAUUUUGAAGAAGAUCCUGAGACACUAAGGGAGCAGAUAUCGAAGCUGGAAGCCAUGAGUAAGUUUGACUGUUCUUGAAAUGGAAUUGAUCUUGAGGAGUGAGACUUUCUUAUUUUCUGUGCAAUUCAUCUGGGAUUUUAGUGUCAUGUCUUUUCUUCUUUUUUUGCAGCAAAUUUUAAUGGAUGUGGGAAUACUGCAUUUAGUUUUCCAUGUUGUUUAGUCCUUAAAAUGACUAUCCAGAAGAAGUCAAAUUAUAGUAAAUACUAAUGCAAUCCUCUCAAUAAAAUUGAAAUUAUUGUGACUUGAGGGGCUUUUGUUUGCAAGUAACUUUUCCUGCAAAAUUGUGUUGAUGUAGAAACAAAGAACAUUGCAGGUGCUUGGUUCCUCACAGACAAUACAUGCUGAGUUAUUAGUUUCUUUUAUUUUAAUCAUUUCGAAGGUUUUUUUUCCCCUUUCAACAUCUUCGGUUGAGUGGUGGUUGGAACUUCUGAGCUUUUGAUAACCAUCAGUCGAAGUUUUAGUUGCAAUUUAAAUACUUCGGCUGUUUAAAUCUUUCAAAUGGAUAAGUUAGACCAAGUUUAUACUCCUAUGCAUGUCAGGAAGAUGAAGAAAGGAAAGUGCUGUCAUAAAUUUACAAACACGCCCUAAUUUUAACAUCAAGAACAUAUUAAGUGCACCUUUGAGUUGUCAGAUGCAGGUUAUUUGGAAGAGUAGAACAUAUCUAUUGACUACUUAGGUCAUAGUUCUUAGUUAAGAUAUUCACUUCUUCUUCAAGGUCUUCCAAUCUCUAGUUCAUGUAGGGUGCUGCAGUAAUGCAGAGCAUGAUGCCAUACUGUCAUUGUCUGGGAAAAGUUGGAGAGUGGCGGAAGGAUGAGAGGGAAUAAAUUUUAUUUGUGUGACUAUUACUCGGCAAAUUUCUUUAAAUAAUACUAAAAAAAUAAAAAGUCCCUCAAAUGAGGCAAAUGUGAAGGUUGUUCUCCAAAUAAAGUUGCUACACCCCUGGUGUGCGGCAACAAAGGAAAAUCUUUUUUUAAUAUAUAUAUUUUUUGAAAUAGACACUAAGGAAACAUAUUUUUGCAUUUCGGUCCUUCAAGAAAUGCAAUUAAAUUAUUAAAAAACUUAAUGUGAGAGUAGCGUGCAGCAACUCUCACUAUUUAAAAAAAAAUAUCUAUGUUAGAGUUUUUCCAAAUACCAAUAAAGGUUCAUUGAUUUUCUAUCUUUUAUGGUUCUUUGAUUUUACAUUUUUACCUUGAUUCAACCUGUAGCAACAUGGUACUAUAUGUCUUUAACAGCAAACAAGACCUCAGCCCCGCUUUAUAUAUAUUUAUUAUUAUUAUUUUUGGGUCCAAAGUCAGCUGUUAGCUUCUAGCCAGUUGAGAUACAUAUGGAUCAUUUUGUCAUUCAAUUUUACCCAGGCUCAAAAGCUCUGGUUCUUGUUAAUUAGUUGAUAACCAAUUGUUAAUCCGUUUUACUUGUUACAUGUUACAACAUGGAUAUCAGAUAUUUCCAAUCUGAGUUCUUAUGUGGAUUAAAAGUGGACGAGAUAAACCUACACAGACACACUAGAAUAGAGUUCAUUAUUCAGGGUUGAUAGUUUUGCUGCAGGCCGUCUUCCAAUUUUUGAUCAAUACAUAAAUUCUCUUUUAAACCACACAAACACACUAGAACAGAGCUCAUUAUUCAGAGUUCGUGCAGUAAUUUUGCUGAGCAUUUCUUGCUCAUAUUUGAUUUCUUUUUGCAGGAUGAGAGGUCUGUAAGGUAAGGCUUAAAUUGUGAUAGGGUCGUCAAAAAAUAUCACAAUUAGAGUUCUUUUUUUUUUUUUCAGUUUUCAUGGAUGGGAAUAGUCCUCAAUUGUUGAUGCUCGAAUAUUUUUUAAGUAUUUAUUUUUUGUAAAUUCAGUGUUAUAAUCAUAGUAUAUACCCUAUUUUUCGUAUUUCCAAAUUAGAUAAGCCUUAACAAGAUUUGGGCUCAGGCCAACGGCAACCAGAGCAAGAUCUAAACUCUUUCACAUACUUUCGUUUUUUAUGAAAAUGUAUUAUGGCAGAAACUUAGGAGGAUUAUUUCUCAUUUCAAAUUUCCCCAACAUUAUUCAGUCACUGGUUGUUUAACACAAAAAAGAAAAGAAAAAACAGUAAGAUUUUUUUUAAAAUUGUGAAAGUUUCUAACAUAGAUUUUUUAAAAAAAAAUUGUGAGAUAGUUUGCAGCAGCUCUCACAUUAAAUAUUUUAAGUUAAGGACUGAAAUGCAAAAAUAAGUUUUAUUAUUUCCAAAAAAAAUUAAAAAAAAAGAAGAUUUUCCUCUGUUGCUGCACACCUGAUGUGUGGCAACUUUAUUUGGAGAACGACCUCCACAUUUGCCUCAUUUGGAACUUUUUAUAUUUUUAGUAUUAUUUAAAGAAACUUGCCACUAUUACUCAUUCAAAGAAAAGCCAGACGAUACAAGUUUGAUCAUAUCUAGUUUACAAGCUUCAUUGGGUUUCCUACUAAAGCCCUUUGAUAAAGACUUGCUGUUUAGAAAUAUCUGUUUCUGCAACUAUGAAACAAUAUUGGGCUACACUUGUUGGUUCAUACUUGGAUUUAAUAUCUUCUACUCCCAAAUCAAAAACGCAUUUUUCAGUGGCUGUGGUGGUUUAGUACUUUGUGUUUCUUUCGGUCCUAUGUGCUUCUUGUUUUGAAGUUAUAUCCUUCUUAAACUCUUGGCAAUUUCUAGUUGAUAUUCUUUUCCAUGCCUUUUCCUUUUUGGAUUUCUGGGGUUUUCAGUGUUUGUCUUGAAAAAGUAUGCAGUGUUGGUCUUUGUUUUAGCCAUGUCAGUGUAUUUCAAGUCCUAAUAGCUUUUAAUUGAUUAAGUGCCUUGGCAGUGCCCUAAAAUGCUUUACUGUACUCAAUGCAGAAGCAGAAGGUGCUCUGGAUAAAGCAAGAAAACACAAGAAGAGACAACUUGAAGAUACACUAAAUCUUGUUCUGAAGAAGAGAAAGGUGAUGUUUCCUUAGGCAUAGCAUAUGUAGUUUUCCAUUAUUCUGUUCAUUGGAGCAUUUAUCUUGUCUCCGAGCAAUAAAUCUUCUUCUUUGACAGAAGAUGGUAUAUUUAUUUGAAACAUGGAUACGAAGUAAAGUGCUUCAGUAUGUAAAUAUUGAUUUUUGAUAUAGUCAUUACAUGAUAAAUUCUAUAGCUAUGUUUUCAUUCAAUUGCUUGGCCGGGUUUCUUUUGCCCUUCCUUUUGCCUCCAACUCUCCGCCCACAAUGAUAAAGCAAAUAACAAAUUUUUGGUCAAAAGAAAAAAAAAAAGGAAGCCUGGCAGGGGUGCUAGGCACCACUUCUCUUGCAGCCUGUCCUGCCCAGCACUCUCCUUCCAGAAAAGAAUGACAAAAGGAAGGCUGAGAUAACUAAAUCCUAAUGAGGUCAGUCUCUAGGCAAGUGUUGUCAAUGUUCCUUUAAGUUGUUCUUACACUCUUUGAGCAGCACAAGUUUAGGGGACGCGAGAAUAUAAAAUGGAGAAGAAAGUAUAACAAAAGAAGCCCCCUGUUAUGCUCCUGACCGUUUACUCAAGAUAAGAAAAUGGUCAUCUACGGAUUUGUUGCACUACUUCAUUGGUUUGUUAUUUAUUUUGCACUGCAUUUGAAACUGUCAAUUCGUUCCAUGUCAAGCAGAUGUUGCUGAGUAGUUUGUUUAACUUUUUUGUUUGACUGGUGAUUUACAUAUAUUGAAGAGUGUUUUUUACAUUCUUGGGCAGGAAUAUGAGGAUAAAGCAAAGGAUAAGGGUGAAACGCCAGUGAUGUUCAGGUGAAGACAUUUUUCUCGUGACCUAACAUUCAAGUUGUGAAGUUUGAAUUUUUCCUGAAUGCUAAACUAUUCAAACUAAUCCCUUGAAUUAUCUCUGCUGCAGCCAUUUGGGACCUCCUCCUCGUAGGCGCUCCGCUGCAGAAGAGGAAGAAAGAGCGAAGCACCCGAAAGCUGAAGUAGUUUCUUUCUUGAACCAAAAUAUCUUAUAUGUUAAAAUUUAGCUCUUCAUCUGUCUCAUUUGGCUGUCAAUUGGUGCAGGAUUCAGUUUACUAUCACCCUACACUAAAUCCUACAGGAGCUCCUCCGCCUGGAAAACCUCCCAUGUUUAAAUCAUCUGUAGGUGUGUAUUUCAGUUUCUAUUUUCUUAUGAACAUGCUGUUGCUCUGUCUGUCUGUGUGCAUCUAAUAGUUAUAUAUUUUGAACUACAGGACCUAGAAUACCAUUGUCUGCAGCCACAUCAAGUGGUGCUGCAUCUUCUUCAAAAUCAGACUUGGAUGAUGCUGCUUUACCCAUUCCUCCUCCACCUCCACCUCCACCUCUGCCUCGUACUGGUGACAUGGACUCUGGUGAUGCCUCCGAAUUGCCUGCAUCUUUGCCAUUGCCACCUCCCCCACCUGUACCACCAAAGCCUCCAGUAACAGACUCCGGUACUUUGUUGCCGCCUCCACCUUUGCCACCACCACCACCUCCUCCUGGACCCCCUCCAAAGGACCAAAUGGCUAUCCGUUCAUCACUCCCUCCACCCCCAUCUCUCCAUCAAUCUGCUCAACCUCCACCUCCUGGAACUGGUGGAAGUGAGACGGAGAAAAGCCAGUUUGCAAAAUCUGAUGAUCAAGCUUCACGGGAUCCAUUUCAGGUAUGUUCUCUCUCAAUCUCUCAGAAUAUGUAUUGGGGAAGUAUUAGAAACAUAAUCAAACCAUUAUCUUUGAAAUUUGUGAAAAGCAUUGAUAAAGAGUUUUGGCGUGCUUGUCCGAUUUCAUUGAGAAACGUGAAAUGGAAGAAGAAAAAUUUGUAAAUUGUAAUCUUUUACUUGAACUUUUGUCACACUGGACAUUACAUUCAUUUUCCUGAUAGCUGAUGUUCAUGGACUGCUUUCUUGUGGUUUAUGUCUAUUGACUUGAAGUAUUUGUUUCCUUUUGCAGGCAACAGCAACACUUCCCCCACCUCCCCCUCCUCCACCAAUGGGUUUGGCACCAAAGAUGGUCAAUAAUCAGUUGGAAGGCAUAUCUUCUGAAUCUGAUGCUAAUAAUCCUGGUUACGAUCUGUCAAAAAUGAUUCCACCUCCACCUCCACCUCUGAGGCAACAGCCUCCACUGCCAGGACCUGCCAUGGCUCCACCAUUGCAGCCUGAUGUUUUACCUCCAGGAAUUUCACGAUUUCCCCCACCCCCACCUCCAACAGAUAUGAGGCCUGCAUUGCCUGGCAGCGGAAUUGUUGGGCAACCUGCUCCACCUGGUGUUAUGGUCCCAGUUAUUGCAAGACCCUCUUUUGGACCUCCACCAAUGAUGAGACCACCACUUCCACCUGGUCCCUCACCUAUUCCACAAGAUGACCCUGGUGCUGGACUACCUGCUCCACAGAAACCAUCAUAUGUUAAAUCUGCUGCAUCAACUGUUGUUAAAAGACCCCUAGCACAGCACACACCAGAGCUGACAGCCAUGGUAAGUUAACAUCUUUGCUUGUGUUGUGCAUUUGCAUCUGCAGCAUUUGCUUUGAAGUAAUUAUUGAUCGCUGGUGAUAUGUCACUCCAUUUAUUUAUCUAUUAAUAUUUGAAUAAGUAUGUAAUUUUGCCUGAUGCAAAUUGGUUGAAGAAUCCAUGUUUGGAAGAACUAUCUUUAAUUGAGCUGUCUGAUACAACAACAGCUACAGAGGUUGAAAUACAACGAAAUUCUAGAUUGUAAGAAUAACCAAUCAUAUCGUAUCCAUAAAGUGGCAAUCACUCAUUUGGCACAAUCUGUAGAACUAUCUUUAAUUGAGCUGUCUGAUACAACAACUCACAUCUCCCUCUUAUGUGGCUCCAAAAUACUUGAAAUUUGUUACUGAGCCAACUUCUUUUAAGCCAUUGCAUUUUUAGGCCAGAAGUUUCCCUUGUAUUACUUUGUCAAAGCUGUCCAGGCUCUUGCUUUCCUGUUUCUUGUUAUUAGCAGUCUGUUUUAUGUCAUCCCAUAGAUGAUGUAUUUGGUCGAAAUUCAACAUGCUAAACUAUCUAGUCCACUUGUGCCGUUUUAUGCUUGCUUUUGCAUUUUGUUGCUUUUAACUCUCUCUUAUGUGUUUGCUUCUUUUCCUGUAUUCCAGAGAUCGAUCUCAAUUUUGGCUAAGCUUUUUUCCCCCCUUCCUAAUGCAAAAAUGUGUGGUGACGCUAUUGCUGGUAAUUUGAUUUGUCGACAUUGGUCAAUUGAAUGUGGAUCAGUCUGCUCCUGCACAUCAUCUAAUUAACUUGAUUUAAGAUAUAAAUGGGUGUUCAUGGUCUGACUUUCCUUGUCAUACAGCUUCAUAUGUAACAGGGUAGUUUGGUGCUGUAAACACAAUUUUGAGUUGAUAUCAUAUAAUCUAGCCCUUGUCGGUUAAUCAGUGGAGUGCCUACGUUCCCCCACAAAAAAAAAACAUCCUUGUUGUAUAUGAAAUAUGAUAUUCUUGCAGUCUUCAGUGGAAGAAUAUGCCAUCUUGUUCCUGAUGAUGUUUAGCAACCCCACUUACAUCAAUUGCCAACUUUUCUUCCAUUUUCCUUUAUCUCAGAAUGUUCCUGCGUUCUACUUGCAGGUUCCUGCUUCUGUUCGCGUCAGAAGAGAAUCUGCAGCACCAAAAGCAAAGCCAAAGCCAUCAAAUACGACACCAGUGAACCACGCAGUGGCAGCUCCAGCUGAGACAAAGCAAGAAUCAAGUGGCUCAUCAUCCGCACCGAAACCACAGAGCAUUGACGACUCCUACAUGGCAUUCCUGGAAGACAUGAAAGCACUGGGUGCUCUAGAUAGUUGAGCUGAUUCAGCCAUUUAAGGGAUCAAAAGGAAAGAAGACAAACUAGAGUAGACAAACAUGGGCUGUUAAUUCAGUCAACGAUAAACUAGCAUUAAUGGAGGCAUAUUUUUUUUUUCUUUUUUCCUUCCCCUACCCCUCUCCCCCCUAAUCCCUCCCUCUCCCCAAAUUCGGCGCGUUUAGGUUUGAACCUUGGUCUGUCAAGUGAGACAUCAAGUUACUCGUCUAUAGCCCUAACGACUAUUGGUCAAUUAUAUUAACUUGCGCUUCUUAAUUUAAUUAGUAUGAAAAAGAUGUCUAUACUCACGGGAUGGAGGAGUAUUUCAUUCGUUGAGCAUGCUACCCAUAGCAAUAAAAAAAGUUUUAUUUUAUUUUCUAAGUAUUUCAGUGGCACGAGACAAUCCAAGGUUGGAAAAUAAAAAUGAAGCGAAGUUGCAUAUUCAAAAUUUUUUAUCCUAAAAAAAAAUUAAGUUUCUGUCAACAAAAUAAAAACAUGGUACUUGUGAAUUGUAUAUUUAACUAAAGGGUAUAUUAGAUAAUUUACAAAUAAGAUCGAUGGAGUUAAUUUCGAAGUUAGUAGACCCAGACGGUCAAAAGGGCAAAUUCCCAAAUAAAUUUGUUUGAGGGGGUGAGGUGCAAAUUGACUCCACGUAUCCUGUAUGAAUAUGUUUUAUUCACUUAAAAUUCGUAACGGAUCUUCUGUCCCAUACCCUGUGCCACUCUCGGUCCACUUUUUAUUAUAUUGCUAUUUCUCCUACAUAAACAUCAUGUUUUAGUUUUUUUUUGUUUCCUUAAGAUUCAAUAACUAUUAAUUGAAUAAAAAUAAAUACAGCAGCUUAAAAUAAGCAAUAUAUAAUAGAAAAUUAAAAAAUACAGUAGAAAAUUCAUAAAAAAUCUCAUUUUUUAUGCAUUUUGAUUUUUUGAGUUUGUUAAAUUUUGUGUAUAACUCAAUUAAUAGUUAUUGAAUCUUAAGGAAACAAAAAAAAAACUAAAACAUGAUGUUUAUGUAGGAGAAAUAGCAAUAUAAUAAAAAGUGGGAUAGAGAGUGGCACAGGAUGUGGGACAGAAGAUCCGUUGCUCUUAAAAUCUACAAUGAACAAUUUAAUAGUAAGGAUUCCCUUUGUAAGAAACAAAUAUAAGCAUAUACUAAGGAGUCCAAACUCCAAUAAGUAAACAUAUAUUCUAUUUUUUUUUACAAUACUUAAUUUGUCUAUGACUUCUUCAAAUUUUAUGGGUUUUUUUUUUUUUUAAUUCUUUCUGGUUGGCAUACCGGGACCUCGAUUGGAUUCCCUUCCAUCUAGUCUUCAUUUAUCUGUUUAUUAAAUUAUAUCCUACUUAUUGAAGCUUUAAAAACAGGUAGGUCCAGACAACAUCUCCUGCCUUAAUCUAUUUGUUACUAAUUACACUUGUGAAAAACUUUGGAGUUGGUGAGAACAUGCGGCCAUCAGCUUUAUAUUGGUCAGCAGAUUGUCAUACUUGUUGUGUUCAAAAUCAAUUUCACUCGGAAAUUUCGGGUUGGACCUGAAACAUAAUUUCAAUUUACUAUUGUAGUUUCUGAUAGAACCAAUUUCGUACAAGGCUAAUUGCAUAAUCAAGUAAUAAAAAUCUCGAUAAAAUAAUCCCAAAUUAGAUCUGAAAUAAAUUAAAACACUGUAAAAGUAUUUUAUCCCAAACCAGAUCUAAAAUAAAUUAAGAUACUAUAAAAAUAGAAAAUAAUGUAAUAUAUCUUUUGUCCAAAUAUAAUAAUUCCAACUUCACACAAGUUAAACAAAUUCAUUUAUGAUUAAGUGGUUAAUGCCUUUGGGGAAAAAAAUAACUUAGUUUAGUUAGAUAAAAUAUUUUUAUAUUUAUUAAAUUAUUUUUAAUUCAUAAACGAAUUAUCGGGUCAACCUCUCGGUGACCUGAAUUCAACUUUCUUUUUUUUUUUUCGGGUUCAUUAGGUUUGACUCGAUUCUGACCCCAACUCGUGUUAUCUCAACCCAAAUCCAUUAAUUUCGUGUUAAGUUUGUGUCAUGUUUUCAAAUUAUGUCGAAAAUUGCCGCCUCUACUUGCACCACAAAGUAAACUUCUUGCCUCAUUGAUGAGCAUGUCAUGACCUGUCGUCUAUUUGUCUCUUACCCAACACUAGUUCCCGUGUGGACAUAAAAUCUGGAUAAAGCGCAUAGGUAUGAUAUAUACUGACUUAAUAAUAGAAACGACAAUUGGAAUUAAGUGCGACUAACUAACUAACUGAACGUUCGAUUGUUGUGCUUUUUAUUGAAUAUAAUGUACAUUUAUAUAAUUAUAAAUUUGAUCGUACUCAUGAAUUUUAUUAAUGUACAUGUCAUUUCACGAGAACACACGUUCCACCGUUCAGUGUCGCUCCGAGUGCCGCCGGGCACUCUUCGCUUCUCAAUCCAAUAGCCACUAUUCAUGCUGGUAGGGCCGCGCUCUUCCGAGUGGCCAGUGGCCUUCGGCCACGUGGCAAAAAAUACAGCAGUCCACCAGGAUGAACAGUGGCUAUUGGGUUGAGCAGUAAACAAUGUCCGGCGAUGCUCGGACCGACACGUGGACGGUGAAAGGAGAAGAUCAGUUGUAUAUAGAAAAAGUAGACUGAUGAGAAUGAUUCCAACUCCACCGGGAAGCGGUAGAUAUAUAUAUAUAUAUAUGAUUGGUCUGUAAAUGCAAACGAAAUUGCGAAGAAAUACAAUAACUAAUCAAAAAAAAAUUGCACUAAACUCAACUAGACCCCGACUUGUACGAUUGUAGUAAUUCCCUGUAACAUAUGCAUUUCUUUGUUGGAUACAUUAUUAUCCCCACUUCUGCUUCUCUGCUAGUAGCAAGUCCAAGUGCCCAAUUUAUUUAUCAUGAUAUGCAGAAUGUUUUUCAAUGCAUUCAAUCAAAUCUCACGAUAUUGCAGUUAAUGAAUGAAUGUAGGCUCUCAACUUGUCUAGCACGUAGCUCUUCAAUCAACCAAGAAGGAUGCAUCCAGCCUGGUUUGUCUAGACAGGCAGGCUGAGCUUAAUGCAUCUUCUCCUCUUCUCAACUACCCAAAUCAGUAAGUAGGAUAACUAUAACCUUCAUUUUCAGGUUGACAAAAUGAUUUCAAAAAGUCAACUUUGCAUGUAGGAAUGUCCUUUCAAUGCCUACUUCUCAAUUUUGACCAACGAAAGGGUCAAUUGCGCCUGCUGUCCCAGAGAAAAUGACAGGUUCAGGGAGGGAGAGACCCUUAUCCUUCCGGAAGCUGUCUAGGUCCUACAAAGUACAAAGAGAUCGACAGCUACAUUAGGCCAAUAGCAAUACGGGGGCUGCAAAGAGGGAGACAAGAAAGUUCGAUAUUUUGGCAGAAUAUGCAGAUUCCAGACACAAACAAAAAUCCCAUCUUUAGAGAAGGUUCUCAUUUAGCAGCGAAACAGAUUUGCAGCUGUUCAAGGAAGAGUUAAAAGAUUAAUUUCUUGUUUUUUGGACGCAUCACACAUGGGAGUCUGCAGGAACUUGAGUUUCCUACUCCUUUUUCUGAGCUUGCUGCAGUUUCUUCAUCAUUCAUCCUCACAUCCUUUAUGCAUAGAUUCAAGUAUGUCAUGCUAGUAAUUCACUCUUCUGUUGAGCUGGAUUGAGUUUGUUCAGUUCUAAGAUGAUUUUGUUUGUUUCUUCUUCUGGUGUGGAAUGGAAUAGGUGCGCCCCUUCCUCAGAAGGUUCCUCUGUCAUUCUGCUCUUACAAUGGAACAUCAUGCUGCAAUUCUACUGAUGAUUCGCAAAUAAAGAAUCAAUUCAAAGCAAUGAACAUUUCUGACUCUAGCUGUGCUUCCCUUCUCAAAUCCAUCCUUUGUGCGGUAAGAACAUGUAUUAUUGCUCUUAGGAAUUUAAGCCAAUGCCUUGCUAUCAUUUACUUCCUCUCAAAGCGGGAUUUCUUAUCAUAUUGAAUUGACCAACCACAUCGAGAUUUAAGAUUCUGUUCUUAAACCAAAAAUACUGCUAUUGCUCGAAGCCAAGAGUUCGAACCUCAUAGGCUAUGCGAGCUGUUUCAGUAACAGUAAAUCGAUGAGUCUCUACAUUUAUUCUGUACUUUGUUUUUCUUGUUAUUGCUGAUCUUACAAGGAACAAUUUCUCGGGAUUGCAGCAGCUGAAUUGAUAUGUUUUAGUUUGAGUCUUGUCUGUAAAUUUCUAUUAAAUAAUCUUGAAAUUUUUAGAGUUGCCAUUCUUUGAAGUUGUCUUGUUUAUCAUACUUGAUGCAGUUCAUGGAGAGAUAUUGUUGUCUUAUCUUAAUUUGCAUGCUUUUUCCCCUUAAAAGCCUUUAAGUCUUGUUCGCAGACAAAUUAGGACAAAAACACAAAUUUCCAGUUAAAGCGAUAUGCAAAUAAUAAGAAUAGGUUCAUCUUAGAAUUCCCAAGUUCUAUAUGCUUACCUUUUUCAUUAACGUUCUUCUAUACUCGUAAAUUGUGGUAUCUCCAUCAUUUACAGAGAUGUGAUCAAUUUUCAGCAGAGUUAUUUAGGAUCAACUCCAGGCCUCAACAAGUUCCUGUGCUUUGCAACUCCACGGUCUUACCAAAUUCUACCCAAACAAGCCAAGCAGCAAAUAACUAUUGCUCUAAACUAUGGACUACAUGUCAGAAUGUGUCCAUGGUGAAUUCACCCUUUUCUGCCUCUGUACAAGGUCAAGCUGGAGGUGGAGUAAUGUCCAACUCUACAAAGUUGACUGAUAUUUGGAAGUCGCAAUCAGACUUCUGCAAUGCUUUUGGUAGAGCUUCUGAUGAAAAUUCAGUAUGCUUUGCUGGUGAACCUGUAAACCUUAAUAGUACCGGAACGUCAAUCCCUCCAAGUGGUUUGUGCCUUGAAAAAAUUGGAAAUGGUUCAUAUCUAAACAUGGUUGCUCAUCCAGACGGCUCCAACCGUGCUUUUUUCUCAAACCAACCAGGCAUGAUUUGGUUGGCCACCAUACCCAAACAGGGUUCAGGAGGUGUAAUGCAGCUUGAUGAGGCCAAUCCCUUUCUAGAUUUAACUGACGAAGUUACCUUUGAUACUGCAUUUGGGAUGAUGGGCAUUGCAGUUCAUCCAAACUUCUUAACAAAUGGACGAUUCUUUGCUUCGUUCAAUUGUGAUAAGACAAAGUGGCCUGCUUGUGGAGGAGAUGUGCUUGUAACUCGGAUGUGAACUGUGAUGCUUCACAACUACCUCCUGAUAGUGGCUCCUUUCCAUGCCAAUAUCAAAGUGUAGUAGCAGAGUUUACAGUUAAUGGUACCGCAUCCCAGCCCUCCUUGGUAUGUCUCAAACAGAACUAUGCUUUCUGCCCAUUACACAUCUCCUCCAUAAUUUAACUAGAUUUCAUGCUUCUUAUUUUUUACAGGCAAAAACUGCCCAACCAUCAGAAGUUAGAAGGAUAUUUACCAUGGGUCUUCCCUUUACGGCCCAUCAUGCAGGCCAGAUUCUUUUUGGGCCAACAGAUGGAUAUUUGUACUUCAUGAUGGGGAUGGUGGAAAUUCAGGCGAUCCAUACAAUUUUUCACAAAACAAGAAAUCCCUACUCGGGAAAAUCAUGCGGCUUGAUGUUGAUAACAUACCAAGUAAGUUGUUAUGAUACAAUUUCCACAUGUUACUUAGUUCAUCAAGAUCAACCAUUAGGAUAUCCUGCAUUGGAGUUUUCUUCAGACAAAAAAUCAGUUUUCACAGUUGCACAUGCUCCAUAUCUAAAUUGCUAGCCAAAGAGCAUCUACCAUGUCAAUUGGUCCAAUUACAACAACUUAAGAGGAUCAAUCAUUUUCUUACUGCGAAGUGCUAGUCCCAGGUCUGAUACUAAUGUCUUAAUAGCAGACUUGUUAUGUUUGGUUGUUACCAGAAGUUUUAUCUGCUAUGUUCUUCCCUAUACAUUUGCAGAAACAACAUGGUACCACUAGUCAUGAUUAUUUUUUAACUUUUGCUUCUUCUUCUUCCCUCAUAAUCAAUUAUUAACAUUUACUGGCUGUGCAAGCUUAAACAAUAUGCCUACAUCCGUAGCAUGUACAGGUAAUGAGCACACCCACCAGUCAAAAUUUUCAUAAGCCUCUUGUAACUUAGAAAUUACUAAUGCAUGCUUCAAUAGCACACCUUAACAUCUACAGCAUGUUUGCCUACCAGUCAGAAUUUAGACCCCGAAGCUUUUCCUUCCUAUUUGGCUGUUUUUUGGCAUUCUCAGGUUGUAUAGAUUUUUUUUUCAAUUAAUUCAUUUGCCUUCAAAAGCAUCACAAUCUUUUUAAUUUAAGUUGCUAUUUAGUAUUCUUCUAUACUCAGCCUUUGAUGCUUCAAUAAGAACAUUUAGAAUAGAAGGCAAUACCUGAUUACUGCCUCCCUUCAAUCAUAUCCUUUUGCUGUGCAUCAGGUGCCGCAGAAAUCAGUCAGCUUUCUCUAUGGGGAAACUACUCAAUCCCCAAAUAAUCCUUACACUGAAGAUAAAGAAUUGCAACCAGAAAUUUGGGCCCUAGGCUUCAGAAAUCCUUGGCGUUGUAGUUUUGAUUCUGUGAGGCCUUCUUAUUUCAUGUGUGCUGAUGUAGGCCAGGUAUUGUCGAUUCUCAGAAGAAAAAAUCUGGAAUUCUAUGUUUGCUCUACAUUGUCAAGGUACCUACAAAUCCUGUUUGUGCUAUGUGAUGCACAAUGGUGCAUCUUUCCAAACUUCUUAUUCAACCUUGAGUGAAGAAUAAUAUGAAAACUUUUUUCCACCAUACUGAUGUUAAUCAACAUCUAACUGAUUAAACUUACCCUUAUGUCACUUGGAUUUAUACUUUCCCGUUAUAAAAAUUUUUGUAUAUUAGAACCUACGACACUAAGUAAGAAACCAAGAAGCUAAGAUUGCUGCAGGGUGUUAUCAUUUCUGACUUCUAUCAGGUAAAGCAUUUCUUUUAUUUUCAUUGAAUCUAUGCUUAUUCAACUGCUGAUGCCUUCUGCAAAUUGAUUAAGAGAUCAUAUCGAAAAAACUUGGUGGAAACAUAUUGAUGAGCUAUCAGUCAUAUUCUAUAUCAACGUAUCACGUAAUGAUCCUGGUUUUGAGCCGGUCAACUUUGAAUUGAUAUUUAUACGUUCUUCAAUGCUUGAGAUAUUAACAGCUUGGUGUUUGGAUAUAAAGCAUUGGAAGCUUAUUACUAUACAUUACUUCUUUCAUAUCAGGAUACGUAUGAAGAAGUGGAUCUGGUCAUGAAGAACGGAAACUAUGGAUGGCAUGUGUAUGAGGGCCCUAAUCUUUUCAAUCCUCCAAAAUCACCUGGAGGAAAUACAUCAGCAAAAUCUAUGAACCCCAUUUUCCCCGUGAUGGGAUACAACCACUCAGCUGUGAACAAGAAUGAGGGCUCAGCAUCAAUCACAGGAGGAUAUUUCUACCGAGCAGAGACUGAUCCUUGCACAUACGGAAUGUAAGUAUGUCAAAUUUGUCUUGGAAAGAUGAAUAUAUAUUUGAAAUCAGCACAUUGAGAGAGUAAAAGGAACAAAGAGUUCAGUAUGACAUGGUUGAUGCAGAAUUUGCAAUCACAGAGGGGAGUUUGAAUUGUUGUUAGUACAAUCUCCUCAUGGAAUACUCUCUUAUCAAUUGGCUUCUUAUGAUGAUUUUGAUGUUACUGCAGGUAUCUGUAUGCAGAUCUUUAUGCAGGAGCUCUGUGGGCUGGCAUUGAAAGCCCUGAAAACAGUGGGAACUUUACCUCCAACCUGAUCCCCUUUACUUGUGCUCAUGAUUCACCUAUAAGUUGCACCUUUGUACCUGGAAGUACACUUCCGGCAUUGGAUACAUCUAUUCCUUUGGUGAGGAUAACAGCAAGGAUAUAUCCUUGCAAGCAGUGGUGUCUACAGGGUUGUUCCUCCAAGUCGGUGUAAGUACACUUGUUCAAAAGAAAAUACCACAGCUGAGGUGACUACUGGUCCUGCUCCAUCCCCUCCUUCGGUGCAACCAAGUUAACCAAUCCAUAUGUGAAUUUGGUGUCCUUACUUGUAUCCCUUUGGUUGCUUUGCUUAUUAUAGCAUAUUUGCAGUCAUCUUUUGUGUUACGUGGAGAGAUGAGUUGGGCUGCUUUUUGGUUUGAGAGGACUUGUGAUUCUUCUUUGAUUAAUCUGUGUUCUUGCUUUUGGAUGAUUCAUUUUUCUGAGUUUGAUUGGAAUUAAGUUAUUCUAUGAGGUUCAAAGCCCAAUCCUUUCAAGAGUAAAGAUUCAUUAUAGUAAAGGUUCUAGUCACUUAAAACAAAAUUUUCAUGUAAUGGUUCUAGUAGAAUAAAUUGUUGAAGAUUCACAAAGCUGGAUAUCCAGAACUAAUAUCUUGAGACGCAUAUGUUCAAGAUGUUAUAGUGUAUAAAAAAAAAUCCUUACAAUAUCAAUCAACACAAUGUGUUGCCAAAACCUUGUUUUACUUGUUCUAACUUCUAAUGAGCAAUUCAACCGGUGAGAGUCCUCCCGCCCCAAUUCCUGUGCUGCCUCAGAUGAGGCUAGAAGCCUCAAACUUGCAUGGUAUCAUUGUCAAUUUUUUCCUCCAUUAGCAAGGCAGUAAGAGGGACGAAUUAAACCAAUCAAACAAAAACAAGAAGAAUGAGCAACAAAGUAAUCUUGUCAUUUCUCCAACAGAGUUAUCAAAAUUGACAGAAGAAACAGUCUUUUCAGAUAGACCUGCAGAGUUGUAUGGAGCUGUCAAAAAAAAAAAGCAAAAAGAAAAAGAAAACUACUGAAGAAGUACCUGAAGUAGCAUAUGCGCGUACUUGUUUACCAAGUGCUGACAAAGAUUAAAAAAAUAAGAAAGGGAAUUGCGGAUUCACCUUUGAGAAGCAAAUUGCAACCUACAUUAGUGCUAUUACGACAAGAGUUGUCAGGCCAUGAUGACAUUGAAGUUGCAGUUCUAGUGUUGCAGAGAGAUGAUACCUGCUUUGGUAGCUUGCUUAAAUUGAAUUUACUAGCAGCUAGCAAAAUAGGUGCCAUCUCUUCUGCGACAUCAGAACUCAAACUCUUCCUUACCUCAUCUAGAUUUCCCUCAAGUAGAAACAGUACUGCUAAACAGCUACAAAUUGGAUUAUGCUCCCUUCCCUCUUCCCUUCUGGUGACCUUUAUAAUUUCCUUGUUCUGCUUCUUUUGUUUCUGCAUCUUCCGUUUUAGGACAUAAGCAACCUCUUGUCCUUGUCCUGAAGGCUGAAACACGAACGACAGCUGGCUAGCCCAACCUGGUAAAGAGAAACUUUUUCAAUUUGAAUAUUGAAAAGGGGCAAAUCAAUUGAGCAUGCUGGCUGGCUACAGUGUCAACACUUUUGUACGGAACGAUACCCAUGCAGGAAAUCUUGUUUUAACUACUACUUCACAAAAAAAGAAAAUUAGGAAAGAUAUGUUUCAGGAGAGGCAUCUGAAGCAAUACAAGACUAAAGUUACUGCAAUGAUCAUAUGCAGAAUGGAGUACAGAGAGAGGUAGCUUUUGAGUUGAGAAUGAUGGAACGAAAAUGGCACUUGGAAAAAGUUAGGAGCCACUAAAAAUGUGGGUUGCUUUAACUGAAGCAUGCUAAUCAUACUCAUGCAACAGUUCCAACCAGAUAAAAGUAGUACCACGUAUCCCAAAAGAACAAUUAUUAUUAUUGUCUGUUCACUGUUUGCAAUUUGCAUAAAGAGAAUAUUGCACCUUUAUGAGUUCUUGCCUGAAUUUUUUUCUUUUUCAACUUAUGUAUUAUCGGCUUCUAAUUUUGUUUCUUUUUUAUUCUUUUAUAAGGUUCUCAGAAGUGUAUAAACUCCUGUAUGAUGUUCCCAAGUUCAAUGUAAAACAGCAUGAACAGAUGGAGGGAAUGAUGAGGAAAUCAUGUUUAUAGUACAUAACAGGUUAUACCAUAAAUAGACAAGAAUCUUUCACGCCCAAACAUGCAACCCCCAAUUAAUUUCCUCGCAUCCAACUUGAAAUACACUAUCAGCCAGUCAUGGCUCUCUUAAGCAUCCAACAAUAAUGGAAGUUCCAGGUCCUAAUAUCUUGAAGGUUUGACUAAUUAAUAACUUUUACACUUCACAAACUGGAUAAGAACUCAUGAGAUGAAAUUUCUCCAAGCAAGCAAAUAUAGUGAAUCAUUCAUCUCAAUUUGUCAUUCAUUCAAAGCCCACGUAUUAACUUCUUCUAGGGUUAUAUAGACACAAAAGUAGGAAAUGAUAUACUUUUAUUUGUGAAAUCGUACAAGUAUAUCUACAUGUAAAAUAUUUAUUAUGAUCUUCUACACUUUACAUAAUAAACCUAUACUCUAAUCUCAGCUACACUAACCCCAUUCAGAUAAUCGAGAGUUUUCACAAAACUAACAGCAACCACUACAAUUAAUUUUUCACCGAGGAUUAAUAAAAGGCUUUUCUAAUGGUUUAACUUAGCAUAUUAUGUUAAUAGUUGAUUUAUCACUAUGUGGUUAAAGACUUGAGAGACUGAGAAUGUCAGUGGGAGCUUUAAGUCGGCAAGAUUCGGACUGUUGCAUAAUAUAUAUAUAUAUAUAUAUAUAGAGAGAGAGAGAGAGAGAGAGAGAGAGCAAUGCUACUCUAACUGAAAUGGGCUCCAAUUGUUGGCCAUCUUAGUUAUGCAAGGCUUUUGUUGUUUCUUGUGAAGUGACCCAACAACUUGCACAGAGUCUUGAAUUUGUGUCGAGCUUGGAGCGUAGUGGGACGUUUCUACAUAUCUAGCAGAUGCCCUACUCCUACUUAGGAUGAAAUUGGGCGUUGCCCAACCGUGGGCCUUUACUGGAAACUCUCAUUGCUUCAAUCUUCGAAAAAAUGACAGGAAAUAGUUAGUUUACUACAUGUUAACAGUCCAAAUCGUGCCGUAUCAUUUCAAACAAUUCAAGUCGUUCAUUUUAAUUCCUUUAAUUUUGAUGUAAAUAAUCUAGGUAGACCGAGUCGCUUGGUUUCUUUCAAGAUUGACACUAUUGGACGAUUGCACCUGCAAUCACACAUGCCUCCUAUACUUCAUCAAGCAAAAACAUUUUUGUAGUUGUUAUCAACUAACUAUGAUCCCGUUUGAAACCUAAGUUUUUCAGAAGUUUGUCUAAAAUUUUACUGUAGUGCACUAUAGAAGUUUUUGAAAAAAUUUUUUAAGAUGAAAAACUUUUUUUUUCUUUCCUUUUUCUUUUCUUUUCUUUCUCUUCUUCUUCUUUUUCUUCUUCCUUCCCUCUAUCCCUUCCCUCCCCCGUUAACCUUUGCCUCCGACGAACCAGCAACCAGGGUCCUACCAUAUUUUUUUCUUUCGUUUUCUCUUUCUCUUUCUUUUUCUUUCUUUUCUUUCCUUCUCUUUUUCUUCCUCCUUCCCCCUGGCCUUUCCCUCCUCCGUUACCUCUGCCUCCGAUGAACCAGCAGCCUUGUUCAAAAUUUUUUUUUUCUUUUUCUCUUUCUCUCUGCUCCCCUCUCCCCCUCUACUCCGCUUCACCUUCCUCCUCUCCCACUCGAAGUUAGAGAACCAGCAGCCAUGGCACGCACAAUUUUUUUUUCUCUCCCCAUCUUCUCCUCCUCUUUUCCAUCUCCCUUUUUGUGCAAUGGGUUAUUAGAUUGGGUUCAGGACCGUCGGCGAAAGUUAGUUGCCGCGGGUUGCGUCGGCGGUACGUGGCUACCGUGGGUUGCGUCGGCAAUCGUGGCUGCUGUGGGUUGCGAGGAAGAGAGAAUGGAGGAAGCGAUGGGUGGCAUGCGGUGAGGGUUGGACAACGAGUGUUGGUGGCCGAGGGUUGGCGGCGACUGUUCAACGUUGGUGGGGAGGGUGGCCAGGAAGGGGAAGGGGAGAAGAGGGGAGAGGGGAGGGAAGGAGAGGAAGAGGGGGAGAGGGAGAGGGAGAAAGGAAGAAAAAAAAAAAGGAAUGCCGGCACCAGAAUAGGUGGCGGCGGCGAUGGCCGGCGGCGGAGGUGGUGGCCGCGAUGAUGGUGUGGUGGAUUGGGACAGGGGAGAAAGAAGAAGGAAAUAGAAAGUUUUUUGUGUAUUAGAUAUUUUGAAGUGUGUAGGUUAAAAAAUUUGAUAAGUUUUUUUGAGUUUCUGUAGCAAAGUUGUUAAAAACUAGUAGCAAAAAAACUUGGUAAAAACUAGACUUCCAAACAGGCCCUAUUGUUUGGAUAGUCUAUAUUGGCAACACAUUUUUUUUGCUAAAACAUACAUCUACCAGUAAUCCUUCCUAAACACCUCAAAAUAAUUUGAAAUACAAAAAAAGUCACACACACAAAAACUACACCUACAACACCCUCAUUACCAACCACCCUUAUCAUCCUCCACUUUUUCCUAUCACUCUUCAUUUUUCUUCUCACCAACCGCUCCUUUUUUUUUGCCAAAAAUGGUAAUUGUCAUUUCACUAAAAAACUUGUUACAAAAUUCAGAUCAACUGCUUUGUCCUGUCUUUCUUGCUGACAUAUUGAGCCAAGUUGGGAAGUCUCUUUCCCAGGUUACAUUAGUGAUCAAGUUCAUGGCGAAUUUGCCAACAUAUGACUAACUACAUUGCCUAUUCUUCUAAUGAAAGAAAAAUGACAAACACAAACUCGUUCCAUAGCUUUAUAAUAUCCUCCAAAACUGUAGCACAGUUGACAUCCUCAACUGAGUCUUCUUGUAGCUUCCCUAUUAUAGUUUUGCAAUUUGACUGGAUCUCUAUUUCUUCCAUCCUUUCUGUUUUGCUUUUAUCAAAGCCAUUUGUAUGGCUAGUGCUUUCUCCACCACUAGUACUGAGAGAUAUUUUUUGGCAUUGCCCAUGCCAUGAUGAGCUUUCUCUCAAAUUUCUAGCUACUAUACCCCAUCCAACUUUUUCUUUUGAUUUUGUACUAUUGCAUCAAUGUUAAUUCUGUGCAUCUUUCCCUUGAUGGUAUCCACCUUUUAUCUUCUUCCUUUAUUUCACUACACUCUUCUUGAUCCAUUGUAUCUGAUUGCACUUCCUUAUACUCUAGCCAUUCUGAUAAAGCUUUAUUGAUUUGAGCUAUUGGUUGCUUCUUUAGUGUGUUAAACUGGAACUCAUUUUUGCCUUCCAAAUCUGCCAUGGUAUGUUAUUGUUAAGGCAAUAUGAUCAUACCCAUCUUUUCUCUGAGUUACCGCUAUAAGUUCAUUCCACCAGUGCCAGAAGUUGUCUCUGUGCUUUUCCAGUCCAUCCAUCUUAUUGGAGUACAUUUUUAUAUUGCCUCUGCAUUUUCACAGUAGAAAAGCAUGUGCUCCAAUGUUUCCACUUGGUUGCCACAACAUUUGCACAUUGGUUCUCCUCUUCCUGUUCUGGUCUUGAUUACUCCAUUUAUAGGUAGGAUUCCUUUUAGGCAUUUCCAUAUAAAGUGGUUCAACUUGUGUUUUACAUUCAUUCCCCCACAGAGUUUUCCAUAUUCCUGUUUGAUUCUCAUUUCUACUGUUGUCCCCACUUCUGGUAUUUCUUUUCCCCUUAUUUCUCUUUAGUUCCUUGGCCACCAUAUAUACUAUGUAUACUCAAAUUGUUGAGUGAGCCCAAUAGAUCUCAUCUUUUUUUCUCCCUUGCUCAUCUAGAUCAGAUUGGGACUAGGGGUGUGCAAAAUCGAAAAAUUCUGAUUUACCGAUCGAAUUCGAAUUGAAUUCAAAAUUUUCGAAAUCGGUAAAUCGAAAAUCGGAAUCGAAUUCGGGUUUUCCGAAUUCAUAUAUUGCAAAUUUGGUUCUUAUUCGGUAAUGGAGUUUUUCAAAUCGGAAUUUCCGAUUUCAAAUUCACAAUUCGAAAUCGGAAUUCGAAUUUCGAUUUCGAUUUCAAAUUCGUUUUUAAUAUAUAAAUAUUUUUUUUAUACACGUAAUAUAAAAUUUAUACUAUAUAAUAUUAUAUAAAAUUUAUAUAAUAUUAUAAAUUUUAUCUUAUAUGAUAAAUUUUGUAUUAUAUAAUAAUAUAGAAAUUUUUUCGAAUUCGGUGAAAUCGGAAUUUACCGAAUUCGAAAUCGAAUUCGGUCGAAUUAUCAGACACUAAAAUUUCAAAAAAUUUUGAAUUCAAACUUUCGAAUUAUCAAUUUCGAAUUCGAUGCACACUUGUAAUUGGGACUAGGCAGAGGGAGAUCAGGAUAGAGGGAAGAGAGAAAGGGAAGAGAUAAGAGGGAAAGAAGAGCAGAGCAAGGGAAAUAUAAGAAAAAGAAGAAGGAUGUAGUGGAAAAUAGAGAGGAAGAGGAGGUGAGGAAUGAAUGAAGAAAAUUGGUAGAUGAAAAGAGAAAAAGAAAGAUGGCAGGGAAGAAAAGAGGGGCGAGAGAGAGAGAGAGAGAGGUGGAGGCAUAAAAGUCAUUUUCUAUCAUUUCUGAAAACACACUCUAAAAGCAUGUUAAAAAAACUCCUAAAAAAUAAGAGUAAAUUUUAUAUGCACUGACGGUGUAUAUACACUAUCACAGUUGAAUAUAUAACACAUAUGCAAAAUUUGAAUUUCAAAUUCAAAUUCAGAUUAUGUGUCAUGCAUCUAAUAGUAAAAGCGUAUAUACUGUUAGUAUGUAAAAGAUUAAUCCAAAAAAUAAAGUCAAAAAUUUUAUUAAAACACACAUCUAUCCUUAAAGUUUAAUAAGAACGUCCUUAAAACACUUAAUUUAAACGGGCCUUAUGUUUUUUAAUAUGGGAAAAAUAUAUGUUUGGCUUUCAAACUAUUAAGUUUGUCAAACUUUUAGUAGUCCAACUAUUAUUUACAAAUUUUUAUUCCUUCAAUUUCUAAAAAUGUGUACUUCUAACCCUUCUAUUCAUUUGAACUGUUAAAACCCAUGAAAACUGUAUUACGCACAAUACACCAGCAAAAAAAUUGAAAGUCUAGUAAAUUAACAUAGUAAAAGGAAUGGUCCAAAAUUGAGUGGUUUUUAAUUCAAUGUAAAUAUGAUCAAAUAAAUUAUAUUUUGCAAUAACCAUGGUAUAAGAAGUUGAAUAGUAUAAAAUAUUAUAGAAUUUGACACCAAAUGAAUCUUAAGAUGGCCAAAAUGAUCGUGAGAGUGCUAAGUUAUGUUGAGAAAAAUUUUGAGGAUUUUGUGUCAAAAUUUUGUCAAUUUGAACUCUUAUCACUCCAGGAAAUAUUUUGAUAUAAAGUUUGAAAGAUUUGAUAAAGGACUUGUGGAGUAGUGGUAAAACUACAUUUGAUUUUAGAUCUACUCAUUUCUAUCAAGAUUUAGAGAAAACCAAACCCAGAUUUGGAACGUAUGCCAAAAAAUAUAGUCUAAAGAUAUAAUUUCAUUUAUAAAUUUUGACAAUAGUAAAAUAGUUGUCAAACAUUGGUUAAUGACAAUCAAUGACUAUUGACCAACAACUGGUAAUUGUAACUGUGACCGGACAUGAUUGGUCAAAAAAUGAUUCAAACUAUGUCUGUGUUAUAAGUUGGAAGACUAAAAAUAUACAAAUAAUAAUUGGACUAAAAGUGUAUAAAUUUAAUAGUUUGAGAACCAACAGAUAUUUUGCCCUAUUAAUAUAUAUAUAUAUAUAUAUAUAUUUCUAUAGUAACAAAACCUAAAAAUAUCUUACAACACUUUCAAAAUAUUUCAAAAACGAUUAGGGAUAACUAUGGCUCUGAUGGAUUCUAAGUUUUUGGAAAAUCUUAUAUUUCAAAUACAAUUCUACAAUAACAUUAAUUCAAAAACACUCCAAAAUAACCUAAAAACUCCCAGGUACAACUCACUUUAUAUUGAUAAAAAGAAUAAAAAUAAAAAUAAUAUAUCACCACCCAUUUCUUCCUCCACCACUACUCUCAUCUCUUACCGCUACUACUCUCAACUUUUCACUACCAUCACCCACAUUUUACCAUUUUCCUCAAUUACCACUUCUUUUCCUCUUCUCACUCAUCCCCCUCUUCCGUACCUCUCCUCUCCCCAUAUGCGAGUAUAUUUGAUUGUAGAGAGGGAGCGAAAGAGAUGCGGUGAGAGAAAGGGAGGAAGAAGGGAUGGAAAGGAAAAGAGGAAGAAAAAUGAAAGGAAGAAGGGAGAGAGAGAAAGAGUAAGCAAAGAGAGGGGCAAGAAAAAGAGGAAAGAAAGAAGAUAAUGAGGGUAAGAGUACGGGAGAGGAAAAUAAGGGAAAAGAGAAAGAGGGAAAGAGAAGAGAAAGAUGGAAAAUAAUAGAGAAAGAAAGAUAGAAAUGGGAAAGAUAUGUGACAACCUCACCUUCCCCUGAGGCGAACCAAAGGGGUUAGCGGACUGCCUGCCCAACUCUCGCCAGGACUAACGGAUCAGUUUACGUCGAUCUAAUACGUUCCGGAACAUACUAACGCGCGCAAACAAGUACAAAAUCACAAAAUAAAAAAACGAAAAUCGAAACCGACAAUGAACAGUACCGGCCACGUCAGAAUCCGGCCGGAAUCUGGCCGGAUUUCCGGCCGGAUACUGGGCCGAGAGCAACCAAGAAAAUUUCUUUUUUCCCCGCAAUCCGGCCGGCAAUCCGGCCUGUUUCUGGCCGGAUUCCUGGCCGGAUUGGGCCCUGUUCAUUCCGGCCAAAAUUUUUUCCUUUGCCAUUUGAAAUACGAAUUGAUCCGGAGUUCAACCAAACAUCCACCAAACAUAUAUAUACAUUGAAAUUUAACAUUUACAACCAAAUGGCAUGCCAAAAACCAUUCAUCAUGGAUAUACAUGUUCGGUUUGCCAAUCAAAAGAAAAUGAACCCAAUACACAUUAGGGUUUCAUUCAACAAGCUAAACAAAAGCCAUUUACACUAGCUCAACUUGGCAAUCGACUAUCCAAUCCAAUCCCAAAAGUAAUUAUAUCCCUGUAAGGAAAACAAAUGGAACGGGAUGAGCUUAAGCCCAGUGAUGUACUACCACAUAAGCAACAAAGAUCACUUAAGCAUAUCCUUUCAUUUCAAGUACACAAUUAAGGAAUAAAACAAAUCAGUAAAAGGAUACGGACGGCUCUCAAGAGCCCAUUUCCACGCUUACAUUCUUGAUCCAACCUCAUUGACCCUCCGUCAAUGUUUAAGAAUACCAACCGUAGAACCCACUUCACUUCCAUUCCUUCUACCCAACAUACCCCAACCGGGCCCGCACUCCAGACAGUAGCUUUUGGUGAUACUCGAGUACACCGGAAACAAGGGUCUCAUUACCACAAGAUUCCCAUUUCAGUCCCCGUGGCUAGUCAAUUUUCACGACCAAACCCUCGCUGGCUCGAUUCAAUUGACUACCAACGAGGUCGAACUCAGUAAUACAGUAGGGCCGUUGGAUACUUGUCCAGCCGACACCCAAACAGUUUCCCAUGAAUGGCAUUCAAUAUCUCAUAUAGCAAGUGCAGUAUUACAGUGAAACGAUAAGCAGUCAUUAACAGGAUAAAAGGGAUGAGGGCGGUCAAGUACACCCUCACCUUAAUCAUAUCCAAUAGCCAAAUAAGCCUUCAAGGCAUCACAAUCACAUAUAGCAAAGCCACAUUAUAAACAUUCAAGUGAGUAGUAUACUCACCAAUCAAGUAAAUGAUGUUUCAUGCACCGUCGUCAAAGGUACGUCGUGAACCACCGUCACGCCCUAGAACACAUAAAUGAGUACAAUGAGACUCGAUAACGAGUCAUAAAGCAAUACCAAUCACAACCCCAAUAGGGUUUCAUAAGCAUAUAUAAGCAUUAUAAGAAACCAGAAAAUCAGGAAAUGGGACUAACUAGCCCUGAAUAAAACAGUGUUUGACCUCAUUUUUGCGGGAAUGGCACUAAGGUCACUACGGUUGUCGGAUGAAAGUGUAAGACCACCGUUUCGAAGCUAAGAAACAGGGCUACAACAAUGUAGAAGGUCACUCAGUCCAAUUCCUAGCAUAACUAGGUCAAAUACGCAAGAAACUAAACCAGAACCGCAAUAACAGGUUUGCAAACUACAUUCUGCUGUAAUCAGUACAACUCAGUAUAUACAGGUCCAAAUUCAGAAAUUCUAAAGGCAUAUGGUAGCUAGGACAUCCAGCUACAUUUCAUCAGAAGACCUCAACAACCAAAUCCAAAGCAAUUCCAGCCAAAACAACUAAUUUCAGACGCAGUUCUUACAUUCGGAUGAAUCCAGAACAUCAAUAGUAAUUUUGACUUUUCUCACUCUACACUACUCCGAUUGACUUGAAAUUUUACAAGCACCUCUAACACAUCAAUACCUACAACUUUCAUGUUUUAAGUUAAGGCCAAUUCAGCCUCUAACCAUGAGAUAUAAAACUGGUCAGAAAUGAGGGGUAUGAAACCCUAACUUUCCAAAUUUCCUUCCAAACCCAAAGUUGCUUGCAAUUAACAAUCAUUUACACCUACUAGCCUCAUUCUAGGCCAUUGCCAAUUAUCAUACAAGGCCACACCAUCACAUUCAUAUAUAAACAGAAAAAUCACCAAUAAAUGGAAAAGGUCACCAAUUCAUCCAAAAUCAGGAAAUAAACCACAAAAUUCAUCACUUUAACUAUCACUAGGCACAAAUUAAGCUUCAUUAAGUGAAGGAGGUAGUUCAAUCACCACUCACCUAGCAAACAAGAGAGGGAGAGUUGCUUGACACCUUAGCUUCCCCAAACACUUCACCAAACAACUUACUAACACCAAAUAAAGAGGUUUUAUGAAGUAGAAACAAGUUUAGAUGGUUGAGUUAUUGGAUUGGAGCAAGAGGAAUUCAAGAAGUUGAAGAGGUUUUCUUCCUUUCUUCCUUAAGGUUGGCCGGCCACAAGAGCUUGAAAAUGAAGCAAAUUUUGGUAAAUUUUGAGAUAUUUAAUCAAAUGGUAAAACAUAGAAUAGUAAGUCAAAAGUUACAUCCACUCACAAGGUGACACUUGUCUCUUCCAUAAAUGCAUCUCUAUCCUUUUAUUUCCUCUCACAUCAAUCACAUCUCAACCUCUACUUAUCUCUUAACACCAGAUAAAUUUCACACAUUAUCCGAAACUUAACCUAAUCGGCCGAAUUUUUUCGAACUUUUCGCACUAGCGGGUCUCACGUCCGUUAUUUAUUCUUAAUUUUUCAAAAACUAUCCAAUACUAGAAAAAUCAUCUGAAAACUAUAAUUACUCAUAAAAUUCACCAGGAAAAUUUUCUUAAGCAAGAAAAUACAGAAAACAUGCCAUUAAAGGAGAAAAAUCCUAGGAAAAUUAUUAUGAGGAAUUACGGGUUCUCACAAGAUAGAUAAGAGAAGAGAAGCUGUUGGGAGACAGGUGAACAAAAGAUAUGGGUGGCUGUGAUAAGAAAGACAAUUUUUUUUUAAAAAAAAGUCGAUAAAAUUUUGAAUGUUAAAAACACUCUCAAAUAUAUCUACUGUGAAAGUCUUUAACAUACAAAAUUACAUUAAAACUUAUGAAAAACACCUGUAAAAAUAUCUAGUGCAUACGAAUCUCAUAGUUUUAUUGCUUAUCUACUUGAAUAAUUAACUAUGUCAUUGUUUUCAAUAAUAAAAAACACACUAUUUUUUAUAUUAUUAGGAAUUUAUUCUGUUAUUGUGUAAAGUGUGAUCGUGUUUUCUAAUAAAAAUGAGAUUGUAUAAUUAGAUACUACCAUUUUUAGGUAUUUUUGUACAUACAAAAUGAGGUAUGAAUAUAGUUUGGAUGGCAAUAGGGCAGAGUACUCUUCGCGUCUCUGUCCCGCUUAAAAAAUUCAACUUCCAUCUAUCAUUCUCUCUCCUUAAAGCUUUUAAUGAAUAAAUUGUUCAUGAUUAGGUUCAAUUUUGAAAAAAGUUCAAUCAUAUAAUAAAUGAAUCGAGUUUGAACACAAGAUUAAACUCAUUUAAUAAUUGAGUCAAACAUGACCUAUACAUUAACUGCUCAAAUAGAUUCAUGAACACAUAUAUAAUUAUAAAGAAUAAAUAAAUAUGAGCGUAAAUGCCUUAUAUAUUAUUAAAUAUAGGGAAAUAUAUCUUGUAUUUUUUUCCUCAAAAAUAACUAUACAUGAAACUUGUGUAUUAUUUAUACUUCUAAAACAAAAUAAUUAAAUUAAAUUUAUUCUAAAUCAUGUAUUAUUUUAAAAAAUAUAAUUAUAUCAUUUUCAAACUCAAAUUUGAACUUGAACUCGAGCUGGAAUUCAGCUCGUUUAGUUUGAACUCAAAUAUUUAUACAAAUUAACGAAUUAAAUUCGAACACCACUUAUUGUAAUGCCCAAAACCCAUGAGUUGGCCCAAGUAACUUUUGAAUUGAAAUCACGAGAACAAAAUGGUUAAUCCAAGUUAUUAGUAACCUAAUGGAUCAAAGAUUAUAUUUCAUUCCUUUUCUUCCUUCAUUUCAGAUGUGGGACAUUUCACUCACCCCAUCUUUGGAACUUUACAUUCUUGCAAAGUUUGGUUGUAAUUCAAAUUGUCUAUUUAGUUGUGUAUGAACUCUAGAUGUGGCUCAUAUGGGUUAUAAAGAUAACCCCAUUGAACGUGACACUUAGCUGUAUGCCACACUUAAUUUCUUGCACUUCUUUACGUAAUCAAAACCAUAACAUAACACCACUUGGUCCCAAGUUCAUUAUAUACAGAGACCAUGCGAGUUUUACUCUGAUAUCAUUGGUGGUGCUCCACGCCUAUUGGUCCAAUAACUUUUUGAAGUGGUGAUUUUAGUUCAAAAAGUUAUUGAACCAUGCCAAUGGGCCCAAGACAUUACACUUGUAGUUCAUAUAAUAUUCAAUCAAAAUUGAUCCUUGUUUAUAUAAUAUACUAAUGGAGUGUAAACAUUAAAAUUUCGUCUUGAUUUGACUCGUUAAAAAUUUUAUUCCCACCUACUUAAUUCCCAUAUUUGCUAUGCUCUUAUUUGACAUGUCUUAUAUUAUGAUUGAGUGCUUGCUUUGGGUUUUUAUAUCUCAUAAAAUUCAUUUAUCAAUAGUAAGUAUUUUUUUAAAUGACAAAAUCCCUGCAUCUUCUCCCUCCUUCCCUACGAUUAGAUCUGAUUGUGAGGAGGGAGGGGAGGGAUGUGGAGAGGGAAAGGAAGAAGGAGAAGAAGGGUGCGGAGAAAAGAAUAAGGAGGGAGGUGAGGGAAAAAGGGAAGGGAAAGGGAGAUAAAGAAGAAAGAGAGAAGGAGAAGAGGGAGGGAAGGAGAAAUAUAUAUAAAGGAGAUAGGGAUAGAAGAGAAAGCUGCGGGAAAGGGGAGGGAGAAAGAAUAGGGGAGAAAAGAGGAAGCAAGAAGGGAGAGAAUGAAAAGGAGAGGGAGAGAGAGAGAGAGGAGAGAAGGAACUACUGAUGGCAUGGAUGAAAGACGAAUUUUUUUAAAAAUAUCUCAACAAAAUUUUAAAUUCGAAAACACUUCCAAAUAUAUCUACAGUGAAAGUUUUUAAGAUCCAAAGUUAUAAUAAAAAUUUUUCAAAAACACCUCUAAAAAUACCUAUUCCAUUCAAACCUUAUAGUUCUGUUACUUAUCUACCUUCAACAAUUACCUACAUAAUUGCUUUUAAUAAUAAAUAAGAUGGUAUUACCGAGGCAUUUAUUUUUCAUUUGAGUGAAGUGCAAUUGUGUUUCCUACUAAAACAUAAGAUGGUAGCAUCUACAUUGUUAGGUUUUCAUUGCAUACAAAUUGAGGCACAAAUCAUAGUUAUGAAUGGCAAUAAGGUGGGAUGCCCUUAGUGUCUCCGUCCCACCUAAAAAAUUCAACUUCCAUCUCUCAUUCUCUUCCCUUAAAGCUUUUAAUGAACAAAAUUUUUUGCAAUUAGGUUCGAGGUCGAAAAACUUUGAUUAUAUAAAAUAUGAAUCAAACUUGAACACAAGAUUAGGUUCAUUUAAUAAUUGAGUCGAACACGAAUUAGUUUGCAAACUGUUCAAAUAGGAUCACGAACACAUAUAUAGUUAAAAAGAAUAAGCAAAUACAAGCAUACGUACCUUGUAUAUUAUUAAAUAUAGGUAUAUAUAUAUCUUGUAUUUUCCUAAAAAAAUCAACUAUGCAAAAGUAUUCAAAAACUCAUUCAUGAAUAAUCCGAGUUGGGUGCUUGUUUGUCAUAAAAUCAUUCAUCCAUAGUAAGUAUUUUCAUUGAUGACAGUAACUAUUGACAUAACUUCAAACUCAUUCCAAAACUUGUUUAGAGUGGAUUACUGUAAUAUGUCAUAAGAUGUCAUAUGCAAAAGUAUUCACAAAAAAAAAAACAUAUCCUUGAUAAACAAAUAUUUUAACACCAUAUCGAUUAUUGAAAAUUUAUUAAACUUACCCUCUAGAUUUGGGAUUACAUUAGACUUUCCAAUCAUCAUGAGUACCUAUGUUGCCUAGGUUGUGUCUGUCCUUACUACAUCCACAUAGUUAUAUCAGUUUACAUCUCUCAUGUGGGAAGCUGGCUGUAUUACUACAUGCCAUUAGAUGUCAUGACCACUCCGGUUGACUGAAAGAAUUGCUGACCCAAGUUUGUCUGACUCCCAAAGGUCCAAAUUCUCCUAAAGUAAUUCCGGUGCUACUAAAACUACCCUCCAUCCACUAAUACGGCCUCGUUUACUUGUAUGUAGGAGUCCUUCCAAGUCGCAUCAUUCGGUCAUCCACACCUUGGCCCUUCCCUUGCAGUCCCUAUUCCUGUUCCCAUUCUCCACUCUCUUUCUUUUCACCUUAUCUGUCUGUGCCUUUCUCACCUCCUUAAUCCUUAAUCAUCCACAUUUUACACCACCAAGGAAACUGAUAUCAAUUCACAGUUCAGAAACACCCCAACCCCCACCCACAAAAAACCCCCCAGACAGGACACAACACAGCACCCUUUCCCCCAAAACACACACAACACGCACUAAAUUCCAUUUUUGCCCCCUGCCUACUUGAAAUUUACUUACCCUUUACCCUUCCCUUAAGUCCCCUUUACCCUUAAAACAAGAAAAAAAACCAAAAGGAGAAGAAACUACUGACAAAAAAUUCCAAUUGCCCUCUUCAAUUCUUUUCCACCCUUGCCUUUGCCUUGGGCCUUUGUCCUUCCCCCUUUUCCAAUUUUUCCUCUCUUUUCUUCUCUCUCUGAUAUAUAGACGCAACUCAGGAGAAAAGCCCCCCCUCCCCACCCACCUAGUAUUACAAAAAUUUAGUUUAUGCCCUUCCCCAAGUCCCUUAAUCCAUUCUCAUUAGUUUUUCUAUAUGCACUUUUAUGUCUGAUGGUCAUUAGUCCGUUUUAGCUUCUCCUCCGCCUUCUUCUUCAUCAACAUACAUCAACAGUGACUUGGUAUUAUCUUGGGAUUUAUUUCUUUCUUUUUUUACUGAUACAGAUAUCUUUCUUGAUGUUACAAUCUUUCUUUGAAAACCCCAAGUGUUUGGUUCAAUGCAAGUCCAUGAUCUCCCAUGUAACUCCUCCGUAGCUAAUCCCCUCUCCGAUCCCCACUUCUCCGCCACCGCCUCGGUCGUAGCCAUGGCCACCGACCCGCAACCCUCCUCCCCUUCUCCGAUCCAUUCCCCAAAGCACCACAAAAUUUCCCAAAAUAACGGCAAAAAAUCCCAAAGUAACAAGAGCCCACCUCCUCACCACAAUGAUACAGUUGUUAACUCUUCUGCAACUCCCAACGCCAGUAACAACAAUAAUACCAGUAAUACUAGUAACAACAAUAACGGUAAUAGUAAUAGUGUUGUAUUUAGGAGAGAGAGGCCCUCCAGGGCGUGUACGCAGCGCGCGGCCGCCAGGAUGCAGGCUGCGGCCGCUGCUGAGGCUGCUGCGGCCGAGGCAGAGAAGAAGCAGAAGAAGGCAGCUUUGAGGAAGGAGCGACUGGCAGCCCGGUUGCUGAGGGAGGAAGUGGAGGAGCAGGAGGAGGAGGUGGAGCAGCAUGGAGAGGAAGAGGAGGAAGGCGAUGAUUCCCCUCUGGGAUCAUCGAGGAAUCAGCAAUGUAGUAAAAUUGUGACCCCUUUAGUGGGGGAACCGGAGCCCUCGCAAUUGCCGCGGUGGAACAUUCGUGGGAUGUGGCAGUUGGCUUCUAUCUUGAAUUUUUUGAAUGUAUGUCAGCUUGCAUAAAGUUGAAGUUUUUCUGAAAGAAGAUUGGAAUUUUCUUUUUUCCAGAAGUGAAGCUUUCGUGCCUUCAAGGCUAAUGGGUUCUGGCUUCUCUUAGUGACAAUUGUCUGUUCUUUUUCUUUUUCUUGGCGUAGGUUUUUAGGCCUUUAUUGAAUAUUAAAGUGGAGUUUUCAGCAGAGGAGUUCGAAACAGCUCUCAUUACGCCGAAUAAUACUCUUGGAGAGAUUCAUAUUCCGUUAUUGAAGGUUGGUGCAUUUUGUUGUUUGGAUGAAAAGCUUGUGCCUUUUAUCCAACUUGAGUUUUUGCGUGAAUUUCUGGUAAUUCUGGCCCUUGUGGCGAACUUAUUUUGCAUAAAAAUUGCUAGCCUCUUUUUUUCGUUGGAACUCUGGUAACAUUUAAUAGUAUAAAUUCGUCCAGUGGUGUCUUUGGGAUACUUCAUUUAGUUUCAGAAAUGCAUUACCCUACCUGUAUUUUGGUCGAAUGAAAAUCUUUUCCUUGGUGGAAUGCAAUGUUGCAAGAUGGGUAGCAACUAGUCAAAUUGAUUGUAGGAGCUUUAUAUCUAUGGCUUAUAAGCAAUCAAGUCUCAGAAUUAUGUGUGGGCAUAAAUAAUGCGAGGUAUUUCAGUUGCUUCUUUAAGUACCACAAUUCCGGUAAAUCAUGCCAUCUGAAUAACAAAGUUUGUUGCUUUUUUUGAAGUUUUAAAUUUGUGGAGGUCAUAGGUAUGGUGAAGAGUUUCUUAGCAUGUAGCUGUAAUGUGGAGAAUCAGAUUGGAAUUACCUCUCAUGGUUAGGUCUACUAUGGGGCAAACUAAAAAAAAAAUUCCAGCCAGUUACACAGACAAUGGAAUGCACAUUUGAUAGGAAAGUUAGUUUUCUUUUAGGACAUUGUGGUGAAUAAUAUUGAGAAUCUGCUCCAUAACCUGUUACAGAGCUUAACAACAUAGGACGGAAAUCUACAGAAUACCUUUAUUGACUGGUAAAAAUGGAAAACAAUAACCUGAUAAAUUAUCAGCUCAUUACAAUUGGGGUGUGAACUAAAGGUGCUUUGUUCAUUUUCCUCCAGUUGUAGGUUUGGAUUCUUAGAAACUAAUUUAUUCCACUAGGAGUUGGAUACUUUUUAAUGCAGGAUAUUCCUACGUUUCAGUUAGAGCUUGAUUGUUUUACAUUUUAGCAGUGGACCUGGCUAUAUGUGUAUGCAGAAACCAGAGUCUAAAUAUAUAUAGUAUGGAACUAGUGUAGAGAUUGGAAGAGGAAGUCUAAGAAGGAGGAGAAUAGGAAGAGAAAGGGAGAAGAGAACCUUAGGUUUCUCAUGUAAUAUAGGGGAGUCGUUUUGAAACUCCGUGUUUCAAGAUGCUGUUACUUAUAGGGCAAUCCUGUGGCAAGUAGGUAGCUUUUUAAACACAUGGUGGCCAAGGUGGUCCACAGAGCAUCUUCUAUGGUGCCUGACCAUUGGACUUCCACCAAUUGCUGAUCAUUUGACUUCCUGCAUGGCUGUACCUUGAACUCUCAUGGCUGCCCCUUAAAAUCAUUUGCUUUCUUAGCCACCAGAUUCACUGUAUUUAAUUUAAAAAAAAAAAAAUCAUUUGGUGUCCAUUCAUGGCUGACCUGUGUUUUUCACCUUUGGUUGCUACUGUGGUGUACUUUUGAAAACUAGGCAGCGAAAAAUUUUCACCAACCAAGGCUGCUACAAACAGGCACGCAACUUGUGUGCUACCACUGCAAUCAGCAAACUACCAUGAAAUUAAAGUCCUAAAUCUUUUACAGGCUAAAAUGUAGGCAAACUUGAGUUUCUUUGUUAAGUUGUUUUUAUUGUUUUGCUGUCCUACCUCCUGCCUGAAAUAGUUGGUUGAUGUUUAUGCUCAUAAGAGAUUUAAAUGGGCUCAGUUGUCCUCAGAUUGAUUGGUUAUAGUUGACUUUUUGUCCUGCUUGCUAUUCAUUUUGACCGAACUUUUUGGUUUCUUUUGUGGUGUAUAGAUCUUUAGUAUUAUGGGCAUUGGAUCAUCUAUCUACUUCUAUCUUGUUUUUAACAACAGUUUGCCUGUUCUAAUUCAUCCUCCUGCAGCAUCAGGAUAAGAACUGCGAAUAUACCAUCUUUAAAUAUUUGUGUAGGAAGUAAGUGCCACUGGUUAGGAUAAGUAGUGGAUGACCUGGAUAAGUCUAUAUCUCAACUUAUUUAUAGAAUUCUAGAAUGUUAUUAUCAGAAUAAUUUCACUUGAAAGAAGCUAUGUAAGUCAUUGAUGAUUUGAGAAGCAAUAAGGGUAUUGCGAGGAUCAAAUAGCUAGCUAACAGAUGCAAAUACAAAACAAGGAAGUGAAUAAAGAAUUGGUGCUUUAAUUUGGACUUCAUUACCGGCUACUCACUUGUUUAUGUUCUCGUUGUUCAUUUGGUUUUUUUUCUUGAGCAGUAUGUAGAUUGUUAUUGCCCUUGUGGCAUUGAGAAUUUAUGUUGUUGAAGAUGAUUAUACCUAGAGAGACAUUAGAUUAAUGUCAUAUCUGCUGUGUCUUCUUAUAAUAUACUAGGAAUCUAGCAUCAGAACAUAGUUUAUCACAGCUUGAGAUGGAACUGUUGUUCAGUUUAAAUACUAACAAGUACAUAAUGCUACAAAUUGCUAAUAUCCCUAAAUGUUGUGGUGGUUUGUCUUUUGAGUAGUUGUUCUUGGUUAAAUAUCAAUGGCUUCUGACUCUUCUGGCAUGACUUUUCUUGUUAUUUUUGUUCUUUUUUAAUAUUAACUUGAUGAUUUUCUUCUUCCUUUUCCGGCGCAGCAUCCAGCCUUGACUCCUAAAGUGUCCUAAAAACCUCCAUGAUGUCAAAUGCAUUUAUUGUCCAAUAAGUAUUCAUGGGCGUGGAUAAAGUACUUUUCAAAGUCAAAAGUAUAUGUGGUCACAACAAAGUUUUACUUGUUAACAUGAAAUGCUUUGAUAAUCUUGGUGAAAUAAUGGCAUUAACUCAUAUAUUAUACUUUCUUAAUUUAUUUCCUCAGGCAAUUCCUCCUAUCACUCGAAUGGCCCUUGGACACAAUACAUGGGUUACAGUAUUGUGCAGAAAAUUACGUGAUUGGUGGCUUUGGGUAAUCUGGUUUUAGUUGCUUGAGCUGACUCAAAUACUGAAGUUGUUAAUUCCUCCCUUUUUCUGACAUCUUGGAGUGCAUUAUUUCAUCUCAGGUUGCAGAAGGAGAGCUACCUAUUGUUGCAUCUCAUGGGUAAGAAACUAUACAUCUGUAAAAAUCUUUGGUUAGAAGGAGUUUCUGCCUUUUUUUUUGUGGAAGAAGCACGAAUUUGCAUGUGUUUAGAUGUAAUCUUCACUGGUUUCAGGCUGAAGUUGAAGCAUAUAAUGCUCUAGAUCCUGCGGUUCGUGUAGUAAUAUUGAAAGCACUAUGUGAUAUUCGUGUUGAGGUAACAUUUAUGAUGGUUGACAUUCUAUUUCUUAUUUCUAUAGCUUCUGUUCCUGAGGUACUGGCUUUGAAAAAUUUACAGCAGGCUUUUUUUUCCCCUUUGUAAUUGAUGUACAUAUGCAUAAAAAUUCAGUCAUCCCUGUUACUGCUCCCUUGAGGGAGAAUGUUCUAGUGUUAAUUUUUUGGUCAACAUCUUGUGUUUCUAUAGCUAAUUGGCUGACAAUUUCAACCACACCCAUCAGACUGUAAGACUUAAAUUCUUAUGGUCUUUUAGAAAAGAAGAUAGAACAGUUAUGAACGGUAAGUUUGCAUAAGAAUUUUGGUGUUCGGAUGUCAUGGAGGCUGAUUGCUCCCUCAAAACCUAAGGAACAGUGCUGAGAUGCAAGAAGCACGUUAACACUUUGUCAUCUGCAUAUCUUUUUGUUCAAGUUUAAUGUUUUCUGUUAUGGAUAAUUGUAAGUAAUUGUUGUUUUAUUUUCAGCAAGAAGACAUCCGAAACCAUAUAGACAACUCUGUAAAGCAUGGUGUCCAUAUUUCAGCAUUUCGCAAAGAAAGAGUUGGUGGUGAUUCUCAUGGAAUCUCUUAUUGGUAAUGCAUCUUAUCUUUGCAUUUCCUGGUUACAUGUGCAUAACAGAGUACCACAAACUUUCUCUCAGUUUUAAGGAGUGAUACUUGGUUUUUUUUUUUUUGGUUGUACCUUUUGUUCAUUUCCUUGUAUCAGAGUCUUAUUAGCUGCACUUUUCUUAUAUAGGUAUGAAGAUGAUGCUAUGGUUGGUCAUCGACUAUAUCGAGAGAUUAGAAAAGUUGAGGUGAAGAAAGGAAAGGGAGAAACAUACCGCCCAUUCCUAAUUCAUCUUACCAGUGGGAGACAGUUGCAACUAAUUUUGAUGAAUUUCAAGAUGUGUCUGUGAGUUAUUUGUUACCGUUUAAUCUCGUCUAGUGUCUGCUAAAUAAAUUCCUAAGACCUGCACCUUGAUAUUAACAUUUUGGAUUAUAAUGCAGAAUAUUUUGCUCAUUUUAAGCACGUGUUUGUUGGUUCUUAUAUUGCUAGUUGUACAAAAGAAUACUUGCCCGUAUUUUAUUCUCUUUAUCUUUCUACAUUUGUUUUUGGGUUUAGAAGAGUCAUUUUGUGUACAGCUGAUUCCAAAAUGCAGAAUAUUUUGCUCAUUUUAAGGAUGUGUUUGUUGGUUCUUAUAUUGCUAGUUGUACAAAAGAAUACUUGCCCGUAAUUUAUUCUCUUUAUCUUUCUACAUUUGUUUUUGGGUUUAGAAGUCAUUUUGUGUGCAGCUGAUUCCAAAAUUCCAAGAGAAGAUUGAUAAUUUUUCAGUAACAAUAAUAAUAUGCUAGCUUGCUGUUCUGUUCUGUUAUUCAGUUUUUUACUUGUUUUCUUCUGUGCAAACUGUAAGGAAGAAGGUUGUAGAAUAUUUUUUUGGCCAUUUUAUCCCUUAGAAUAAGUUUCCAUCAGUUCUUAGGGAAUGCAUCUGCUGGUAGUUUAUAUAAAUGGGAUGGGCUUUUAGGGAGGUGAGGUCAAUAUCUGAAUUUAGAAGGGAGGUUUCUACAAUUAAGGUAAAUACCAGGAGGUCACUCUAAUCUCCACAUGAUUUACAAGUUAAAUGACAUAUGUAUCCUAAAUGAGCUACUUAGGCUAUUUAGUAUUAUGCUUCUUGUUUUAUCAUGGAAGGAGACUCCAAAUGAUAGAUGAAGGGAUGGAAUACUGAAAUAUAGCAUUCAUCACAUUAAUUGAAAAAGAGAAAAUAAUUGCUUCCACCAAAUUAAUUCAAAAAGAGAAAUGUGUGGAAAAAGAAAAUUGUACAGGCAUUGAAAAUAUAAUUAAAUAGAGUUAGAGAUGUAUCGGAGGUAAAUCCUAAGCUCGAGCGAGGGAUAUGAAGCAUUUUGGCGAUGAAUAAACUCAUUUCAAAAUUGUGAUUUGUGUAGGGUAUGCAUACGGUAAUCUAUUCAUGCAAGAAAGCUUUUAUUUUGGUUGGCCUUCUUAUUAUGCUAAUUCCGUUCUCAAUUAGAAACUCCUGAGAGGGUCCAGAGUUCCUGUCCUCUUACGAUUGCUUGAGUCUUCAAUAACUUCCAUACGGUCUUGGGACAAAGGGAAUGCAAAUAACUUUAAGAAGUGAUUAGAUGCAAGAACUUCUGAAAACCUUGCAGCCUUAAAAAAAUUUGUGCUUGUGUGUAUGUUUUUUCCUGUCCUAGGCUCAGAGCCAAGUUUGAUCUGGAAUCUUUUGGUUAAUUCUGUUUUAGGAAUUUGAUUAAUAGUCUGGUCAAGUUUUCAAAUAUGCAUUCAAUCAAUGGGCUUCUUCAGUAUUCUGGUAGUUAGGUUUCUAUUCUGGCACUUCAGGAGUAUGAUAUGCACCGGAUGGUGAAGCUUGUCUUACACACUACGCCUGUGGGAUAACAUCUUUCUUUAUUUAGAUCUUUAGCAAUUGCGGUGUGUGUUUUUUUGUUCUUUUAUUUAUUAUUUUUAAUUUUUUGGCAUAUAUAUAUAUAUAUAUAUAUAUAUAUAUAUAUAUGUGUUGUGGAUUGAACUUUUGUCUCUGGGAAUACUUGGGAUCUUGUAUAAGUCAAGAAGAGCACGCAACAUUUUGAUUGUUGAACUUCUAUCUUUUGAGGGGUUUGUAUAAUGAAGAAGAAGGAACAUUUGGGUUGACCAGUAGUAUCUUGGGAAGAUCUAUUGUGUUUUGUGGCAAACCAGUAUUCUCAUUGUUUUUGCAAGAUCUGUAUGGUAAUCUUAUAUGCUUUUGAAAAUGGUCACAAUGUAAAAAUCUGUUUCCUACAAAGCUGUAGAAGGGGGAGCAGAAGGGUAUGAGAUUGGAAAUAGCUAGAGAUGUCUAUGCACAUAUGUAGCAAUGUAAAAUGCAGAAAUAAGUUAGGAAAUAUGUAACUCAUACUUUCAUGGAUCCAUUGACCAUAAAUCACAGAAUUACAUGACAUGAAAAAACAACAAAGUUGUGUAUCAGAAUACGUACCAAAUUUCAUCCAAUUUAAUUGGGCAUGUUGACUUUGAAUCUGAUGGAUGCUAAUCUGGCUAAUUUAAUUGUGUGAUGACUUUGAGGAAGGGCUGCAAUGGAUUGUUUGAGAAAGGGAUCUGAUGGAUGCUAACAUGCCCAACAAAUUCUACCCCACAGAUGUUGAUGGUGAAGGGAGGAGAGGAAGAUGAGGAGGAGGGUUGGGUUCUUUGUGGUCCUUGCUUACUGAUUUUUGAGAAUAGAGUGAAACUUCAUAAAGGAAUGACGGUUUUGCAUCACUGGAGAAGAUUCCCAUGCAGCGAAUAGUCUAUGCGUCAAUGGUGUUUUGAACACAAAAAGAAUUAAAGAAAGGGAUGAGACAGGCUCCUGGUGUAGUGAGUGAGGUUAAAAGUGAAGAUUACACAAUUUAGAGGAGUAAAUAGACAGUGACUAAGGCUAGAUAAGCAUUUCAAACACUAGGGAUAAGGACAGUGUGUUUAGUCCAGUUAGACCACCUCUCCGUGAUAUUUAAAGCAUAACAAAAAUUGUUAAUGCUAUCAUAUAUGUGGACAAAUUUCUAUUUCUGAUUGUUACUCAGAGUCAUUUUGCAAGUCUAUCUUAGCAUCAAACUGAACUUGUUUCUAAUUCGUUGAGAAAAUAUAAAUGGAGUUCUGUGUACAAAGCCUUUGUUUAGAAAAUUUUGCAUUAUCUUCGCAAGAAUUUAGUAACUACAUUUUUGAUAAUUUAUGACCAAGAAUGCUGUUAAUAUAUACUCCGUCCGUCCCAAAAUUUUCAUCACUAUUGGGGACACUUGUUUUUUUUUUUUUCCCAAACAGCGAAGAAAUUUAUCUGUCUUUUUCCUUCAUUACCCUAUGUUUAUAGCUCUGAACAAGUGUGUGGGGCAAGGCUAUUAGUGUUUUAAAUUUUCAAAUCUGCAAAAGCUCAUGUUGUGGGGCCAAAGGAACUUUGCAUGUCAGUGGACAACCACUUGAAAACUAAAGUGUAAGUACACUCUCAGUUGUAUAUUACUAGUUGUGGGAUACAUGCACUUAUAUUAGAGUCCACUAGCAAUUGUCAUAAAUCAAGUUGGUGGGCUUGCAACAAAGGUUAGAUGGUGAAAGUGUAGGAAAAUUUUUUUCGAAUAUAGAAAGUGACACAAAUUUUGGUACAUAGCAAAAGGAAAGUAUGACACUUUUAAUGGGACGGAGGGAGUAUUAAAGAACUAAUAUAGCAAUGCACAUUUAUAUUAAAUUGCAUUUCCCUGUGCUGAAGUUCAAAUCUCCGGCAGGUUGCCUUAUCCUAAUUUUGAACAAUGAAUUAUGACAUUUAGACGCACAUCUGACUCUUGACUGGUUUGCAUAAUUAUAAAUUAGGAGAAUUGGUAGUCGUAAAGUGAACUUUUUAACAACCAUAAGGUAUCGCCCAAUUCUAGUUUUAGAAAAAUAUUAAUUUUUUACCCGAUUUUGUUGAACGCAUAUAAGUGGGAGACUUGCAUGAAUCUCUUUAAAACCAUAAGAAUGUCUUGGAUGCAUAUGAGACGGGAAAGUAUAAUAAACCCAGUUACAUAUUUGCAUGAUGGUUUGUACUCCCUCUGUCUUUCUUCUUUCUCAUGGUCAAAACUGUAAAAAGGGCUUAAGCAAAUUUAAAUUUGACCUAGAUCUUCAUUUUACAAUAUAAAGCUUCUUUCUUCCCUUGAUUGACUUAGUUAUAGCUUUAAUGGUUUGAUGUCCUUAAGGUUCUUUCUUUGGAAAUUCUGUAGGAGGGUUGGAAUGACGAUUAAUUUUUUACUUCUUUGACUAUAUAAAUCAUGGCAAAAACUUUGUGACAGAUACAAUAGUAAUCAUGACAUAGGAAAAAAGGGUACCGAACACUACCAUUUAAACUUUGGAAGAGUGCACUUGAAAAAAUAAAUGCACUAUGAUCUACCUUAUAACUCAUGCAUUAAUUGUGCUUUUGCUAAAAAAAUUUCAUUUUUAAUUGUGUUUCAUUCAUAUACGCGUCCAACAAAAGUAUUGAAAAAAUUACUCUGUAGAAGACUUCUCGAUGGACUUCAAUUUACCCUUUGUACUUUGGAAAUUUUUUCAUUUAGUUCACAUUGAAUCAUUUGUUAUCUUAAACAGUAGUGCAAUUUGUUGUCAGGUAGAGUAGUGUAGUUCUUAUCAAAUAUGGUUCAGACACAUGACAAAGCAAAUGGGCGAACACGAGUCCCAAAUUCAUAAAAGAGCCGCUCAAUGUAGCAUUUUUUAUUUGCCCUCUUUUUUUUUUUUGGGGGGGGGGGUUGCUGCUAGCCACAAAAACAUCCUGCUUUAGUACAUAUUAAAUCAACUGGCCAUUAAUGGUUAUACUGAUCAUAACUAAGGCAAAAAGAACAAGUGGGAAUUUUUCUUGGAAAAAAGUCUAUUAAAUAUUUUCUUUUCUUUACCACAUGGAAAUUUUCAAACAAACGUCCAUGAGGUAGUUGGAAAAAAUUCUCCGCAAAAACCCAGUCUUUGGAUAUUAACUAUAGCAUCUAUAUUAAGACUUAAGAGACAGGUUAAGGAGUUUACUUUUUGCUUGCUUUGCAGUCUUCUCUAUUCCAUAGACUUCCUAUGGCAAUUAAGCACAAUUAGAAUGGUCUAAGCGUGUAUACGUAUACAGUCUUCGCUUUUAGUGUUUGAAUGAUCAGGGUGGAAAAGUAACAGACACUAUCAUAUGAACUUGUGUUGCUUACAUUUGUAGUUGUGCUCAUGUUAAUAGCUGCCUUUCUUUUGGAUAUGAAAACUUGAAUGUUUCAAUGCAGGAAAAACUAUUUUCAAGUAAAAAUAGAACGGAGGCUUCUCUUGGAAAGAAGUUGAAAAACGAUAUGCUUCCUGAGAUUGAGAAAGUCCACAAGGUAUUGCCAUUUAUUGACUGAGCAGGACCUGCACUUAUUUUUUCAGACAUUUUCUGUAUCUGUUCAGAUGUUUUGCUUUUGUGAUUAUUUGUGUAUUUCCCCUCCAAAAAGCUGUAUCUUUCUUUCUGGUAAGAGAUAAAAUGGCAAACAAUGAUCAAGAAUGAUAUAGAUAGUCAUAAUAAUGAAGGCAAAUGCUGUCAGAUAGAUAUAGUGGCUAUUAAUACUUUGGAGGAUUGACGCUGAAAUUAUUUUCUGUGCAGAGAAAAGAGAAGCUGCUGAAGAAGCAACACAGACAAGCUCUUAUGCUUGAUAAUAUGAUGAAUAUGGAUGGCCUUGCUGCUGGACGUUCUCUUCGUGAUAGGAAACCUGUCACAUACACUUUUGGUAAAGUUUCCAUGGGGUGCCUUGCUUAUUAUCUAUUAUUUAUUUUGGCUCUAUGUGUUGUGGCUAAUACUACUGACAAGAUAUUACAGAGAGUGUCACGUCUUUCCCUUGGUAUUAGAAAAGGAAUCUGUUCCUUUUGACUUGAAAUGUGUCAAGUAUUGUCAUUCUGAUGGUUCUACAAGAAUGCAUUUUGUGUGUAUUGGGUUGGUAGUUGUGUGGAAAGAUUAUGUUGUGUCAUAAUAAAUUUGAAAAGUCUGUUUUUGGGUGGGUAAUCUAGUUAUCUUUGGGGCAGAAUCAAAAUGGUUACAAAAACUGACUGUCCUGGAUAGACUUGGAAAUCCUUUCGUCCUGAAGAAGUUUGCUCAAUUUUCUACUCUUGGAUUUAUGAUAAUGUAGCAUAAGUCCCAAGUGCAAGGUACUUUCCAGGUGAGGAUAAUGAUUUCAAGAAGUAUGUAUAGCCAAGAGUCAAGAACGUAAUUAUGGGACUUUUUGGCUUUACUCCCCAUUUUGCAUGGGGGGAAUAUCCAAAUUUUCUUUCACAACUUUGUACAAGCAUUUGUUGUCAAAUCAUGAAUCUGAACUUGUAAUUGUCUAGUAUUUUGGUGGUCAAUUUUGAAAAUUUCCUGCACAAAUAUGAUCUUAACUUAAUACGGCUCUAAUUUCAUUGAUAAAUAGCCGAUAUUAGAUGCUUUGCCUGCUUUCUGUAGGUUAUAUUCUCAAGAUGUACUUGACGCCUGAAGUGAUUUCUAAACUGUUGAUGCGUUAGAUUCCUAGGCUAAGUAUCUUGGUUAUUCAAUGAUCCCCAAGUGGUCAACUUCAGAAGACAUGUAACAGUCCUUGAAGGACAUGUAAGAUGGUCUUUACCUUGGUUUAGUUUAUGUAUGUAUGCGUAGAAAGCUACUGUUGGUAGAGAUUGAAUAGGCAGUAGAGAGACAGUAGACAUCUUUCCCCUGCAGUGUCCCCCCCCUUCUCCUUCCCCUCUCUUUUGUUUCUUUUUCAUUUUCUUUUAUGCUUGUGAUUUGCCUCUUUUUCGUACUCCUUACUCUCAAGAAAAGAUACUUCAUACUUUCUCCCCUGCCCUGUGAAAUGCAAGAUGCAUAAUAAAGCUCUGCCUGAGCAAUCCUUUGAAGGAAAGUAAAACAUGGAUGACAAAUAGUUUAGGAAGGUAGAUUCUGUAUGUAUGCAGCUAGAAUGGAAUCAGGGAGAUGCAAUAUGUCAUGGAAGGUAAAAGGAAGGGCAGACUGAUACAGAACCAAACAAUCAGAUCUUAGACCUGUUUACCUGAGUAGGAAUAAAAUCCUCCAAUUGCUUUCUAUCAUUAGAAUUUCGGAUGUGUAACAGCCCCACUUUCCCCUAAGGCGAACCAAAGAGGUUAGCGGACUGCCUGCCCAGCUCUCGCCAGGACUACGGAUCGGUUUACAUCGAUCUAUUACGUUCCGGAGCAUACCGAAGCACGCAAACAAGUCAAAAUCGCAAAAUAAAAAAAACGAAAAAAUCAAAGCCGAAGAUGAACAGUAACGGACACGUCAGAAUCCGGCCGGAAUCUGGCCGGAUUUUCGGCCGGAUUCUCGGCCGGAUACAAGGCCGAGAGCAAUCCAAAAUUUUUCCAAAAUCCUUCCCAAUCCGGCCGGCAAUCCGGCCAGUUUCUUGCCGGAUUCCUAGCCGGAUUCGGUCCUGUUCAUUCCCGCCAAAUUUUUUUCCUUCUCCGUUUGAAAUGCGUCUAGAUCCGAAAUCCAUCCAAUCAUCAACCAAUCAUAUAUAUACAUUGAAAUUCAACUUUUACAACCAUAGUGUCAUGCCAAAAACCAUCUAUCAUGAAUAUACAUACUCGGUUUGCCAAUCAAAGAAAAUGAACCCAAUACACAAUAGAGUUUCAUUCGAUAAGCUAAACAAAAGCCAUUUACACUAGCUCAACUUGGCAAUCGACUAUCCAAAUCAGCCCCAAAAGUAAUUAUAUCCCUGUAAGGAAAACAAAUGGAACGGGAUGAGCUAAAGCCCAGUGAGUUACUACCACAUAAGCAACUAAGAGCAUAUAGCAUAACCUUUCAUUUCAAGUACACAAUUAAGGAAUGAAACACAUCGAUAAAAGGAUACGGACGGCUCUCAAGAGCCCAUUUCCACGCUUCCAUUCUUGAUCCAACCUCAUUGACCCUCCGUCAAUGUUGAAGAGUAACCAACCGUAGACUCAUCUUCUCUCCCAUUCCUUCCACCAAACAUCCCCCUACCGGGCCCGCACUCCAAACACUUACACUGUGGUAUUACUCGAGUAUACCGGAAUCAAGAGUCUCUCAUACUACAAGAUUCCUUAUAACUUUACCCAAGGCUCAUUAAUUGUCACGACCAAACCCUUGUCGGCUCGAUUCAAUCAACUACCAAUGGGGUUGAGCUCAAUGAUAACAUUUGUAGUCGUUGGAUACUUGUCCAAUCGAUACUAAGUCAUGUAUUUCAUUUCAUAUAACAGUCCAUAUAACUUUCCAAUAACUUUUCAAUAACAUAUGAAACAAUAAGUGAGAGUGAUAAAGUACACUCCCACAUCAAUCCAUUAACAUACAACAUCUCGAGUUCAAAUAUCAAAGCCAUAUAAUAGCACACAAGUGAGUAGUACACUCACCAAUCAAUUAAGUGCUAUUUCAUGCACUUCCGUCAGGAGAAUGUCGUGAACCACCGUCACGCCCUAGAACACGUAAACAAAUGCAAUGAGACUCGAUAGCGAGUCACAAAACAAUGCCAAUCACAACCCCAAUAGGGUUUUGCAAACAUAUAUAAACAUCAUAGGAAACCAGAAAUUAGGAAAAAGGCUUUAACUUAGGCCUUGAUAAGAAAACCGGUUUUGACGUCAUAAUGCGGUAAUGGCACAACUCUCACUACAAUUAUCGGAUGGGGCUGUAAGACCCACCGUUUCGAAGCUAUGGAACAGGGCUACAAUAAUGUAGAAGACCACUCAAUCCAGUUCCUAGCUUAACUAGGUCGAAAAUGCCAAAUACUAACCCAGAAUUCCUAAAACAGGUUCACAAAACACAAAAAACUGUAAUCGGUAUAUCUCAGUCCAUACAAGUCCAAAUGCCGAAAUUCCAAAGGCAUAAGUUAGCUAAGUCAUCCAACUACAUUUCAUCAGAAGACACCAACUUCAAAAUCCAAACCAAUUCCAGUCAAAAUGGCCAAUUACUAUCGCAGUUUUCGCAUUCUGAUCAAAGCAGAACAGCUACAGUAAAAACGGUAUAACUCACUCUACACUCAUCCAAAUGACCUGAAAUUUUGCAGGCAUCCCAAUCACAUCAAUACCUACAACUUUCAUGUUUUGAGCAAAGUCAAAUUCGGCCUCUAACCCUAUGAUCCAAAACCGGACAGAAUUGGGGAUUUAAGAACCCUAACUUUUCAAAUUUCACACCAAAUCCAAAAUUGAUUGCAUUUCACCACAAUUCACACUCACUAGAGUCAUUUCCAACCAUUGCAAUUCAUCAUACAAGCCCCCAACAUCAAGAUCAUAUUAAACCAGAAAAAUUCCCAAUAAAAUAAAAACUCCACCAAAACUCUUCAAAUCAAGAAACAAAUCAUAUAUUUCAACACUCAUGCCACCAUUAAGCACAAAAUAACCAUCAUUAGGUGUAGUAGAAAGGUUGAAGCAUCACUCACCUAACAACAAGAGAGAGGAAGAUGAUGGACACCUUAGCUCUUCCAAACAAAUCCACAAAACAACUCACAACCACCACUUGAAGAUGUUUUAUGGAGCAAAAUCAAGGUUGGAUGGUUGGUUUGAUGAUUUGGAACAAGAUUGAAGUGUUUCUUCUUUGUACUUGGAGCAAGAGAGAGAGAAAGAGAGAGAGGAGAGAGCCGGCCAUAUGAGGAGAAGAAAAUGGUGAUUUUUGGUGAAUUUUGGAUAUUUAAUCCUUUGGUCAAAAAAGUCAAAAUUGUGAAUAGUGUUUCUUAAAAGUUCAACCAAUGAAAAGGUGACAUGUGUCACUCUAUUAAAUGCAUCCUUAUCAUUCUUUUCUCUCUCACAUCAAUCACUUCACACACCCUACUUAUCUCUUAAUACCCGAUAAACUUUUAACAGUAUCCGAAACUUAACCUUAUUGGCCGAAUUUUUCCGAACUUAUCGCACUAGUGGGUCCCACAUCCAAUAUAUAUUCUUAAUUUUCUAAAAAUUCACCAAUGCUAGAAAAAUCAUCUUAAAACUAUAAUUGCUCAUAAAAUUCAUUAAGAAAAUAUUUUUAAGCCAGAAAAUGCAGAAAAUAUGCUAUUAAGGGGAAAUAAACCCUAGGAAUAUAAUUAGGGUUUUACGGGUUCUCACAGUGAAGCACAAAAAUAGAAAGCUAAGAACAACGAAAGAGGACGAGAGAGGAAUAAGUUAGUUACAAGUGGUGGGAACCAACCUAAAGAAUAUUUCACAUCCCAAUGAGAGUCCUAGAAUGGAAUUGUUAAGGUAUCUCUUAACAAUUCCCCAACUUAAUGAAGUGCAUUCACUUCAUUACUCAAAUUGAAAUUUCUUAUAUGAAACAAGUAAGCAAAAAUAAAUAUAAUAUGGGGAUAACUAGAUCCUCAAAUGAGAAGAAUUAAGAUGGAAGAGAAAAAAAAAAGAGUGGACUGUUAGAGACUUUAUAGAGUAUAUUAACUCAAACAACCUGAUAGACCAAGCAUAUGAUGAUAGACUUACAAGUUUAAUGGAAUUACAAGUUUCACUUUUUGGCAAAAGAAUAGUGAAAGAUGUUACAGUUCAACAGGAUUUGGCAAAAGCGUUAAAUGGUAAGAACAAGAAGCCAAAGAGAAUGAAGGAUACUGAGUCUGAAGAGUUGGACGAAAGGUAUGCGAGCACAAUUCGACUCUAUGUUCCGGACAACAUCAUAAACAAUGUAAUAGACGAGGAAGAUUCUACGGGAUAAUUGCAGAAACCUCCCCUGACUUUUAUAGUAAUAGCAUUGACCUCCCCUAUCAAUUUUGAAAUAGCACUGACCUCUCCUAUCAAAAGUUGGAGGCAAUUUAAUGGGCAAAAGUGGGUCAAUUUACUAAAGUACCCCUGAUAUGAUUUAAUUUUACCAAAUGAAUGUGAUGAGUACUUUCAUCAAACCCAACAAAACAUUUGUUAAUAAAAAUUACACUAAAUUAACUAUUUUUGCAUAGUUUAACUAAUUAACUAAAUAACUAAUAAUCUAAUUAAUUAAUAACUAAUUAUCUAAUUAACUAUUAACUGAUUAUCUAAUUGUUAAUAGUUAUUAACUAAUCAAACUAUUUCUAUAUAGUUAAACUAAUUAAAUAUUAACUAAUUAUCUAAUUAACUAUUAACUAAUUAACUAAUUAUCUAAGUAACUAAAGCUGUUGUCUGUCCGAAACUAACAAACUAUUUGUAUGUUAAAUUAAUUAACUAAUUAAUUGCUUAACUAAUUAACUACCUAAUUAUCUAAUUAAUUAAUUAACUAAUUAACUAAUUUUUGUUUAUCUAAUUAACUAAUUAUCUAAUUAACUAAAGUUGUUGUCUAUCCAAAACUAACAAACUAUUUGCAUGUUAAACUAAUUAAUUGCUUAACUAAUUAACUAAUUAAUUAAAACUAUUGUCUAUUCGAAACAAACAAACUAUUUGCAUGUUAAACUACUUAACUAAUUAACUGCUUAACUAAUUAACUAACUAAUUAUCUAAUUAAUUAAUUAACUAAUUAACUAAUUUCUAUUUAUCUAAUUAACUAAUUAACUAAAGCUAUUGUCUAUCCGAAACUAACAAACUAUUUGCAUGUUAAACUAAUUAACUAAUUAACUAACUAACUAAUUAAAAACUAUUUGCAUGUUAAACUAUAUGCAGUACGCAUUAUCUAUUUAAAGUAUCGGUUCUUUAUGGGUAUUUUACUUUCAAACAUUUAAUUUAUGAUAAAAACAUCAAUGUUUGUAAGUAAAAUUCAAAAAGUGUUACAGUAAUAUCAAUAUUCUUACUUUAGAUAAUUAGUUAAUUAGUUAAUUAAUUAAUUAGAUAAUUAGGAAGUUAAUUAGUUAAGCAGUUAAUUAGUUAAUUAGUUUAACAUGCAAAUAGUUUGUUAGUUUUGGAUUAGGGCUGCAAAUGAGUCGAGUCGAGUCGAGUUUUGAGCUAAUCGAGCCGAAUCUCGACUAAAUUUUACCAAGCUCGAGCUCGACGAGCCGGCAAUUUUCAAGCUCAAGCUUGACUCGAAUCAAGUCGAGCCUAGCUCGAGCUCGAAAAAAAUAAAAAAUAAUUAUUUUAUUUUUAAAAAAUAAAUAAAAUAAUAUUUUUUUCUUAAUAAAUAAUAAAAUAUUAAGGAUAUAUACGUAAUUUUACUAUGAAAAUAAAAAAUAAAAAAUAUAUAUAAUAUACAUAAUUUUAUUAUUAAAUAAAAAUAAAAAAAAAAAAUAUAUAUAUAUACUCAAACUCGCGAGCUAACGAGCUUAAUAUUUUGAACUCGAUUAAUAUCGAGUUCGACUCAAACUUGACUCGAGUCGCUCGCGAGCGGUUUGAUUCGUUUGCAGCCCUAUUUUGGACAGACAACAAUUUUAGUUAAUUAGUUAAUUAGACAAUUAGUUAAUUAGAUAAAUAGAAAUUAGUUAAUUAGGUAAUGCAUACUACAUAUAGUUUAACAUGCAAAGAGUUUGUUAAUUAGUUGGUUAGUUAAUUAGUUAAGCAGUUAAUUAGUUUAACAUGCAAAUAAUUUUUUAGUUUCGGACAGACAACAGCUUUAGUUAAUUAGUUAAUUAAAUAAUUAGUCAAUUGAUUAAUUAGAUAAUUAGUUAAUUAAUUAAUUAGUUAAUUGUUAAUUAGAUAAUUAGUUAAUAGUUAAUUAGUUUAACUAUUAACUAAUUAGAUAAUUAGUUAAGCAAUUGUCAUGCAAAUAAUUGUCAAGCAAGUAAGGGCAAUAUUGGAAGAAAAUUCUUAUCUCACUUCUACAAAAGCUGUCAAGGAGGUCUCUGCAACAAAUUGUUACUGUUCAGGGGAGGUGAAUGCAAUUUCUAAACCUAGAGGGGAGGUCAGUGCAAAUGUCAGAAAUCUCAGGGGAGGUUUCUGUAAUUAUCCCAAGAUUCUGCAGCAGACCUUUGAAAAAAAUUGAAAAAGCUUUAUCUAAACAAAAGUUUAUCGAAUAAAUUGCAUUUGAAGCAGCAACUUUAUAGGUUAAAGAUGGAGGAGGAUGGUAGCCUCAUGUAUCACAUGAAUAUGUUCAAAGAAAUUUUGGAUCAAUUCCAAAAAAUUGGCAUAGAAAUUGAGGAAGAAAAUAAGACUCUUUUACUUCUUAUCUCAGCAUUUGAUUCUUACAAAUGUGUUGUGAUGACCCUAUUGUACGGGAAGAACACUUUAGAGUUCAAGAAUGUGCAGUCAUCUUUGUUGGAUCAUAAAACAAAAGAAGACAAAUCAGGAUGUGACACAAAAAACUACAUUAAUUGUUUGAGAUAAGAAUAAAAAAUGAAAAAAUUUGGUGAUAAAUCUAAGGUAAAUGAUUCAAAAGUCAAAAGAAAGGAUGGAAUCUAGUGUUUUGAUUGUCAUAAGUUUGGUCAUAUCAAAAAAUAUUGUCCUCAUCGAAAGAAAAAUGAUGAGAAGGAGCAUGAUGAUAGUGAUAAAUAUGUAUCAAAUGAAAAUAUUCCCACAAUCUCUAAAAGUAAUAAUAUUUUUUCCCGUGAUGGUUGGAUUUUAUAUUAUGGAUGUGUUUCACAUGUUUGCUUCACAUUAGAUUAUUUUGAUACUUUCCAAAGAAAGAAGUCAGGUUUUGUAUUUUUCGGUGAUGGAUCUACUUGUGCUUUGGAGUAAUGAAAAUCAAAAUGCUAAAUGGAGAUAUUCAUUCUUUGGGUAGUGUGUCUUAUGUGCUAAAGUUAUGAAGGAAUAUAAUUUUUUUAAGUCAGUUAGACUCCGAGAGUUAUCACUUUUCGAUUGCAAGUGGAGUUUUGAAAAAUCACAUAUGGCAAGACUAUCUUGUUGAUGAGAAAAAAUAUGGUAAUUUGUACCAUUUGAUUACUUUAAUAGGUUGGGAGCGUAAUGCAAAAAAGGGGAUCCAAUAAUAUUUCCAAAUUGCAAAUACCCGUGAGAAGAAAAAUCCUAGUAUUGGAGAGGGUGAAUUAGGCCCCUCUUGUGAAUCAACUGAAUGUUGGACUCGAUUAGUUACAUACGUUUAUCUGCUGACUGAAUCAAUUGAAAAUAAGACCAUAUUAAUAUGAGCGUGUAGUUAAGCACUAAGGCUCCGUUUGGAUUAGUCUAUUUUUCAAAAUCUAGUUUUUCAAAUAUAAUGGCUGCGUUUGGAUUCCUUGUUUUUUGAGGUAUUUUUCAAAUACUUCACUGAAGCAAUUUUUGAAAAACUACUAUUGUCGUUUGGAUUGUCAUUUUUGAAAAACUCGCAUUUUUUCAAAACAAAUGCGUUUGGAUUGAACAGUUUUUGAAAAAUACCUACACAAUAAUUCUUAGUACGGUCCAAAUGUGCAAUUGGCCAAUAACUUCAGGUCAUUGCAAAUGUGCCACAGCUUAAAAAUGUCAUAUCCGCAAUUGCAAAAAAUUAGUAGCACACUAUGACCGUAACCCUUGUCAACGCUGUGCAAUAUCGUAACUGGUUAAUGAUUUUUUUGUACACUAGCAUUCACAAACACAUAAACUAAAUCGAUGAACUGAAUAUACAAGGGGGUAGAGCAAAGUACUAGUCAGCAAAUAUAAUAUAAAGGUGCAAACCCGUAGUCGACAUAAUACAUUAACUGUUCCCAAAUUCAAAUUAUUUGUUAAAUCACAACAGGUGAACCAAAUAUAAAGUAAGAAACUGUUGCCAUUUUGGACCUAUCGGUCCAAGGCCAUGCACUGGAGUCUAGUUAUGCGCAUUCCAAUACAUGUGCGCCGCUAUUGUCCACUGAUUUUAGUUCCAGUUAUGUAUGUCCUGCUGCGACAUAUCGAUGGAUUGACCUAUUUGCACUUGCUCCCCUACUAUUUGUGCAUCUGCAAAAGCUCCAUUUGCAGCUUCUUCGUUGAAAUACUCGUUAUUUGGUACAUAAUCGUGCAUAAAUUGUGCAAAGCAUUGCUAUCAGGUACAAGCGAGAUCACGCAUAAAUGACGAAGAAGUUUCUUGGCCUAACGAGAUCAUGACCUAACCGAACCAAAGCCUUGGACAAUACGUGAGCAAUGCAUUGUUCAUGAGUAUCAUCGAGAUCACGACCUAGUCGAACCAAGAAACUUCGUUAACGGCAUGAGCAAUGCAUUGUUCAAAAUCCUUGAUCAAAAAUGAAACCUAAUAGUUCGACCGCCAUAAAAAUGUUGUCGAGAUCAAUAUCAUUCAGUUCGUCAUCCAGUUGUCCUCCUUGAACGUGCCCUUAGUUAUCCAUCUUCAGUCAACUACUCUGAACUCUGCAAAUACCCAAGCGAUCAAAGAACAUUAAGGACCAGAAUAGGUAAACACUAACUAAAGAAAAACAAAAUGCAUUUUAGACAAAAUUAACAUAGAUAGUUAACAAAUUUGUCUCUAAAGUACAAGUUUAUCAGCCGAGAAAUGAGGAAAGUGCAAGCAAUAGAGAAAAGAAACACCUCUCGAAAAAAAAUAACAAGUUUAUCAUGGCUCAAUUACGCAUAUCAUAAACUGCAGUAAAGUACUUAAAUGGGGAGGACAUUAAUGAUACGUAUGCAACACAACCCCUAUUAGCCAGUAAAAAUAGGACAAGUGCCGAAGUAGUACGGCAAAAGGAAUUUAAUUUGGCGAACUGGGGCGGUAGCAAUAGCAUACAACUAAAAAUUCAAAAUAUCCGCUGUCAAAACAAAAAUUGAUCGCUUCCCUAUCAAUACAAUUACAUUUAAAGGCAACUCCACAAAAAAUAAUAACCAUGGGACACAUCCCUAAUUCAAAUCCGGAGUAAAUAAGUUCAUCCAAUAUUCAUAAACAUACACAAUAAAAUCUCAAGAAAUAUCCUCAAUAAAAAAAAUGCUGGUCCAGGGUGACAGUGGAAAAAUCACUGUACACAGCCUUUAGUCAACUCAUACUACAUAAUCCAAACCAACAGCUGAAAUUUUAACUCAGGGGGAAAAAAAUUGUAGCAGGCUGCGACAAUCGCAAUUCGGGAUACAACGAGGUGCUAUGCGGGGGGAACGAACCCCCGAUGUCUCACAAAGGCAAGUCGGUCAUCGUCGUUCAGGCAGGUAAACCAAAUGAGACGCUCUGCUGGAUUCUGCAGGAGAUCGGCCAUCUUCAGACGCACAUUUAUAUCCAGGUGAAGAGCGCAGAGGUCGGCUAAGGCAGCCUUUAGGUUCUCCUCAUCAUCUACUGGGGGUUUUUUACUCUUAGCGGGUGAAGAGACUUAACUGGUCAUGCCAAAGCUCUUCUUACAGCUCAAAUGUGUCUCAAUACUGUCUAAAAUUCGGACGUAUUUCUGCAAUUGAGGAGAUGACGGCGAAAAGAAUGACUCAAUUGACAUGUCCCCCGACUUGCUCUUUCCUUUACCCUUCUUCACCUUCUUUUUCCAUUUCUUAGUCACAUGAACGGCAUCUUCUUCGUCUGCUGAAUCGAUGUCCACAACCCUCUUACACCUAGAACGUCUAGCAACGUUUUCCAUUUCUAAUUUGUCGGCCGAAUUGGGGGCAAUACUCCAAAUCCAGAGCUAAAAUCGCCCGUAGCCCCCUGAUUCAUGAAAACUUUUUCAAGCAAAUGGAAGACCAGACAUGUGCGAUCGUAAAAUCUAUUGUACCCCUGGUUCACCUACAGAAGACCAAAAUAGCUUUUAAAAAUAAGGGAAAUAAUUAAAUAAGGGCAAAACAGUUUUUAGAACUAAACAGCUUUUACAAAUAAAUAAGGGCAAAAUAGCGUUACAGUAUUUACAAUUAAUAAGGGCAAAACUGUAUUUACAAUAAAUAAACAACUUUUACAAAAAGAUUAAAUUAAACAGAAAAAAAAGUAUCGGACCUGAAGUAGAUGAUUCCAGCGCUCAUCGUCCAUCAUGAAGGUGUAGUUGGUUGAGUCUCAACCCAUACCAGUGCCACGCUUCUUGAACAAAAUGUAAAGCCUAGUUAGGUUCUGAAGGGUACAAUACUUCGACCAAAUAGUGCCGCUGGGAAAAACUACUCCGAAAGUCUCAGUGAGCAUCCUAGUAAUUUGGGGAAUAACAUGGCUCCCGAUGGUAUAUGAUAAUAUUUUUCUAUUCCUAUGCAUGUUCACAAGCUGUUGUGCAAUAGUAAUUUCCAUAUCCGGCGUGAAAGUGUUUCGUUCCUUAUACGUUGCUUUUGGUUUAGGCAUCUUUGUUUUCUUAAGGAAUGUCAAAACCCAAAAAAACAGUUUAGGGUGACCUCACAUGGGAAAUUAGACACAUUCUAAGGGAAUAUUGGUACACGUGUAAGACAAUUUGAGCCUAGUCAAUUAUAACUCACCUUGAAGUAGUUAGUUAUACAAAGAUGCAAAUCGUUUUCUCCCUGAGCUGACUUCGAAGAACAAUUGUUAAAUCCCUAGUCGUUUGCAAAGCUAUGAAUAAGCAUGUUAAAAAUACGACUCUUACAGUUCUUAAGGAUAAAAAACUGAACAGAAUUCAUGAACCACAAUAGUUGCUCUUUACCUUUCGAAGCACUUUGAGUCACAAGGGGCAUCACAAUCCUAAAAAUAUGUACAAGGUACCACUAAAAUGCUAUUAGCAAGUCAAACGCAUAAAAUGUUAACAAAAUAUCAUCCAUUUUUAUGUACCAAGCAAAUAAAACAGUUCCAGCCAAGAAAUCAAAGUUCAUGUCAGGUUAUAAUAUGCGGGGAAACACUGUCACAGAUCCAAAACAACUUCACAUAAGAACUAGAGCAAAGUUUCAACCAUAUACAACUUAUCUUGCAUUCAAAACGAAACAAUUGCAGCUAAAAUAUCCUCAAUUUUCAACCGCAGGGUAGGACUAAUUAAAAUUUCAUGAGCCCACCCGAUAAAACUUCACUAAUUAAGAAAGGCAUUGGCUCAAGUACAACAACGACAGCAGAAGAUAAUAGGUACUCCAAUAGCAAGAACCAAAUAAAAAAAUCCAGUUUCGAGUCGCAGGGACAAAUAUUUCAAUAAUCCAAUUGCAAUAACCCAAGAAAAAUAGCAGUGGUGCUUAAUGUGUACAACCAAUUGAUCAAAUUUCUUAUCCAAAAUAAAAGUGUAGGAACAACACCCCAAUUAACAGAUAAUUGGCAUUAAUAUACGUAUCAAUUUAAGCUUACAACAAUAGGAAUUUAUCAACUAUCUAAUACACAAAAUAACAUUGAUAUUCACCCAGUUAACAGGGGUAGACAUAUACCAUGAGCUUCUAAAAAAAAUCUCCUAUGCACGCCAAACAAGCAAAAGCAGCAAAGCUAAUUAUUUGCCAAUAUGGUGGUAUGUGUACCCUGUGUCCAAACUACUAAUUGGGCCAUGCUCAUCACAUAUGCGGGGAAGAGAACAAAAGCAAAUAAAUGGUGAAGUUGCCAGUGUGAAUUGCAAAAAUUGAGGUGCCAAACCAGAACUUAAGAAAAUCAAAAGUGCCCUCACCACAGAAUUUCAAGUUUAAAUGAAGAAGCAUGAAUGCUAUCUACAGCUCUAAAAUGUAAUUCCCAAUAUGUCAUACGACCAUUUCAAAAUCGAUCCUCUGUCUCUACCAUAUACUAUCAGCACAAUAAUUUUCAGAGGCUUUGAUAAUACAUUAAGAACUUCUUCAAAUUACUGUAACCCUAAUUCAUACGAAUUAGGCCCCAAUUAAGUGAACAAUACAACGAACCUCAACGACGCAACAGCUGAGCAGCGGUGGAACAACUCUCCUUCGCUGAGCAAGUAGACGCGCGGUCGAAAUGGCACUUCCAAGCUGACUAUGCUUCCCCAAGUUCUGAUAGUGGCUCCUGCCGCUUCUCUUUGGUGGUCCCAAGCGGAUACUCAGCUCAUUCUUCACAGUUUUGCAAAGCCGAAGAUAAGUUGCAAAUGCUUUUGGAGAAGCUAAGAUUGAACUUGUUCUAGACGCACGCCACCGAACAUCCAAGGAUUAGAAAUACAUGAGCUGAAAUGACCGGUGAUUUGUAGAGCUUUCUUGAACCUCAGUUGUUGCUGCUUAGGAGAGGAAAGUGAAGAGGGAUACGUUUUAGGUGAGGAAAUUGAAGGAACGGGAAGUACAAGAAAGCUUUGUGAAAAACUUGUUUUCCAUUUUGGGCUGCUAAACAGUACCGUAUAGAAGGAGCGAGACUGUAGCAUUUUAAAUACAUCCAGUUGACUAUAAUUUGUAUUUUGACUACAAAAACAGUGGAUCCAAACACAACAAAUUUUAAAAAUAUUUUACAAUAUAUCAUAUAUAUAAAAAAUAAAAGCAUCUCAUUCAUAAAAUAUAUCAAAAAUAACUCACAAAUAUACAACAAAUUUUAAAAAAAAUUUACAACAUUUUCUAUCUAUCACCACCACCACUACCCCUACCCAUCACUGCUACCACCCUUUUUCUUUUUCCCCCUCUUCCUUCUCUCUCUCCUUCCUUCCCUUCCCUUCUUCUCCCUUCAAUCUAGCUUCAACUAGAUCGUGAUAAGAAGGUCGUGAACUAGUCGAAGCCAGAUCGAGGAAGAGUGAAGGCUGGCGAGAAAGAGAAGGGGAGAAGAAAGAGGAAAGAAGAGGGAGAAGGAAAAGAGGGGAGGAGAAGAAGAAACAGGAAGAGAGAAAGGGAGAAUAAAGGAAGAGGAAAUGGAUGGUGGUAGUGGUGGGCGGUGGUUGUGGGUAGCAGUGUUAAUUUUUAAAAUGUAUUCUAAAAUUUUUUUAAAUUUUAAAAGUAUUCCAAAAUAUAUUCUAAAAACCCUCCCUACACAUCACACAAAAUAUUUACAGUAAAAGGUUUUCAUCAGGGACGGAGCCAGAAAUUUAUUUUUGGGGGGGCUGAAGUGUAUUAAAAUUUUUUUUUUGUGACGAAAUAAAUAUAUUUAAUAAGUAAAAUUUAGAAUCAAUAAUUAUAAAAAUAAUAAAAACAUAUAAUUAUACAUACCCAAAAAUUUGUUAUUGAUUAACACUUGAAGUAUUGGUAGUUGUUGCACUCGAAUAACGAAGAGGAGGCAAUUGCAUUCUGCGAGUCUUCAACGCUGCAAUAUUUGCUCAUUUUCAAUUGUUGCAAAAAUAUCCUUCUCGAUGUAUACAACCAGACAGUCAUUCAUCCACUCGUCUCCCAUUUUGUUGCGCAAAUCAGUCUUGACAAUAUUCAUUGCAGAAAAUACUCUUUCAACAGAAGUAGUCGCAACUGGUAGAACUAAUGCCAACUGGAUCAGACGAUAAACCAAUGGAAAAACUGUAUUUUUACCAGUUUUAACCAUUUGUUGAGCAAGACUUCCCAAAUCUCCAACUUCUGAAAAUUGAGGAUCGCGUUGCACAUUAUAAAUAUAAUUUCGAAGUUGAGACUCAAGAUAUAAAUAAUCGUUACUUGAGAAGUCUUCAGGAUAUAAAUCAGCAAGACGGAGUAGUUUCUGCACAUUGAAUUAAGAGAAAGAACUUUUUGGAUCAAGACAUGCUAUGCAACUAAGCAAUUCCGUGCUAACUUCCGAGAAACGAUUAUUCAUCUCUUGUAUAAUUAAAUCAACAACCUGACAUCACAACAAUAAUAAAAUUAAUAACUAAGAAAAUCUGCUAACAAGUAACAAAUGUAAUGAAAUAAUAAUUUCAAAAAUAAUACCUCACAAAAAAUUUCCACGCGAUAAUGAUGAAAAUUAGUGAUGGUUUGACCUCUGCGACUGCGCCUGGCAUUGCCACGGAUUGCUAUACUGUCUUCCAUAUCAAUCACGGGAAUCAUAUUCAACUCACAAAAAUUGUUGACUUCAUCUAAAAUUAUUUGCCAUCCCUCUUCCCUAAAGUCUUGCAAUUGAGAUUUCAUAGUAUCAAUCAAACUCAUGGCUUGGACAAUAUUUUGAUCCCUUUGUUGCAAAACAAGUGACAAGUCAUUUGUGAUUCCCAAUAAAUACUUCAUCAGGUGCAAUGCAAAAACAAACUCAUAAUCAUUCAUUCUAUCAAUCAAACCCCUGGCCAUACCUCUAUUGUCAGAAGUGGUGGCAUCAUCUUGUAUAUUUCCCAAUAUUCCAAUCACCGAAGCCCACAUAGAGGAUAGACGAAGUAAUGUUAGAUAGUGUGAUCCCCAACGAGUAUCCCCUGGUCUUGCUAAACUAGUUUCUUGAUUUUUGCCUUUUCCACUAAUAAUAUCUCCACUGUCUAAAAGUGUAACAAUCUUAUCAUGUUCUAUUUGUCUUAAUUGAUCUCUCCUUUUACAUGAUGCUCCAGUUAAAUUGACAAUCAUAGAGACAUAGACAAAGAAUUCACUGACAAUGAUAUUUCCCUUAGCAACAGCAACAAUAACUAACUGGAGUUGGUGAGCAAAACAGUGAAUAUACAUCGCAUAGGGAUUUUCUUGUAAUAUAAGGGCCUUCAAACCAUUGAACUCACCUCGCAUAUUUGAAGCUCCAUCAUAUCCUUGACCUCUCAAUUUGGAUAAUGAUAAUCCGUGUUGCGCGAAUAAAGAAUCAAUUGCAUCUUUCAAACAAAGAGAUGUGGUGUCAGACACAUGUACAAUUGCAAGGAAACGUUCAAUCACACGCCCUUCUUUGUUCACAUAUCUCAAAACAACUCCCAUUUGCUCUUUCACUGAACUGUCUCGAGACUCAUCAACUAUUAGGGAAAAAUAAUUGUCUCCAAUAUCAUUGAUUAUAACACUUGUGAUCUCUGAGGCACAAGCAUGUGCCAGAUCUUUUUGAAUCAUUGGAGAAGUUAGUUGAUUAUUUGCAGGAGCAUUUUGAUUUACAACCUCAAAAAUCUCAGUAUUUCGCUGGCUAUACCACUCAAACAAUUCAAGAAAAUUGCCUCUAUUUGAAGAACUAGUUGACUCAUCAUUUCCACGAAAAGCCAAUCCUUGCUUCAAAAGAAAGCGGGUCACAUCCAGAGCAGCAGUUAAACGGGUGCGAUAUGCAAUAUCUAUUUCGCGCCCACAAGAUCGUAGCACAUUUGACACACUAUGCCUUUGAUCUUGAAAACUUUCAAACUGUAUUCUAGCAUCAUUAUGGCAACUAUUCACAGCUCCAAUAUGUUCAUUAAAUCUUUCCAUUGCCUUUUUCCAAUUAUUGAAUCCCGUUUUUGUAAAGGCAUCCUCUGCAUAUCGACCUCCCUUAUUUUGUGUUUUGAAAAGAAAGCACCAAAAGCAAAACGCCGCAUCUUUCGAUAUGCUAUACUCUAACCAUACAAACUUUUGAUACCAACUAUCUUGGAAACUUCUAUGUUGUUUACCAAAUGAUGUUUUUGGAUACAUAUGGCCAAUCGGUUGGCAAGGUCCCCUAGUCAAAUACUCUCUUCGGACAUGGUCUCGAAGAGAAAUAUCAAAUUUCUCAACUGAUUUUCGUAAUCCCGGAUCACUAACAAUAUCAUUUAAAUUCAAUUCCACACAAGAUUGAUUUUGAACUGGUUCACUAAUAUUAGGCUCAUUUGAAGAUUCACCACUACGGACUCGUUUAGGUUUAAAGAAUCUCUCCAUUUUCUGUCACAAUUAAAUAAUUGUGGUUAAAUUCAAUAAAAUUAUGCAAUUCAAUAAUCAAUUAAUUUAAAAUUCAUAUAAAUAAUUCUUUAAUUUAAUAAUAAAUUCAUAUUACUUAUAUUUCUCAAUUUAUAAAAUUCAUUAUAUAAAAUUAUCAAAAAGUUAAAAUAAGGUACAACUAAAUACCCAUAUAAUCUCUAAUUCAAUCUCAUAAAAUUUUGAAUUUAUAUUUACAUUCAAAAUUUCUAAUUCACAUAAUUAAUUCUUAAAAUUUCAAAUAUAAAACUAACAAAAUUUUAAAAACUAAAUACAACCUAAAAUCUAUACAAUUUCUAAACUAAUUUCUAAUUUAAAUUUAAUAUCAUUAAAUUUUUUAAUGUAAUCUUUCAAAUUCUUAAAUUACAUUAACAUAAACUAAAUAAAAAUUAAUCUUAAUCAAAUUAAUAUCAAGAUACUCAAAAUUCAAAAAUAAUUUAAACAUAUAAUUAACAAAAAUAUAAAGAUGAAUAUUGUAAUUUAAACCAAAAAACUAACCUAAAAGAUUUAUGUGAAUGGAAUGGUGGAGGGUUGGAGUCUUGGAGCCUUGAAUUGAAGGCUUGAAGCAGGAUGGUAGAAUCUCAACUGAAGCUUCUUGGAGUUUUUGGAGCCUGGCGUCUUCUUCUUGGAGUUGGAGUCUUGUUUGCCCUUUGGCACUGGCGGCGUAUUUUUUUUUCCCCUCAUUAUACAAAACGAUGUCGUUCCACUAAAAGUGAAACGACGUCGUUUUGUAUUUAGAGGGCAAAAAAAAAAAAAUUCAAAAUGAAAUGGGUCAUCUUCUUCCUCAGCAGUCAGCACGGCAGCGGCUUUCCAGCUCUUCUUCACUUCCUCUGCAGCAUUCAUGGAGCCAUGGAGGAUGGUAGAUCUGGAUCACCGUGGGGGGCUGGGCUGGGCUGGGCUGGCCGCCGGAAUCCCCUAUAUAUAGGGGGUUUUCCGGCGGCUUGGGGGGGGGCUUAAGCCCCCACCAGCCCCCCUUAAAUCCGUGGCUGGUUUUCAUAUACACUGUUAUAGUAAAAAAUUUCAAAAGCACCCCCAAAAAUAGGUAAAUUUUGAAACAAUCUAGUUACUUUUCAUCUAAUCACAACACGCUCAACAUAGCAAAUUAGUCUUAAUUCGUCAAUUGCAAGAACAAGGCAUAGCCAUUAGGUUAGCUUUGAUCAAAGCAAGGGAGCUACAUGACUCAUUAAGCGCUCAUUUAGUUGUAUAUUUAUUCCUUUGGCAAUGUAAUUAGCCAUUAUAUAGGAAAAUUUACUUGUAAACUUAUGAAAAUUAGCAAAGGUUGAGAGAGAUCGAUGCUCGUAAUACCCUAACGCGGAAAUUUUUUUGAGAAGUACUAAUACAAAUUUGAUGAAUGAGAUUUAUUGUGAAACGCAACUGAAAAGCGCUCAUUUGUUUUUGUUUUUGUUUUUUGGAUAGGGGUGGGGAUGGGUUUUGGUUGACGCGGGAAACCUGAAAAGCCCAAAGACCAUCAAGAAGCCGAAGGGAAGGGCGGGCGGGGGAGGCAGAGGCACAACAAGUUAACAAGUAAUUGAAGGCGCUAUGCAAGGGCAGUUGCGUCAAACAAGUUUCAACACUAAGGAAGGGGGAAAAGAAAAAGGCCGCAUAAUUCAUAACAGACAGACACGGACAGGACAGCUACUACUUAGUAGUAGCAGCAGUUACUGGCUUACUGCUCCUACCCCGACCACCUUCCUCCCACCCUCUUCACUUUGGUCUGAAGAACCCAAAACAAACAACUAACCAUUCGCUUCGCUGCUUUUAAGGAUUCUUCUUCCCCAAUGGCUGCCGAUGAGGUAAUGCUAAUACAAAUCAACAUCACCGCUUUCACGCCUCUCGACCACCCCCACCACCACAACCACUUGCCCCACUUCCAAACCCCCACCAACUACCUAUCUCAACUGAUUCUUUAACCGUUUUUUCCCCUUUCAAGACGGGCUUCUUCUUUUUCUUUUUUUUUUUUAAGUUACUUGUGUUUUUUCUUGGCUUUUACCCUCAAAAUGGAAUCUUUGUUCUUUUGAUUCAAUAUAUUUUAUUAUGUAGAAACUGGGGGCUUUGAAGAAGGCAUAUGCGGAUAUCAUACUGAACACGGCGAAGGAGGCGGCGGCCAGAAUAAUGGCGUCCGAAAGAAAGGCGCAGCGGUUUCAGCGGGAGCUUCAGAUGGCCAAAGAGGAGGCCUUGCGGAUGCUCCUGCGCCUCAAGCAGAUGAUGGAUUCUAAGGUUUUUCCUCUCAAUAUUUUCAUCAUCUGCGCCUCAAGCAGAUGAUGGGUUUUUUUUUGUUUUUUGUUUUCCCUUUGGUGCUUCGAUUCUGUUCGUUUUCUGGAUGAUGUUUGAUUUCUAGAUCAUUUUGCCGGUGAUGAUGACGGGAAAAAUACUGUCUUUCCUUCUAGAUUGCAAAGGUUGAUUCCAUUUACAUUCUUUCUGGACCAUUCCUUUCAGAAUUUAGUUUCAUCUCACUCGCUGUCUCUUUUUCUUUUUAAGUGCUUCAGAAAUUGAAUUUCUUGAUACUUAAUCCAGCACAGUUGGUCUUUUACUGGCUUCUGUCAGUUUCCUUUGAUGCUUUCCCGUGGAUCAUAUCAAUUCCCUCCUUGCUAAAGUUGACUAGUUUGCUAGGAGGGAAAAAUACUGAAAUUGGUUGUCACUUUGUAUACUAUACAGCAUGUAAUGAGGCUCAAGAAACCAAUUCCUUUCAUUGGUUCUCCUGGUGUUUAAAUGGGAACCUUGAAUUUGGAUGUCACCUAUUAUUGUGGAGCUUCUGACCGAUGAGAAUUUCAGGUUGAACCCGGCAGCUAUUGCCUAGUUAAUCCCAAACAAACUUGAAAAGCUUUGAGGCUAUAUGGUGUUGGAUAAAAUGGAUAUGCUGUAAUUUCAUUUCUUGGACAUUCAAGUGCAGGACAUAUACAGAUAUCCAUAUAAUCAAAUCAUCAAGUGGGACUGGUAUUCCUACCUAAAAGAGCAGGCUUCUUGUGGGCUAAUCAGGGCAUCUACCCCACAAAGAAGCAUUAAUAAUCCUCAAUUGUGUUGAGAAUUCACUAUUGGAAUGCCUAUUCUGCCGCAAAUUUCUUUCUUUUUUUUAUUUUAAGAAUAUCUUUUUACCUUGCAUUACAAAAUUGAACAUUGAUAUGGGCUUCAGGCAAUAGCAACUUUAGUGCUGUUAGUCAAAGUGGAGUCACCAGAAAGUUUAGAUAAGUUAUUACUGAUGUGCUUGACUUUUUGGGCCUGAUUCUUCUGGAUGAAGUUAGUGUAGAUUGUUUGACAAGUAUAUGCUUUUCAUUCCAUAUUUUCUUUUUCCUACUUGUGGCAAAAUCAGUAAUAAGAUUAGAUUGCAAGAGUCACUUUUAAAUUCAUCUAUUUUAAUGAAAAUGUAUACAUUGUUCUCCUUGGAUUUACAUUUUAGCCCCCUUUGUAGAUUUCUGAUGCAGAGUUGACAUCACUGAGUCAACAGAAAAAGAUUGAUGAACUUGAAGCUCAACUCCAAGAAGCUGAGGAUAUUGUUAAAGAUCUCAGAGAGGAACUGAGAGAAGUGAACAUUGAACUGGAGAGGGUCAGAAACAGUAAAGAGAAGCUCCUGGAUGAUUGGCAUGCUGUGGCACAAAGAGGAAUAUCUGAAGAGAAUGAAUCCCACUAUUCCCAGUCUAAUGCACUCCCUCCCAAUCAAUCAGAUCUCGGACAUGUUGCAGCUGCUGAAUUGAGAAGCAUGCAUGAGUUUCAGAAAAAUGAGAGUUUUAAAUUCUAUUCUGGCAUACCUCAUGUGGGGAAUUUAUACCUUGGAUGUCCAGAUUUGCCCUCUAUCAUUUUGAGAAGCAAAGAGCCUGAGCUGUACAGAAAUGGGUGCACUCAGAGAAUACGUGCAUCAGAAGGAAACUUUUCGAAUAUGCUUUCUGGGAAAGUACAUAAAAGGAAAGAUGAGAUCUCUACUCUAGAAGAUUUAGGUGGUAAACAAAUCUUUUCAGUACCUAACUGUAGCUUAGGGAAUUUGAGUAAUGUUGAGAAGAAACUAGAGGCAGAUAGCCAACUUGGUAGAUGGAACCCCGCCCCAAUUUUUUGUGUCAAGAAGAAGAGAGCUACUAGAUAUAGGAAAAGGGCGAUUACCUCAUCUGGAUGUUUUCCUGAUCAAUUUCCUAGACCUAAUCAAGUUCCUGAUGUUUCUUGUGCGGCAACUCAUCUGAUUUCUGUGAGAAGUGAUGUUCAUUUUGAGGAAAAUAAAUCCAAGAUGGUGUCAAGAUUAUCUUCAGAUGAACCUGAACCAGGGUUGGAGGAGGAUUGUGCUGAAACUUCUGAAAAUGAUAUUGAGCUUGGCAACUCUGCUGCUGUUCAUAGACCCGUGAAUGAAAAUGAAGGUACAGAAAAGUUGGUCCUUAAGGAUUCUGCCGGGAGUUCGGUGGCUACAGAUGGUGAAACAGAUCUUCAAAAAUCAAAUAUUACAUUGCCGAUAUAUGAGCCAAAUGUACCUACUGUAGUGGAUAGGGUUGGUAAUCAACCUAUCCAAGAAAGAAUAAUCAAGUAUACAUUCCAAAGGAAGCGAAAGAGAGAUUCUUUGAGCAAAUCCAAUGGGGUUGUUUCUUUUGAAAGUGAUACUUCUAAGAGGCGAACUUUGGGGGAAGAAAGUGAUCCUGUGGAGCAGGAGAAGUCAAACUUAGUAACAGAAUCCUCUCGACAUUGUGGGCGGUUAGCACACAUUGCUCAUCAGGUUGGUAUUUUUUGUUGGCUACAGCAUAUGCGUAUUUGGCAUAUCUGUAGCAAUGCAUGAUUCAGUUUCUUUUGUUCUCAGACAUAAGGUUGUAUUGUGUAAUUUUAAAGCGUCUCUACUUGACUUGGUGAUUCUACAUCAUUGGUGCUUAUCAGCUGGAAAUUGUAUCUCUUAUUUCCAUGUUUUUGAUUUAUUUGAAAUUCAGGCACACGAGUCCCAUAGUGUUAAAAUCAGGGUUUCCUGUAUGAUUUCUGACUGACUGUUAUCGUAAAAAACUCUUCUCGUAAAUCACUUUUGAUUACCAAUUGUCAAUUCAUGCAUUAAUCCUGGUAUUACAGAAUUUAGACAACAAACUUUUUCUUAACAAUCGCUGUUGAGAAGUUACCUUUAUUUUUGUGGCAUAAGCAUAUAUUCAUUUUUCUGCUUUCCUGACACCGGACCUGCAUGGCGCUUGCUUUUGCCAUUUUUUUGUGGGGGUGGGGUUGGGGGGGGGGUGAAGCAACUGAAUUUACUCCCUUUUCUUCAUCUGUUGCCUCUGUUCAAUUUGUUGACUGAUUGUUGCAUUUGAAGUUCUGUUAAACCGUUUGGGUUGAAAAACUUUUUCUUCUUCAUGGUGGUUAUUAGAAAGUUGAGGUGGCUUGGUUUCUUCUAUUUACUAUCAACUAUGUAGUUUGUGGCCAGCUAGAGAUUAAAGUUUUCUGACAAGAUGUACUCUUAUUACCUUGAAGUACAUUAAAAUGUUUGAAGCACAAGGUAUUUGAUCCAGUUUUCUCAGUGAAUUAUGGUAAUCAUGGUUUAUUGUCUUCAAAGAAUCAUGUCUAUACUUCUCUUGUGACAGUCUUUAUAAAUUGUAGCAUGUUCUCAAUUGUUUUGGCUCUUCCACUCAUCAAACUCUAUGACUAUCCAGGAAAGAGACCUAUAGGAUGAUUAUUAAGAUUUAGCAGAAAAUUAUUGGCUGCUGUUGGGCAAUAUGCCUGCAACUGAAUAACAUUGACCUCUUCACUUACAGUAGUACUUCAUGGGUCCUGUUUCUAAAUUCACUUUUUUGGGGAUUAAUCCUUUUUUUCAGAAGUACAAGAAACGUGGAAGUUUGCGCUUGAGUUUCCAAUUUUAGCCUGUCUAAUGAGUAUUUUGGCUAGAAACUACUGAAGCAAGUUAAAGUUUGCGGUGCCAACUCCUUAUUAUCUCUAAGUGACUAGGCUACUUGUGAUUUGCAUGUUCCUGAACUUCAUUUCCUUUGUUUCAGCAUUGUCUUGCAUGACUGCCAUUUGUGGUUCGUGGAAAUGUUGAUUAGCAUGCCACCACCCGAGUCUUUUUUUAGUCUUCACUUCAUGCUUCUGCUAUCUAUAUGUUUCUUUGUUGAACCCGCUGCAGCUCUCCUCUUGCUAUCUAUGUGAUGAUUGACUUUGUAGCUCUCCUCUUGCUGGCAGCUUAUAUCUCUGUCGGAGAGCAAAUGGUAGCUGUGAAACACUCAGUUCCAUGGUUGAUUGGAUUUUAAGCUUAAAGACAUUGAGUGAGAGGGUGAAGAAGAAACCAGCCGGUGUCGUGCAAUCUAUCAAAUUCUCCUUGGUUGGUCUAACAUGUGGGCAAUCUCUUUUGAUCAAGAAACGGGUUUUGAAAUUUCUUUUUAUUGAAAAUAAUUUAUGGAUGACUCGUACUAGUAGUAUAUGAUGUAUGACUCACUAUUGUAGCACUACUAUCGUUUGUUAUAUCUCGUUUUUAUUAUUUUCUUUUUCCCCUUUUAUUUGCCACAGCUCCAAAAUUACUUUUGCGGAAAGGGGAUGUUUCACUUUCACCAUGUGUCUGUGGAUUGGGUUCUUUUGAAUAAAAUGCAUGGUUAUCUGGGAGUGAGUAGUAGUGAAACAGCGGGUUUGUGUCAGGCUUCAACUGUCAUAACCCUAAAUUGGAGAUAGGAAGAAGCUCGGAUGAGCUUAGUAAGGAAGAAGAGGAAGAAAGUACAGAGAGUAUGAUGAAUAGAGAGAGAAAAUAGAGAAGAGGGAAAUUGCAAAUGUUAUUUCUCUGAUGCUUUUCCUACCAAUCUUGCUGUUACAAAUAGGAUAGGCUAACUACCUCUAACUAAUUUCUGUUACAACUCACGCGCCUGAUGCCAACUGAAGAAAUCACUCAUACGGCACCGUUCUACUUAUUCUUCCUUAUUACUAACAUUUCCCCAAACGACAUCGUUACAAUCAUUUGUUAACUUUUGGCUUAGCUCCUCUAUCCUGACAUUACCUCCUGCUCAAAAAUUUGUCUUGUCCUCAAGACUGGAAAUGAGGAAAUUGAGAGUGUAUGAAAUCUUGGUCUUCCCACGACGCUUCCUCAGGUUCCAGCUGAUACCAUUUGAUUAAGAACUGAAUAACUGGUUGACCAUUGCGCAUGAUGGCUCUCCUCUGCAGCACAGACUCUGGUUGCAAGGGACACUGAUCUGCAUUGUCAAACUCCGGCAAUGCCCCAGACACCUGUUGCACUGGCCCAAUCUUUUUCUUCAGUAGGGAUACAUGGAAAACUGGGUGAAUUCUGGCUCCUGCAGGUAACCUGAGACGAUAUGCUACUGAUCCUACUUUGGCUUCCACCUGGAAGGGUCCAUAGAAUCUGGCAGCCAGUUUAAGGCAUUUUCUGAUAGCAACUGUCUGCUGCCUAUAGGGUUGUAAUUUGAGAAAGACCCAGUCUCCUACUGCAAAAGAUCGCUCAGUACGCUGUUGGUCAGCAAAGAACUUCAUUCUUUGCUGUGCCUUAGUUAAGUGAUCCUUGAGACUACCAGAAAUUCUCAUUCGUUCCUGAAGAAGCUGAGCUGCUGCAGGUAUGAUAGUAUCCACAUAGGGACCCAGUGGCAAGGGAACAGGCUUGUAACCGUACAAAGCCUCAAAUGGGGUCAGCUGCAAACUGGAGUGGUAAGAAGAAUUGUACCACCAUUCUGCCAUUGCUAGCCAACUGCUCCAACGUGUUGGAAAUUCCCCAGUCAUACACCUGAGAUAAGACUCAACACACUGGUUCAAUCUUUCACUUUGCCCAUCGGAUUGGGGGUGGUAGGCUGAGCUAUAAUGCAAGUCAGUUCCCACCAAUCUAAACAGUUCCUGCCAAAAGGUGCUGGUGAAGAUCCUGUCUCUGUCUGUGACAAUAGACUCUGGUAGCCCAUGCAAUCUGAAAAUGCUAUCUAAAAAGAGUUGAGCCACUUUCUUAGCAGAAAAUGGAUGGGAUAGUGCUAUGAAAUGUCCUACCUUGGUCAGUCUGUCAAUGACCACCAUGAUAGUAUCAUAACCCUGAGAGUUGGGUAAACUCUCUAUGAAAUCCAUUGUUACAUGUGUCCAUGCCAAACGAGGAAUAGGCAAGGGUUGUAACAGGCCUGGCAGGUGUACAUGUUCAGCUUUGUAUCUCUGGCAGACAUCACAAGCCUGUAUAAACUGAAUAACCUCCUGCCUCAUUGUUGGCCAAUAGAAGAGGGAUUUAAUCCUUUGCCAACACCCCCUUUGACCUGAGUGGCCACCUACAGCAGAGGAAUGUAAUGCCUGUAUAAUCCUGGCUCUCAGACCAUUAGUUGACCCCACAUAGAUUCUCCCAUUGUAUUUCAGCAAAUCACUGUUCCAUUCAUACCCUGGAUGUGAGCUAGGAUCCAAGAGCAACUGGGAGAUGAUAUCCUUGCAGUGAUCAUCUGAGAGGUAACUUCCCUGCAGUUCCAGUAACCAAUUUGGCUUAACUGUUGUCAAGGCUAGACAUGACCCUGUGGUAGUGAUGUGAGGCUGCCCCCUUUCGUACAAUCGAGACAAAGCAUCUGCUACCUUAUUUUCCACUCCUUUUUUGUAUUGGAUUUCAUAAUCUAGGCCCAGAAGCUUAGUGAACCACUUGUGUUGUAGAGCAGUUGUAAGCUUCUGAUCUAACAGAUACCUUAGUGACUGAUGAUCAGUUUUGAUAAUGAAGUGAUAUCCAACAAGGUAAUGGCGCCACUUAGUCACUGCCAUUACCAAAGCCAGCAACUCCUUUUCAUAGGCUGAGAGUCCCAGGUUUUUAGGUGACAAUGCCUUGCUAAGGAAAGCCAAGGGAUGUCCUUCCUGCAUUAAUACUGCGCCAAUUCCUCCUCCACUGGCAUCAGUCUCAAUGGUGAAUGGUUUCUGAAAGUCGGGUAGUCUAAGAACAGGUGCAGUACACAUGAUGUUUUUCAGUGCAAGGAAAGCCUCUUCAGCCUCUGGAUUCCAUGCAAAGCUAUCCUUCCUUAGCAAUUCAGUCAGGGGUUUACAAAUGAUGCCAUAGUGCUUGAUAAACCUUCUAUAAUACCCAGUCAACCCCAAGAAUCCCCUCAAUUCCUUCACUGUCCUUGGACUUGGCCAUUUCAGAAUACUAUCUAUCUUGGAACUAUCCAUUGACACUCCUUCUUCUGUUAUAGUGUGGCCCAGGUAGUCUACUGUCAGUUGUGCAAACGAGCACUUAGAACGUUUUGCAAACAGGUUAUGCUCCCUUAAUAUUGAUAAAACUGUCCUCAGAUGUUGCUGAUGUAGCUCUAAUGUUGGACUAUAGAUAAGUAUAUCAUCAAAGAAAACCAGAACAAAUUUUCUCAGGUAAGGCUGGAAGAUCUGAUUCAUAAGAGCCUGAAAUGUGGCCGGGGCGUUUGUUAGCCCAAAAGGCAUUACUAGGAACUCGUAGUGACCACAGUGUGUUUGGAAGGCAGUUUUGUAUGUGUCUUUAGGCUUGACCCUGAUUUGGUGGUAACCUGAAGUGAGGUCCAACUUGGAUUUAUACUUAGAUCCUGCUAGCUCAUUGAUUAGUUCAUCUACAUUGGGUAUGGGGUAUCUGUCCUUGAUAGUCAUUUCAUUCAGCCUCCUGUAGUCUACACAGAAACGCCAGGUCCCCUCUUUCUUCUUGACAAGUAGAACUGGAGAAGCAAAGGGACUGUUACUGUGAAUUAUGAUUCCAUGUUGCAACAUAUCCUUAACCUGCUGCUCAAUUUCUCCUUUUUGUGAGUGAGGGUAUCUGUAAGGCUUCAUUUUGAAGGGCUGAGAAUCAGGUUUUAGUGGUAUCUCAUGAUCUAAACUCCUGACUGGAGGUAACUCAGUUGGUGCUGCAAAUACAUCUACAAAUUCUUCAAUAAUACCCUGGACCCCUGUAGGGAUGUCAUUUCCCUGCUCUUGAUCACUUUGUCCCAAUCUCAUGGACAUGCAUAACUGUCUCUUAUAUUCAAUGAAUGUUCUCAGAUCACCUCCCCUAAUUAAAUCUAAAUCACAGUCUUCAGCCUGGCCAUGCAAGUGUACCGCUUCCCCUUGAUGUUGUAGGGAAAUGGUCAGCUUGUGAAAAUCAAAAGUGAUAGGGCUGAACUGAGUCAUCCAAUCCACCCCAAGUAUUAUGUCCCAUCCACUUAGAUCCAUUACUUUGAGAUCAUAGCAGAACCUAUGCUGAUUAAUUCCCCAGACCACCUUAGGACAUAUCGCCUUACUAGUUACACAGGCCCCGUUCCCCACAACCACAGAAAAAGGAUUGACUAAUUUAUAAGGAAUAUCAAAUGCGAUUACCUUCUCACUGCUAAUGUAGCUAUCAGAACUGCCAGUGUCCACCAGUAUCAGCAUUUCCUCUCCAUCCAGUACGCCUACCAGGGUGAUUGUUUUCCUCUUAAGUGCCUCUGACAAUGUGUGUAGGGACAUCUCCAUAACCUCCCCUGGAUUCCCUGUGGUUUCGUCUUGCUCUCCCAGUGCAUCCUCAAAUUCAGUAUCCUCCUCCUCAUCAUUGACCAGAAAGUUCAAAUGACCAAGUUUGCACUGGUGUCCCUGCCCAAAUUUCUCUCCACAUUUGAAGCAUAGGCCAUGACUUCUUCUGUACUGUAUUUCUUGUGCUGAGAUUUUUCUUGGUUCUGCUUCAGUAUUAGCAACAGGUUUGCCUUUGAAAUGAGUAUUCCUGAAUGAACCAAUAGGAGGUACUCUGUAAUGUGAACUGUGACUCGUCUGCUGAGAUGCACUUUUUGAGAUCCCAAACCUAUUCUCUGAGUUAGGCCUUACGUUCUCUUUAAGACUCCUGGACUGCAAGUGCAGUGCAUUCUCCUGCAGUACUGCCAACUCGAAAGUUUCAAAUAGAGAUGUAGGCCUCAACAGUCGGAUCAUAGUCUUAAUUUCGUCCUUCAAGCCACUGAUGAAGCUUGAUACGAAAUAUUCUUCACUCAAAUGUGGAUUUUUCACUGCCAUGAGAGUCUUGAGUUCUUCGAACUUUUCCUGGUACUCCUCGACCUUCCCUGUUUGAUGUAAUUUGUUGAAUUCCUCCACGACAUCUUUUCCUGUCCUGUUAUCGAACCUUCUACACAAUAAGUCUUCAAACAUUGGCCAUGUGAUCUCAGGUUUCUCCACCUUAACACCCUGGAACCACCUGUCUGCCUUCCCUUCCAGAUACAUCUCAAUCACUUCGACCUUCUGUUCCUCAGGAAUUUGGUAGUUUACGCAGUACUUGUUGCACUUCCGAAUCCAUUCUCUUGGAUUUUCCCCAGAGAAUAAGGGCAAAUCAAUUUUGGGUGGAUUCGGAAUCAGAAGCUUGUUUGCCUCCCUCCUUCCCGUUCUGCCGCCUUCGAAUCCUAUGUGCAGCCUCUGAUUAGGUGGUGGUGUUGGCAAUAGUGGCGGUUGAUCGCUCAUGGUCCUUCCAGGUUCAAAAUUCAGCUUCUCCUUGUCCAGCAACAUCUUCAUGAGAGCGCUGAAUUCUUGUUUGAUUCCUGUGACCAGACCUUCCAUUCUCUUGUUGUUUUCCUCCAACUCUGUCCUCAGCUCCUCGCGAAGCUGCUGUUGUUGAUGGUGUGAAGCCUGUAGUCCUUCGAUCACCUCCUGAAGCUUGGAAUCUUGUUUCUUAAUUUGUUCCUCCAAGGUCUUGAAUCUGGUACUCUCCGCCAUUGUUACUAAUUUCCGAGGAAUCGACAAGCUCUGUUUUGCCUGGUGGAAGGAACAUGAGCGUGUGUGUCUCAUGUAAUUUCUGCAGUGCAGGUGGCCGAUAAUAGCACAACAACUUCCUGGGAGAACCGAUAAUGAUGUGAAGAACGUCUGGAACACUAAGCUGAAGAAGAAGCUCUCUGCAAUAGGAAUUGAUCCAGUAACUCAUAGGCCCUUCUCCCAAAUUCUUGCAGACUAUGGAAACAUCGGCGGCUUCCCAAAAGCUAGAAAUCGAUCUGGCUGUCUCAGCAGAGACAUAAAGAAUGCAUUUGUGCUAAAAUCUGAACAAUCUCGUGGCCUUCCAGAGAGGUCUUCGCACUUUGACAGCCAUUUUGGAACAACAAUUUCACCACUCGCAGUGGAACCAUCCAAACAGCAUUUUAUGAGCAACUGCAACCAUAUCUCUGCUGCCCGCAGUCAGUCCCUUGAACUUCUUUCUCAGCUUCAGGCCAUAACAAUGGUUACAGAAGCCUCAACUUACACCAAUACUGCAGCCCAAAUCCCUGCCGAAUGCUACUCAUCAUCUGCAUCAUCAUCACCGGAAUCUCCGCCCUCAGCUACCAACCAAGCCGCUGCAUCUCCAAGCUUCAGUUGGUGUGAUUUUCUUCUUGAGGACGCUUUUGUACCCACCACAUAUAUUGAGGAGAAAGAAAACGAAAUGAAGCUUCCACCAACUUAUGAUCCGAAGUCAAAAGAAAUGAAACUUUCUGUUGCAGCAGAAGAAGAAGAAGUGGAUAUAUCAGCCAAGACAGUUGAAGCUUCAUCAAUCUCCUGCGGUUCAUUUGUUGAAGCAAUGCUUGAAGGUGAAAAUGGAAUGCUAUCAGAUUUCCACGGCCUCUUGGAAGAUCCAUUUUUCUACUAGCUCAAUGAUACGUCGUACCAUAUUAUAUGUGCCUUGCAAAUUUCCAAGGAGUAGCAUGAAUCGUGUUAGGAUGAUUGAUUUCAAACCCCUUGCUUGCUUUUGAUGAGUCCAUAAGGGGCUAAUAAUAUGAUCUUUCAAUAAUUCUUGGUGACAUCUUUUGAUUUUGAUAUAUAUAUAUAUAUAUAUAUAUAUAUUUUGGAAGGAUCCUGAAAAGCUUUAACAUGAUGUAUAGUUGAGCGUCCCCACCGGGUAGUUCGAGCGGUCCGCUCCCCCUCUUUAGAGUAUGGCGACCUUCCUGGCAACUAGGAUUUGAGUUUCGCUGUUAACGCGUUCGGGGGAUGGGACCUCUCCAUCCGAAUCGAAGUGAAAUUAGUCGGGUCUCGUAAGGAUUGACUCGAACACUCACUCCAUUAGAAAAAAAAAAAAGAAGUAUAGUUGAGCAAGUCAUCAACUGCCAUGCACCUAAUUUAAUACAAAUACUAAACAAUUUUCAUAUUUUGAGCAUUUCUACAUUAACCCCCACAAAAAAAAAAAAAAUCACAAAAACCAAUAGUACAUAUUACUAUCAAUCUUUGAAAAGAAGGAAAAACAAUUGCCAAAGGUGUUUCAACAAUUUUUUUUUUUAAAAAUAAAUUGGGGAAUAGAAUUAGUCUCUAUAAUACUAUCAACAUAUAUUGUAUAUGCUACUUUUACAAUAAUAAUAAUAUGUCAAUUAUUUCAUGUUUAGUAGUAGUGAUAAAUAAUUGCCACCAAUUCUUGAAAACCAAUUAGUAUUUAGUUCUAGUAACUUUUUAACUGCUACAAACACCUGAUGACCUGAAGAAGAAAGAAAGAAACAAAGAGAGAGUCCGUCGCGAGGGGAAGAAGAAAGAAAUGGUGGCGAUAUCGGCGGUGUACAAAGGGAACCUCCACAAGGUUCCCACCGACGUCCCUCGCAAAUGGCUCAUGCCUUCCCGCCAAAUCUCCCUUAAAGACUUCAAAACCCUUCUCCGACGUCGUUCCCGCGCCGCCCUCUCCCGCCUCCCCCAAUUGUCUCCGACCCCUAACCCUAACCCUGACCCUAAUUUCAGA
rnacentral:lncRNA from 1 species